GAGGAGUUGCUCUCAUUGAAGAAGGCAGUGGCCAGGCCCGACUUGCCAGCACGACCAGUCCUCCCAAUGCGGUGGACAUAGUCGUCAAUGUCAUUGGGGAGGUCGAAGUUGACGACAUGGGCCACGUGCGGUAUGUCGAGCCCGCGAGCCGCCACAUCGGUUGCCACCAGGAUGGGGGUCUGCCCGCUCUUGAAGGAUCUAAGUGCCAUUUCCCUUUCCUGCAUGGUAUAUAAACAUUUUUAGUUAGUAGAAUAGGCCCACAAGCAGUAACACCUCCAGUUAAUUAGCAUAAUAGGAGGAUCAGAUAGAAAGAAGUCACUAAAAACAUCUAAAACGACCGCCUGUGUACGGACCGUCAAUUAAGCAAUUAACUGUUAGCUGAGGGAAUUAAACCACCAAUGUAAAUAAUAAUAUCAGAUUUUAUAAAUGAUGAAGAACAAAUUACACAUACUAUCAUAAUUCAUAACACAAUUGCAGAAAUUGGUGAUAGCAUUUCUUCCUGACAAGUAUUCCUACCAACCCACACACCACUUAAAUAAGAAAGGACAAACUACUGUCUCCCGCGGAUAAUCUCACCAUCCCACAUAAAAUAACAAAUUCUGCAAAUACAGUUUCCAACAACAAGCAACCAAACAAAAAAUUUGUAGUAGCAUUACUCUCAACUACAUACCGCCAAAAAGGCCAGAUGCAAAUGUAAUUACUAAAUCUCCAACUACAUGCAUCUAUACUUAUAAUAAGAUAUUUACAACUACAUCAAAUCAAAUGGUCCCUAAAUUGCUUAAGAGACAAAAUUAAAGAGCUUUAGUUCAGUCUAAUUGAUGUCCAGAUCAACCUCUCAAUGAAUUGUUUCCUAAUAUGCAACUUAACACCAAUCAAAGUUAUUUCAUCUUAAGAAAACAAAACAAGAACAGCCCAAAGAAUCAAAUUUCGUCCAACUACAUGGUAUAAUUGCCAAAGAUAACUAUCCCAGCCAUUCCAUAGAAGCUACUAAGCUGUCCCUACACAGAGUUGAUUGACACUUUUGUCGAGGCUGCAAAUUAGGCUUCGUUUACCUGAAACUACUCAGUCUUUGUCAUUUAGGAACUCCUGUUGAAUUAGGGACAGUAAUAUACAUCUAUUUUCUCAGUUUUAAGCAUUAAGAAAAGACCAUCAAAGUCAAAUAACUGUGUUUUGUAAUAAAUAGUGCUGAUUUCAAUUAUAGAUGGUUUACAAAUUAUGUUUAUGCAUGGUUCACAGAUUAUAUUUUAUAUUUACGAUGUUCAAUCUUGUGCAGUAGAUUCAACAAUUCCAGCUAUAUAUAUCUCUGUGCUUGAAUGGAGAGGGAAAGAGAUACACAACAGAAUACAGAUUUCAACAGCAAUAGGAGUAACCAAGUACCUGUUGUGUCCUAUCACCAUGGAUUGUAGUUGCAGGGAACCCAUUCAUACACAACCAGUGCUCCAAUGCAUCAGCACCUCUCUUUGUCUCCACGAAGACUAAAGUCAGGGCUUGCUACAAGGACCGAAGAAACUUGCAUAAGUGAAUGUAUAGAACCAUAACCCCAAUAGGGGAACAUAACAUGAACACAACAAAGUACCAAGAAGCAAAGAUGGACUAAUCUUCGAAACAAUUAAGCCCAUGCAUAUUAAACCAGAAACUACCUUCCCAUGAGCACCAUUUGCCCUCUGGGCAUGAAGAAGGUCCAUUAGGUGGCUUCUUUUGUCUGAUUCUUGAACAAACUCAACUCUCUGGACAAUCAAAUCAGUACUAGAACCAACCCUUCCAACAGCAAGAAAGAUGUAAUUGGCAAGGAAAUCAGAAGCCAAUCUCUGCAAAAAAAAUGAAUUUACUUGUCAACAAAGCAUUGCAUUAGAAAGCUCCCACACAAACUUCAGACCCUAAGAAAUAACAACAACUGCCCAAAUGAAACAUACAGUAAAUAUCCUGUCAAGAGGUUAUAGGCAACCAGCUCAGGAUAUAGUAUAUAACACCAGAGUAUGAUGUUAAAGAAAGUAUUCAUUAAGAUAGAUUAUACCAGCUUAAUUGUAAAUAUCUUAACUGACAAUCCUAGCAACAUAAUAUUGAACAACAGACCGUUCGCUACAUCAACGGUCAGGAGUAUUUACCCACUCCAUCAAACUUCAAAUCUUCCCCACUCACUCUCCAUUCUUCAACCAAGUAAUAGAUAAGUAAUCAUACAGUAUCAUAGUAAUAUUUCUAAUUAAAAAUACACGGAUCAGAUAUUUGUGCAUAUUUCCUUUUCUCUACUAAAUCAAAUGCUGAGAGUUUGUAUAGAAUAAUUAAAGAUUUGACUAUUCCAUAUAAAAAAUUGCCUCCAGAUUCCCCGCUUCAGGUCAUCUUCCAUCAGCAUCUUAUGACUAAUCACACAAGCAGCUUAACUUUUUCACCUAAUUUUAUCUCAUACUAAACUAUCCAAAAUUCAUAAAAGAACACUCCUGCUGGUGGAAAGUAGUUGUAAAAACAGUUGAAAUAUUUGCCAGUUACCAACACAGAUAUAAAAAUUAAAAUGGAAAGUUUUGAAAAGCAGAAAGUAAUCAUAGUGACAUUAUAGAGUUCCAGUAUGCAACUCUGGAAUUUACAGAUAAACGACCUGCAAAACCCUAAUACUAUAUUUGAACUAAAAAGCUAACACAUUACAUGCAAAAGCUAUAAAAGAUUAUCAUCAAGUUAAUAUGUGCGUAUGUGCGUACAUACGUACAAGAAAACAGCGAUGUGACAGCAAUGCGAACUAAAUGUAUGCCUCCUAGCUUAAUAAAAUACAGAAGACCGAAUUUCAUCCAAAUAUUUGGCACACAGAGGUCCUGAGCCUCAAGGACAAUAUGAGCAAUAUAAAUAUAAACAACUGAAAAAAAAAAAUUUGGGAAGUAGAACAUAAUACAUGAUGUUUAACGGAUAAAGAAAUGGUCAAACUGAAUUACUGUUGUUAAAUAGGAAAAGAUGCUAACCUGUAUCUCCUUUGGAAAGGUGGCACUAAACAGCAUAGUCUGCCUUGCACCUCGUGGAGGCAUAUCCAUUUGUUCAACAAUUUUACGGAUCUGUGGCUCAAAUCCCAUGUCAAGCAUUCUAUCGGCUUCAUCGAGAGCUAAAUAUCUAAUCAUCUGAAGUGAAACCCUAGCCCUUUCCAGUAAAUCCAUUAAACGACCAGGAGUUGCCACAAGAAUUUCAACACCCCUUUCCAGCUCCCUCAACUGGGAGAAUUAAUAAACUUCAGUUAGCAACUUAACAUAACGAGGUAUAAUGAACCACAAAAGAAUUAUCACUUCACCAGGCCAACUUUUGAUCUAGCAGAUUACUAGAAUACGAGUAAUAAAAAAUAGAGGAAACAUUCUCCCCGCAGCACAAAGUUGCAUACAUAAAAAGACACCAACUAACAGACUAUAACAACAUAACAUAAACAAAAAAAAAAAAACAAAUAAGGCUUCAAUGCAAACUACUUCAGAUCAGCUAUGGAUCAACUUAUAUUUAGAAAUAUUCUUUGUCAAAACCAUAGUAGUACGCCCUUUUUUAGUACUUCCUCAAAGCUUUCUACCUGACAAAAGUCAUCAAUCUUUACCAGUUGCCAACGAAAAAUAGUCUCUAACUCUCUAUUUGCACAUGCUCAAAUUAUCUCACUUGGUUUCUGGCAAUUUACUCUCUACGGUAGCUAAAUCUAACUUGCGUAGCUACUAUAUUUCCCCAAGUUAUCUUUUCUAGUAAGCCCACACAUCCAUAGAGACAUUCACAUCUUAGCACUACUAACUUCUGUAAUACCAUAAUUCCUAGUUGCCUAUUGCUCCAAGUAGAUCAUUGAUGCAGGCCAAAAAAUAGAAUAACUCAAAUAAAGCAACAAUAAUCUGAAUUUAUUUAUUCCAAAAUGAAAUAAUGUAAAUUGAAGAAGAAAUUGAGAAAUUAGGCAAGGUUGUAAAUAACAGAUAGCAAGUACAUAGCAUUUGGGAGGCAUCAAAGCAGAUAGCAGAUAGCGACGCCACAGCGGCCACUAUGAACACAUAGCGGAAUUCAUAAUACAUUAUUCAAAUGCUUCUAUUCCUAACUGUAUUUGUAUUUAAAAUAAUAGUACUAACAUAUUAGUUCCAAGUGUAGAAGUAUAACACUUCCAAUUUCUCUACAUUUAUAUUUGAAAUAUUGUUUCUACUUAGCAUAGUGAUCCUUCAGCCGUGGUGAUAAUUAAUGGGCACCAAUAAACCUAUAUUUUCGUUAUGUUGCUUUUCACGCCACAUGAAUAAAAUCGUGAUUUUCUCAUUCAUUUCUUGUAAGAAAUAUGAUUGAAUAGUUCCCCCGGUGCCCACCAAAUACUUUAUUUUUCCUAUUAGGGCAAAUUCUUAGGAUUUUAACGAUUUUAGGACUUAACCUAUCUAUCAAAUCUUUAGAAAUUUGAGGUCGGAAAUGAACCCACUUUUUGUCCCGCUAUAAUGGCCGCUAUGAUCCCGAUCCGCUAUAUUCUAUUUUUAAUAGCAUGGCAUAGCUUUACCCAUUAAAACUGCUAUAGCGGCCGUAGUGGCCACUAUUUGGAACACUAAAAUUAGCAUAAAUGAAGAACCUAGAGAUACGCAGAAAAUUAAUAUUCUUCAAGCCACAAUGGGGAAAUAUUGUCUCGAUCAAUUCAAAUCCGAAAUCGCCUUCAAUUAGUCACCAACAAGGGAUAAGAUUAAUAAAAACUGCAGCAGCACACAGCAGGAGAAUAAAGGCAGAAGAGAGAAGGGUGAAAAUAACAGAACCCAAUUCAGGUCAGAAAAUAGAGGAAAAGAGUGUGUCCAAUCCAGGGACAGCAAAGGGGAGAGAAGAAGGCCCAACUCAAGGCAAGAGGAAGAGAGAGGGAAAAAGAGAGAAAAAACAUUAAAGAGAAACGAUUUUCAUUAACAAAGAUUUCAUCAUAUCAUACCACUCAUCCCUGAUCCUUACUUUACCCUACAUAUGAAGGCACUAAACUAGACCUACAAUGAGUUUUUAAUCCUUCAAGACAUAAUAAGACUCUUAUUAAGGAAAGAAGUUCCUAUAGGAUCCAAACCAUCCUAAAGGCUCCCGAUUAGUCUUAUAGAAGCCCAAAGAGAGGACUCUAAAACUAAAAAUACAGACAAAAACCAUCCGAAAACCUUUCAAACAUAUAAACCUUCCAACAGUAGACCAAACACAGAUUAUGGAAGCCUAGCACAAAGGUAAGAAAAUUUAGACCAAAACCUAUCUAAUUAGACACUGAGUUGACUCAUAUAAAACAGCCGAGCUAAGACAUCAACUAAUUGUUCGAACUUGAUCUCAACCAGGAUUUAAAAAUCAUGAAUUACGCCAGUUAAGUGGCUUGACUAUUUAUUUCUACAAUAAGAAAUUUUCACAAUAUCAACAUUUCAUUUAGAUUAAGCUACAAUCAUGCUAAGUAAUGAACUGAAGUAACAAUAUAAUCAAAACGAGUAUAACGAAGUAGCACCUACACUAAAGACACAUCGUAUAAAUCCAUUUAACUCUCAAAUACAUAAAACUGCUCAUGCUUCGGUUUAAGCAUCUAGCCGUAUCAACUUUCUAUAGAUCUUCAUUAACUAUCCUCUCAACUUGCUUCUUCACAUUUACAAUUUCUCCUUCAGAUCUCAAGGAAACAAUCAAUGUUUUAAAGAAGCGGAAUUUGGACAAAUGGCAUUUUAGAACUGUGGAAAUGAUAGGAUUGGUUAUUUAAAAGUUUUAAGACAAAGAAAUGAAGAGUUCAGACAACCUAUAUACCCCUUGACCCUAUCAACUUCACCAAUGCAUGUAUGGAAAGUACUCAACUUUAUAAGAACAAGAGGAAAAAAUACACCAAUUUGAGUUGGAUUUGCAGUAAUUAUGAGUCUGAAAAUACCCUUCGAAUCUAAGAUUGACUAAGAGCAAAUGAAAUAAUAAUAAUAAUAAUAAUAAUAAUGAAUUUGAGUCCAAUCAAAUUUUAUAACUAAAUCUAAAUCUUGAGCUGCAAAAUCAAUUAAACCCUUUGUUGAUGUGCCAAUGGACCCUAACUGGGUGAUGAACAGACUAUUAAUAAGGCGUGCAAUCAUUUACAAGCACAAAAUAUUAAUAUAGAAGGACAGUAAUGUAGCUCAAUGUCAGUAUAGGCCCAAAUAAAGAAAAGCUAGAUUAAGCAUUUUGGAGUUUAAAACCGGACUAAUCAUGGUCUAAAUUGUUUGAAUCAGGUUGUAUUAAAUCUAGAUUGAGGCUAGUUAGAAUUUCAGACGUCUUCUUUAUCCUUUCUAUAAAUUUUGCAUAAAUCUUGUCCAUAAGUUUUUGAUAAUAAAAAUUCUGGCUAGUUAUCAAUACCAUCUAAAUAGGAGUAUUAGAUGAAUAAAGCAAGAAUGGCUAAUUGCACCAUUAGGCCCCAACAUUUUCUCGACUUUUCACUUCGGUCCCUCGCCCUUAUUAUUAUUUACUUUAAUUCUGUCUCUACCAUUAAAACUCUGUCAACUCCACCAGAAACUAACAUGUCAGCACCGAACAAUGUUUGCCACGUCAACACCAACCUUGCCACAUGGCAAUUUCUGUCGAAUUAAACAGCAUUUUUUAUGGCAAGCAAUUAAUUGAAACGAAUAAUAUAUUAGGAAACUAGCUUCAAAAAUUGAAAGGUUCGGGACCAAAGUAAGAAAUUGAGAAAAAUUGGGGAUUUCCAGUACAAUUAACCCUAAAAGUAAGCAACAGCAUGUAUAGGUACAAUUUGAGGACUUAGAUCUUCCUUCCUGGGAUGUUGAGUAAUCCAAAAUACAGUAUCUUGAUUGAAGAAGUGAUCAAAGCUUUGUUUAUUUGUCUUGAGAUUUAUUCCUCCAUUCUUCUUUUUCCAUUUUCUCUUUUCCUAUCCAUCUACUUUGCUGUUCUUGAAAUUAAAAUUCAUCCAUUUUAAGAUGUUGAUUCCCACCAAAAGAAUGUCUAAUGCUUAAUAACCCAAAAGGAAGCAUUAAUCCCAUCUAAACCACAUUCGCCAUUUGUUCAGUUCCAAUCCUCCCAGAAACAAGAUUAACUCCACUCACGUGCUACUGAUUCAAUUGCAUCAGAAAAAGGCAAAUUUGGAAAACAUUGCUUGAGUAACAAAUAUAAAAGUAGAAAUGAUUGCAUUAUAGGACUGACAGGUGUCACAAUAAUUAAGAAGUAACGGCAAGGCAUAAAACUAAGUUUGAAUAUAAACUAUAAAAUCUAGGUGGUAAAGAAUCUAUUAUCUAUAUAAACAGAUCUAGGUAGAAAGGUUAGUAACUAAGGAGAGAUGCAUAUCAGCUGAAAAGACAUUUAGUUUGACAUGCUGUUAAAGUUGGAACAUCAAAGAAAUGACAAGGAAAACAGGACUAUAUUAUUGCUGUACCAAAACAACCCGAAAAAGCCUGAAAAGUUGAUGCCAAUGAUUGUAAUGGCAGAGAUGAUUAGAUGGUAAUUUUGAAAAACGAUGUACAUAACACCAACACUACAAGUUCACUUUGGCAUACAGACACAUUUAUGAUAAUAAUAGUGAAACAGUGUAUCCUGGCCAUAUGACCUGGAAACAACAGCAGAAAUUACUAAAAUAGCCGAUAUUAAAGCAUUGCAAAUAUUUAAUCUCCAUAGAAGGGUUUAACUAUAAGAGGAACUAAUUCAACAAUCGAGCAUAAGUUGUAUACUCGUAUUCCAAUAGAAAAACAGCCAUUAAUAUAGAAAUGGACCAAAACAAACAAGAUCAGUUACAGUAAUAGUAAUAAGCUAAAUACAAAAUCAAAAUAAAAUAGAAUAAGAACCUGUUGAUUGAUUGGUGCUCCUCCAUAUGCAACGACCACUCUAACACCAGUCUGAUAGGCAAACUUUCUUGCUUCGUCAUGUAUCUAGCGAAUCAAUAUAAGUAAAGAAACAAAAAAUGCAACAGUGAGAACCCAUAUUUAACCAUAAUUACAAGUAGCGCGAAAAAGUAAACAAAUAAAUAAAUAAAAUUUUAAACAUACUUGGGCUGAGAGCUCCCUAGUAGGAGACAAAAUCAGUGCGAGAGGAUACGCCGUCCUCGACCCCCUCUGCCUUUGCGGGGCCUGCCCCCUCAUGAUUCCGCUGAUAAUAGGGAAGCAGAAAGCCGCCGUCUUUCCCGACCCCGUCUGAGCACAGGCCAUCAGGUCCCGCCCGGCGAGCGAGAUGGGAAUUGCAUGGCGCUGCACCGGCGUCGGUUUCACGUACUUGCAUCUCUGAAUAUUCUCAUUCAAUGCAUGGCCCAAAUCAAUCUCCGCGAAAGUGUUCACCGGUGGGGGUACAUCGUUGCCGCUGGUCUCCACAGGAAUAUCCUCAUAAGCAUCAAAAUUAAUCCCAGUGUUCUCCUGUCCCUCAAAAUUUGCAUCCGCAGAAUCGUCGUUCGCAAACGGGUUGGCCUCCCGCUCCCUUCGGUCCCAUCCACCAGUCCUGGAGUUCCAUCCGCCUCCACCACCGCUACUGCUGCCUCCGCGGCUGCUACUGCCAGCGAAGCCAGGUCGGCCCAGGUCACGAACGGGGCCGCCGCUGCCGCUGCCUCCGCCGCCGCCGCCCCCCCAGCGGGGAGCGCCGCCAGGGGGUGCGAACCCAGAGGGCCUCUGAGGGGCAGAGGGGGCAUCAGCAGGGGACGAAGCGGGGGGUUCAGGAGUCACCGGCCGGUUGCGGAGAUGCGGAGGAACGUAAGUGCUGCGAGAAGGGCGAGAGGACAGAGCGGCGGUGGCGGAAUUGUUCGCAGAAGCGCCAGAUGCGGCCGCCGAGUUCUCGGCGUUCGCAACUGAAUCAGCCCAUGAAGAUCGCAUAAUUUUUUUCAAGAACGAUCAAACCCUAGAUCGAAACCUUCGAUCUGCUACGAUAAUUCAACGCAGAUCUAAGCACUCCAAAUAAACAGAUUGACGAAAACCCUAAAUCCAAGAUAAUGACAAAACAAGAAAAAAAAAGAAAAAAAAUCAGAAAUUUGUCAACCGAAACGGAAAUCCAAGCCCUAAACUUCAGGAAAAAGUCGGAAACGAAAAUCAAAUCUUAAAAAACACGGUUCGAUCUGACAAACUAACCGAUUUUUGCCCUAAAAAAAGUAAUGAAGUGUAGAGAAGAACCUGGAUUGAAGAAGAGAGAGACGAGGAAGCCUCAGAUCGACGAGUCGAGAAGGGAAGAAGAAACCCUGAUAAGGUUAGGGUAGAGAGAAAGACGUUCGGAGAAACUUUAUUAAUAUCUCCGGGUCUCGCUCUUUUAUUAUGACUCGAGCUGGUUUCGGUUCGGUCCUAUUGGUGGUUUAAAUUUCGGACUAUUGUAGUGGAGAGACGUCGCCGAGCAAACAAACGGGUUGCAAUUGUUGGUACGCGACCGCGUACGCUCCAACUAGCGCGUGGCUAUAAGCAAACUAACUCGUGCUCUUUCUAUUGCUGCCGACUCUCAGGCGAGUCGCAAAGGAUUUGGUAAAAAAUUUGAUGAUCCAUACUUAAAAUUUCAAAUUCGAAUCAUAAUUAAUUUAUAUUUUUAGAUAAAUUUAUUUGUAAAUAAGAUAAAUGAUCGUAAUUUAAUAGCACUAAUAUUCUAGGCUAGUUCUAUAUGAUAUAAUAAUAUAUAUUUAAUACUAUAAAAUAAAUUACUAGAUAUUUAUAAAUAAUAUUUAUAAAUAAAAUAUUAUAUAAUAAAUAUAUUUAUAAUAUUUUUAGAUAAAUUUAUUUUUAAAUAAGAUAAACGAUCGUAACUUAAUAGCACUAAUAUUCUAGCCUAGUUCUAUAUAAUAAUAUAUAUUUAAUAUUAUAAAAUAAAUUACUAAAUAUUUAUAAACAAUACUUAUAAAUAAAAUUAUAUAAUAAAUAUAUUUAUAAAUAUGUCAUGUCCCGGAUUCCUCGUUUCCCUAGGCACGCUAACAGACCCGACGUAUACAUAGAAAUUUUUUCUGUAUACGAAGCGAAGCUGUACAUAUACCUAUAAUCAUACAACACUACAACCAGUAGUAUAGAGCUGCUAGAAAAGAAUAAAACAUAUAUAAUAACAGUGAUUCAAUACAUACAUAGUAUCUAGGGUACAAAAAUACUCGCUCUAGCGAGGUACAACAUCAGUAUGUAAAGAACCAAAAACUACAACUACUUGUAGCCGGUACUCCUCUAGCUCUAUGACUCGUCUGGAAUGGCGCUAACUCACAACGCCCUUACCACGAUCAGUAUCAGCAAUAGCAGCAGGCGCAACCGAAGGCUCUACAAAAGAUUUACAAGUAGGCGUGAGAACUACUGCAAAAAGAAGUAGCCCUCAAUGGGUACAACUACCGACCUCAACGGCUCAACCACUAAAUCUACAGAGGGUAUGCUCAAUGAUAGUAAAGGAACUGAAAUAAUCUACAGCUACAUGCCACUCUACUAUCAUAAUUCGACACUACUAUCUGUAGAAUAAUACGAUUUCUGACCUAAUCUCACUAGGGACUGUGAAUACACCCAUCCCAGUGACUAUGAAUACACGCGUCCCGCCUGUCGAAACUAUACAGCUACCUCCACGCUCAGCCGUCCGUGGAGAGCAAGUCCAACCAGGACACAACGACACCAACGCAAACACACAAAGCCCGACUUCAGAGUGGCACUCGUGGGCGUUACCUAACCGAGUAUACAAGCGUAUCUCUGUCGAGCUCAAUCAGGCUCUCACAGGCUAUAGUCAAGUAAACAGGGUCUAACUUGCCCAACAACCAAACUCACGUGCUCUCGGCACAAUCUGAUGCAAAAACAGCAAUCCGGGUCUACCGUCAACCUCAACGGCAUCUGACAGUCCGGAACAGUCUAAACACUGCUGUAAAAAUAAGCUUGGCAUCUCAGCACGAGCGUAAAUACAUUCUACACUAUCCUGGAUAUCCACCGUCCACAAACUGCGUUGAUACAAACAAACUACGGCUCCUAGAGCUAAAUCUUAUAGUUUUAACAUAUAACAGUGUAGAAACGCCAGUUUUCUCCUAAGUCAAAUCCAAGUUCAACACGUAUAAUUUAGCUAAUAUUCUAGGCUCCAAUUCAGAUUUUAGAAUGAUACAAAUCAUCGAAUUGAGCUACUAAUAUGAAGAACAAAGCUAAAAUACAUGCUCACAACCUAUAAACUUAGGAGGUUAAUCCGCAAAUUCCGGCAAGCAUCAUUAACCCACCUCUAGCGCUAAUCCACGGCAACCCGAGGUCACGAAGUCGCUGGAAACUCUGCCGAGACCAAUCGAAAUCCCCCAGAACCAGCAACCAAACCACUCCAAUGAUCUAAACAUCGAAAACACAAAAACUUGCAUUAUAACUCCCAAAUUUCAGCACUUAAGCUUAAACCUUCAAUUCCAAUGUCAAAACUCACCUAUCAAUCCCCAAAUCCACAAUUCAGGUGAAGAACACUCUCAAAACCAGUAGGGGAAAGGUGGAGCAACUUCCUCUGGUCGAAAAUCCAGUUCUCUCUAAGAAUUGGUCCAAAAACAAUCAAAGAAAACUCACUUUCAGGACCAAAACACCAGCAGCUCAGUAAAAUACGAAAUUGACUAUACAAACCUCAAUCAAUUUUUGUCAAACAGAGUUCCACGAAAUUUUCAGGAAGUCAACUAACCACCAAAACCAAGUUUCACAGCAAUCCGACUUUCCUACGUCGCACACGAGCCAAAACGCCAAAGGUCGCUGCUGGAAUCUGCUAAAACUGCACCUCUCAAGCUUCAAAUUGUGAAAUUUGGAGUAAUUUAAGGAGUUUAGAGGGGUUGGAAUGCAAAAUAUGGGUUCACUGUGAAGAGAGGUGAAAAGAGCUCACUGGGGUCGAACACUACCUAUUUAUAAGGAGGUGGAAGAGUCAGAUAAGCCCCAAGAACAAAUGACACUAGCCUGCUGUCCCAGCAGAAACAGCCACUUUUAGGCGCCCAGAACCCCUUUCUGGGCUUCCGAAACCUCCACGCUACACAAUUGCUCCUCUUCGGUUCCUCCACCAGCAUUGUGCUGCGCCCAUAUCCUGGUCCGGCAGACCUCACCUACCACCAGCCACGUGCCAGCGCAAACAAUAUUCACGAAAUAAACUUUUGGACCCUCUUCUGGGCGCUCGAAACUAAGAUCCGAAUUGGCUUCCAGUUCAGCACUCGAGUUCUGGGCGGCCCAAACCCUGUUCUGGGCGCCCGAAACUGACAAAACUUCAGUUUUGCUCUUUUGAGUGCGCCAAGUCCAUUUCUGCAUCCAUUUCGUGCAAAAACGACUCCGAUUCAGCCCGACACUCUCCAGAUGUGUCGACCAGUCACUAAUACUGUAGCCAAUCCUAUCCAAACCUCUGGAACACUACAAAAUAUGUUUAUAUAUUUAAUAUAUGUAUAUAUAUAAUAAAAUAUUAUAUAUUAAAUAUAUAAUAUGUAUAUAUUUAAUACUAGAUAUUUAUAAAUAAUAUAUUAAAAAUAAAAUACUAUCUUUAAAAUAUAUAUAUAAAUAUAUAUCUAUCUAUCUAUAUCUAUAAUCUAUAAUAAUAUAAUAUAAAAGCGUAUAGAAAUUCCGACUAAAUCCAAACAGGAAUAAAAUAAUAUUCCCUAUGAAUGGUUAUGUUUAAUUUGUUAAAAAUAUCUCAAAUAAAAAUGAACGGUUAUGAUCAAUCUAUUAAAAAUAGCAUUCUAUCUAUCAAUAUAUCAAAUCUUGCGAAUGGUUAUGAUUAAUUUGUUAAAAUAUAUUUCAAAUAAAAAUUACGGUUAGAUCAAUCUAUAAAAAAAAAAGUAUUCCUAUCGAUAGAUUUUACAUUAAAAUUAAAAAUUUGAGUUUAAAUCAUGAAUUGAAUUUAAUUUUGAUAUCAAAUUUGUAUUAAUAAUUAAAAAUUUUAGUUAUAGUGGAUCAAAAUUAAAUUUAAAAUUUUAAAUUUAUAAAUUUUGGAUAUCAAAUUUGAAUUAACAAUUAAAAUAUUUAAUUACAGUAAACUAAAUAAAAUUUCAAAAGUAAAUGUGAAUUAAAUUUUGACGCUUUUAGUUUAAUAAUAAUAACUUUAAAUUUUAAAUUUAUCAUAAUUCAAAAAUAUAUAAAAUAUUCAAUAUAUAUUAUGAAAAAAUUAUCUAAUAAAAUAUAACAAUAUUCAUUAUAAAACAUAAUUUUAUUGUAAAUUUUUGCAGCUAGUAAUAUCUAUCUAUACUACUUAUAAAAAGAAGUUUUUAAAAAUUUUUUCUUUUCCAAAAUGUCACUCCAUAUAAUAUAAUUUCAAUCAUAUACUAAUAAUAUCAUUCGUUCAAUUUUAAUAAGUAUAAAUUACAGCCGUACAAUUUUUAUUUAUUUUUAAAUUAUCAUAUAAUAUAUUAAUUUUUAACCAUUGGAUCUAAUUCAAUGGCAGACGAUUUAAGUAUCUGUCACUUUUUUUAUCUAAAUUGCUCUUAGACAGUGCAUAUCAAAUCCCACAUUUUAUACGCGUACCUUAUCUCCUAAUAACCGUCAUCUAUAUAAUAUCCACAUUCCAUUUUAUUUAAUAACUUAUCUAAUAAUAAUUCUCAUACUUAUCUAAGCAUAUAAAAAUUUUUAUAAUAACAAACGGAAUAUAAAGAAAUAAAAAAGAUAUUUCAUACUGACGGUUAUGAUUAAUUUGUUAAAAAAUAUCUUAAAUAAAAACGAAUAGUUAUGAUUAAUCUAUUAGAAAAUAGCAUUCUUAUCUAUCAAUAUAUCAAAUUCUACGAAUGUUUAUGAUUAAUUUUUUAAAAAAUAUUUCAAAUAAAAAUAAGGGUUACAAUCAAUCUAUUAAAAAUUAGCAUUUAUAUUCAUAGAUUUUAUAUUGAAAUUAAAAUUUGAGUUUAAAUCAUGAAUUGCAUUUAAUUUUGGACAUCAAAUUUGAAUUAACAAAUAAAAAAUUUUAUUAUAGUGGAUCAAAAUUAAAUUUUAAAAAUUUUAAAUUUAUAAAUUUUGGAUAUCAAAUUUGAAUUACCAAUUAAAAUAACAGAAUUCAAAAAAUAUAUAAAAAUAUUCAAUGUAUAUAUUGAAAAAAUUAUCUAAUAAAAUAUAACAUAUUCAUUUAUAAAACAUAAUUUUUAUUGUAAAUUUUUGCAGCUAGUAAUAUCUAUACUACUUAUAAAAGAGCGAGUUUUAAAAAAUUUUUCUUUUCCAAAAUGCCACUCCAUAUUAAUAUAAUUCCAAUCAUAUCAUAUACUAACAAUAUCAUUCAUUCAAUUUUAAUAGGUAUAAAUUACAGCCGUAUAAUUUUAAUUUUAAAUUAUCAUAGAAUAUAUUAAUUUUUAGCCAGUGGAUCUAAUUCAAUGGCAGACGAUUUAAGUAUCUGUCACUUUUUUUUAUCUAAAUUGCUCUUAGACAGUGUAUUUUUUUUUUUUUUGAAAAAAACACCAUAAGGCAUUUAUUUCAUAGGAUAAACAGUUACAGACUUCUCAAACUCUGCAAAAGAAGACCAACUAGAAGCUACCUAGGGACCAAGGCCCCAUUUAGCUAGUUUAUCAACAUGUUGUGAAAAUGAACUAUAUCUAGAAGAACACCGUAUAAGAAUAUUAUUAUUGGACUCCAAAAGGCGUCGAAGCGAAGCAAUACGCUAUAAUUCUUGUAGUGAAAACGGGAUAUGCUGGUCCUUAAACAAACAGGAACGAAUGAUAGUAGUCGAAUAUGUGUAAAUUGAGCACUUGAUAUUUGGCCGAUUAUUUAGAAGCCACUUAACCGCCUCAGUACAUGCUUGUAUCUCUACAGCAAGAGCAGUUUCUGAAUCGAUGGAAGGUGCUGCGCAACAAUAAAUGACCACAUGCCCUUCUAUGACUAAAUAUCCAAUUCCAUCCGAGCGAUUUUCCAUCCAAGCACCAUCCACCCAACAGAUGGUAUUUGGUAGUGAAAAAGAAUUGAUAGUCGCCGGAUCAGGAAUAUGGAGAGGCUGAAGGUGAGCUUUGCUAUAGAGCUUCGUCCAUAUUCUCGCAUUCCUCAAAACUUUCGAACACGAAAAUUUCUUGUGCUGAAAAAUAUAAUCAUUUCGUGCCUUCCAAAUGGACCACAACACAUGCAUGUAGUAUGCCCGAAUCUCGUAAAAACGUUCAUUGUUAAUGAGUGCAUCCAACCACUCUAUGAAAGUUAUUGAAGACUGUGCAGUGCGCAAACCACACUGCGAGGCAAACCACACUUGCUGACUUAAUGGACAAUGAAAGAACAGAUGAUCCCUCGUCUCAGACUGCUCCUGGCAUAGUGGGCAUGAGUCUUCAAAAUGAGGUAUACGCUCCGCAAGAUUGAUGCCCACUGGAAGAGCAUCCACAACAGCACGCCAAAUGAAUAGUUUAACCUGCGGCAUAACUUCCUUGAGCUUCCAAAUUUUAAAACAGAUACCUUGCGUUCUUGCAUUGAUCCCAUGAUUCAAACUUGAAGAUUGCUAUCGGUUCAGAUACGAAAUCGCCAAGCUUAGGGUGAAACGUCCUGUAGAUGUAGCCUUCCACCGAGUGUGCUCCCCCAUUUGUUCAAAUGCCCCGUGUAGAACAUGUCUCAUACUCAGCAUAGAUUUCCAAAUAUGAGAGGCAUUUGAUCUAGCUAUUGCUAUCCAAAAAUCCUGCACUAGGUAUUUGUGUAUGAUAGCUUUCGCCCACAGGGAGUUAGGACAGUGUAGGAAACUCCAAACCAAUUUAGUAACAAGCGCUCUGUUGAGUACUUCCAGGGAAGGAAUUUCCAAUCCUCCAUCUUUUCGAUCUCUCGUGAGUUUUGACCACGCCCGCAGGUAUAAAUGCUUAUUAGAGUCAUCAAACCCCCAACAAAAGUCUCUAAUAACACUUUCAAUCUUGUGAAUGUACUUGGCCGGAAGAAUAAUAAAACUGAGAUAAAAGCGUGGUAUAGCAAGUAAAACAGAUUGGAUGAGAGUUAGUCUUCCAGCAUGGGAGAGACUUUUAGCUUUCCAACCUGUUAAUCUCUUUUGCAAGCGAAUAAUAACAAGCUCGAAUGUAUUAGUAAGGCUUCUUUCAAGAAAAAAGGGGUUCCCUAGAUGCUUGCCUUGCAAGGGUGCAUCAUUUAUAUUUAGCUCCAGUCGAAUAGCAUCUCGUUGUACCUCGCUCAUGUGUCGAUUGAAAAUAAUUGGUGAUUUGGAAUAGUUAAUUUCUUCCCCAAAUAAUUCACAAAAAUUAAGAAGAAGCAUCUUAAGGGCACAACUAUCAUUAUUGGUUGCUUUUGAGAAAACAAAUAGAUCGUUGGCGUACAAAACAUGAGUUAGAAUUGGUCCCCCAGUUCCAAGGCGAAUCCCUUCUAACGAAUUUUCCAUAGCGGCUGCCUUGAACAUUGCAGAUAAUGCAUUGAUGGCUAAUAUGAAUAAGUAAGGGGAAAGUGGACAUGCUUGCCGUAGGCCUCUAGUCGGUUUGAACCAGCUAGAAUCCUCACCAUUAAUUAAAACUGAAUAAUCAACAGUGGAGAUGCACCAAUUAACCCACUUACAAAACCUUUCACGAAAUCCGUAUUUAUGGAGCAUAAUGAGAAGAAAGUCCCAACUUAGUCGAUCGUAAGCCUUAGCUAGGUCAAUUUUAAUAGCCACGGCCCCCGAUUUAUGAUGCAUCAGUUUAAAAGUAUGUAAGACUUCCUGGGUGAGUAAAUAAUUGUCAGUAAUGCUUCUACCUAGGACGAAAGCAGAUUGCUCCGGAGCUAUGAGAUCAGGAAGAAUCGCCUUUAGUCUGUUAACAAGGAUCUUUGCUAGACACUUGUAUGUGACGUUGCAUAAACUAAUUGGCCUGAAAUCAGUAAUAUGCUCGGGGUGAUCUUUCUUUGGAAUAAGAACAAUGGAUGUCUUAUUAAUGCUUGUGGGGACAUCCUUUUCACUGAAGAAAGCCUGCACUAAUGAAAAUAGGUUAGUGUGUACCAGAUCCCAAUAGGUUUGGAAAAAACGAGGAGAAAACCCAUCUGGGCCCGGUGAUUUAUCAGGCUUCAUACUAAAUAGCGCAGCCCGCAACUCGGAGAGUUGGGGAGGCGCUAUUAACUGUGCUGCAUUAGUAGAGGAGAUAGUAGGGAGAAAGCGGUCAAAAGUACUCCAUUUUGAAGCAGAGGUAUCACAAAAAUGUGGUAAACAAUAGCAAUGAUUAAAGUGCUGGGUAAUAUGCUCCCGAAUUUCAGAUUGAUCAGUGAGCACGAAUCCCGAAUUGUUCUUUAGCAUGGUAAUGGUAUUCCUCUUCUUUCUCUGCGAAGCCUUUGCAUGAAAAUACGUAGUGUUUCGAUUUCCGAACCUGAUCCAAUUGUCUUUAGCUCUUUGUGCCCAAAAUAGUCCUUGCUUGUACAAAAAAUCCUCGUACAUCGCUGUAAGCGAACCCUCAUUCUUCCUAGCCAGAUCGCUAAGAGGAAACCUUUGCAGCUUAGUAAGUUGUUGAAACGUACUAUCCAAUUGGGCUCGCAAAUUGAGACGGUGCGCUCCUGCCCAACGACUCAGUUCAAAAGAGAGUCGACGGAGUCGUCGCGGCAUGGAAGCUCCCGAGUCAGAAGUCCAACUCUGCCGAACUACUUGCUUGAAGUCCUCUUGAAGCAACCACCAAUUUUCGAAUCGAAAUUGCUUUUUCCGGAGGGCAUUCGAUACAUGCAAUGAGAGGAGUAGAGGACUAUGGUCACUGGCAACUGUAGGCAGAAGUACUAAACAGGCUGCAGGAAAAAUAUUUGACCAUUGAGAGUCUACGAGCACUCUAUCAAGUCGCUCAAGGAUCGUGAAUGGAGGUUUUUGUUUAUUAGUCCAGGUAUAACCCGGCCCGACAAACUUAACCUCAAAAAACCCUCAUGCUUGGAUGAAACGGCGCAGCAGAGUGUUGGACAGAGAUGAAGUGAGGUACCUCCUAAUUUAUCUUGCGGGUCAAGUAUACAGAUAAAAUCUCCAAUGAGCAUAGUCGGGAGGCUUGCUUGCUUAAUAAGAUCAAGGAGUACGUAAAUUCCACACAAUAGCAACUUGUAGCAGAGAUGGGUUGAUAUAGACUCCGACAAAAAGCCAAGGAGGGGAGUCAGCAACAUCAACAGUGGCGAGAAUGAAAGCGGCAGAUGAAGCAAAAAUUUUAAUAUGAAUCUCAUCAGACCAAAGGAGUGCUAAGCCCCCAGAACGACCAUUCGUAGGGACAAAAAUUUAUUUCGUAGCUUCGGUGGAAAGGGAACAUCAUUAGCUCGCCGACGGGAUCACUUCAUUUCAAAUAAGAAGAAAAUCGAAGGCGAAGUGGCCGUCGUCAUGGAGAACUGUAGGGGCGCCUCCGAGCCCCAUACAAUUCCACUCGAUGAUCCUCAUUGAUCGAGUGACGGCGCGUUAUCCAAUGCCGUCACCAUUUCGUUAUUAGGAAAAACAAGUUGUUGCAAGGCCUCCACGCAAACAGGUUCAGUUAUCACCAAGCUGGUGUGGUCGCGUCUUUUAAAACUAGUCUUAUUAGCCGCAAGUCGAUUGACCUUUUCCAAACGUCCAGGCAAACCAGGAAUUGGGCCGAGCACCCGUGAGUCAGAAUUGCUCAUAACAUGAAUCGGGACGUUAAAAAUAGAGCCACUAUGUUCGGUAAUCUGGAUUAUAUCCUGGUUCGGCAAGGCCACCUGAUUGGGCUCUGACGUAGUCGGUGCAUUAGGUUCAAGGUGCAUUGUGUUGUCCACCUGGUUUAAUGUAGGAAAAAUUGGUGUGAUUAUUGAUUGGCUCACAUUUGUAGCGGUACAGGAGAUAUUUAAGACAGUUAUGCUUGCUUUGUUGGUAGUGUCUAUCGGAAUCUUGCUGCAUGAUUGGAGCAACUGAUUCUCCCACCUGAUUCUUGGUCACCCACACCAUCCUUAUCAGGAAAGUAUCUUGUCUCUAAGGCACCUUCCAAAAUCGAAUCCGCAUUCUUGGAAACAGAUUUCAAAAAUCUUGUCCUUCAGGAAGGUAAUCUUCAUAGAAAUACUAACAUUGUGCUUGAUGUCGCCAUCUGAUGCACUGACCGUAACAGGCAACGGCCCUGCCAUUGCCGCAGCCGAGAUGGAUGUUGGAUAACGAGGACGAAGGAAAUCAAUAAUUCCUGCUUGAUCCGACACAGAUGUGUCAGGAGGAAUGAGGUCUAUCAUUGAUUCACGGACUCUGCUAUGUUCCAUAUCAUGACCAAUUAAUCCGCAAAAAAUGCAAAACCGAGGCAAACGUUCAUAUGCAAUCUUUAGAUUAAAGGGCUCGAUGUCAAUGAUGUGAGCGACCAACUUAUCUUUCAAUAGUUGACGAAGAUCAAUGAGUACACGAACCCGAAUAUAAUUAGGCCGGACUAAGCGAGAGUUCGGAAUUACAGGUAGCACCUCACCAAGCUCCUUUGCCAAUUUGAGAGCGAUAUUAGGUAGAAGCAAAUCCGGAGGCAAUCAAUGAAGCUGCACCCACAUUGGUGUGUAAUGCAACUUGUAUUUCUCUAACUGAGUAAACAUUCGGAAUCGCUCCAACAUUAGGAUAGAUCCAUUAUAGCACCAUGGGGAAGUAUUCCAAAUAGCCAUAAGGUCUACCUCCGAUCCAAAACUGAUGAAGAAUAUGCCGGUCUUAGCCUCUCGAAUAUCAAAAGACUUGACGAAGGGCCAAACCCGACGAAGGACACUAAGGAGCCCGUUCAAUGGCGGGUGAACAUCUGCAAGAAGUUUCGCCACAAAGCAGUGUCGGAAAAAAGGGUUCGGUGUAGCGUCCUUCAACCGGAGAGUUACCUUCGCCGUAGUUGGUGUAGACAAAAGCCCACGAAAUUUUGCCAAUAAAUCCUCUUCCAUAACAAGAGUGGAAAAGCAAUGUAUGGAGGAGAGUUCUGAUUAGAUAAGGAAUCAAAGGGGACAAAGGUGGUAAAUUAUGAGAUGAAGAGAAAGGAAGACGAAGGGAGUAGGGAAAAAGAGUUGAUGGUCCCUGAUAUGCUAACAGGCAAUACAAGCGAUAUUUUAGACAGUGCAUAUCAAAUCCCACAUUUUAUACGCGUACAUUAUCUCCUAAUAACUGCCAUCUAUAUAAUAUCCACAUUUCAUUUUAUCUAAUAACUUAUCUAAUAAUGAUUCUCAUAGUUAUCUAAGCAUAUAAAAAAUUUUAUAAUAACAAACGGAAUAUAAAAAAAAUAAAAAGAUAUUUCAUACCGACGGUUAUGAUUAAUUUGUUAAAAAAUAUCUUAAAUAAAAAUGAAUAGUUAUGAUCAAUCUAUUAUAAAAUAACAUUCUUAUCUCUCAAUAUAUCAAAUUCUACGAAUGGUUAUGAUUAAUUUUUUAAAAACUAUUUCAAAUAAAAACAAGGGUUACAAUCAAUCUAUUAAAAAUUAGCAUUUCUGUUCAUAGAUUUUAUAUUAAAAUUAAAAUUUGAUUUUAAAUCAUGAAUUGCAUUUAAUUUUGGAUAUCAAAUUUGAAUUAACAAAUAAAAAAUUUUAAUUACAGUAGAUCAUAAUUAAAUUUUAACAAAUUUAAAUUUAUAAAUUUUUGAUAUAAAAUUUGAAUUAACAAUUAAAAUAUUCUUCUAUACGUAUAUUUUUUAGUAAUAUCCUUUUUUAUUUUCACCCGUAUUUUUCUCAAAUAUUUUCAUUUUUUUUUUACACUAACAUCCUUUCUUAUUUGUCCCUGUCACUAGUACCGACACAUCGUCAUCCUCCUCCUCAUCGUUAUCGUCAUCGUCAUCGUCAACGCCGACGCCGGGACAUUGUCGUCUUCGCCACUUUCACUAUAUUUGGAAAGAGAUUUUGAUCUAACCUAAACAUUUUUUUUUAAUGUACUUUUAUACUGUUUUAGCAUUUUUUUUUUACCAUUUUCUCAUUUUCAUCUAUACAUUUCUCAAAUAUAAAUUAUAUAUGUUUUUAGUAAUAUCAUUUUUUUCAUUUUUACCUAUAUUUUUCUCAAAUAUUCUCAAAUAUUUUUUUAGUAAUAUUCUUUCUCAUUUGUCUCCGACGCCGGCACCGGCGCAUCAUCAUCAUUCUCCUUAUCGUCAUCACCGGCGUCGGCAUUUUGUCGUUUUGGCCACUUUCACCACAGUUUGAGAGGUAUUUUAAUCCCACUUAAAAAUUUUUCUUUUUCUUUAAUGUGCUUUUAUAUUGUUUUACUUUUUAAAUUUUUUUAAUAAAUUUUUUCUCUCUCAUAUUGAGAUUGGGGCUAAACUUAAGCAUAAACAGAAAAAAAAAUUUUAUUACUUGAGAUUUGGAUUGCUUAUAUUAAAUAUGGGCAAGUCUGCUUAAUUUCGGUGUAUUGCUUAUUUGGAUUUAUAUUUACGAUUGUAACAAACUCACAUGGCUAAAUUAAAGAACCAACAAAAAAAAAAAAAGAAGAAAAGAUGUGGUUAUAUCUAAUUGAUUUGGGCUUGAACUUGCUUAAAUUGUAAUUUGGACUUGAAAUUAUUAAGAUCUGAAAUAAAUUUAUUAGGACAAAAUAAAGUACUUAAAAAAAAUUUAAGUUGAUUUGGGUUUGGGCUUGCCUGGGUGUACUAAAUUUAUCUACACUAAUUACAAAAGUGUGAAUUUUAAAUCUUUUUCUUUUCCAAAAUGCUAUAUGCUAUUAAUAUAAUUCUAAUCACAUACUAACAAUAUCAUUCAUUCAACUUUUAUGGAUAUAAAUUACAGUCGUAUAAUUUUUAUUUUAUUUUCAAAUUAUCAUAAAAUUUAUUAAUUCUUAAUUAUUGGAUCUAAUCCAAUGGCCUACAAAUUAAGUAUCUAUCACUUUUUUUAAUCUAAAUUGUCCGCAGGCAGUGCGUAUCAAAUCCUAUAUAGCAUACUGAACUUUAGCAAAUUGUAAGGUUCCAGUGUAUGAAUAGUGCUUUGAGCUAUUUUGGAAGUUUUGAGGGUUGUCUAUGAUACAUUAACCUGUUUUCGGAGCUAAUUAGGCGCGAGAACGGGUUCUUGACAUCAAAAUCUACAACUACAGAUUUUAGUAUUGAGUAUCGGUACUGGCUUAAGGUACUGGGACUCAGUAGAGUGCCGAAAUGGGCAGCUCUCGGGUUUUGCGGAAUCAAGUAGUGAGUGCCGAUAUUAAGCAGAGUACCGGUACUACAUCAGGCGGGUACCGGAACGCAGUUGAAAGCCAGAAUUUUCAACGUUCAGGUUUUGCGGAACUAAACCCUUGGUACCAGAAUUGCCGAGUACCGGUACUCUAAUUCGUGUACUGGUACUCAAUGCCGACGGAUCAAAUUUCAUGCAGCAUGCAAUUUGUGGGUUUUUGAGGGACCUAGGGGGGAUUGUUACAGCAUGUUGUAUAACUCCUCAUUCUGUCACUUGUCUCCUCUUGUGCUGAAGCUAGAGAGAAGGGAAGGUAAGUGUUCCUUCUCUCUCUCUUGAAUUUCUCUGCCCAAACCUCUAAAUCUUGGGUUUUGAUCUCUUUUUUCUUCUUCUUCUUCUUCUUCAUAAAAGCUUGCAACUUGAACAUUGAUAGAAGCUUGGGAGUGAAGAAAGGAGCUUGUUUGAGGAUUCAACUCCAACCCUAGCAUUUUAUAGCUUGGUUUGGAGCUUUUGUUGAGAUUAGUAGUCUUCUUACAUUCUCUAAUUGUGAGUUUUGUAAGAAUUUUGGAAGAAAUUCUAGUUUUAAGGAAAUUAUGGUUUAUUUUGGAAUUUCUUGAUUUUAAGCUUUUAGGGUUGAAUUGAUGAGUGUAGAACACUCUUUUAGGUUGGAUUUGAAGCUUCUUAGCUUUGGUUUGGAUCUGGAACAAGUUCUACUUGAUCAAAAGUAUUUUUCACCUAUUUACUAUUGGAUUUUUGUUGAAUUUCGUGGUAAGCUUUUUAGGAACUUGUAACCCAUUGAGAAUUUUUCUUAGGAUGCUAGAAAUCUAGUGGGCAACCAUGUUUGAAGAAACGAAUGAGUUUUGAAGGAUAUCCAGUGGGUUUGAUCUCACCGAAAUAGAUAAACUUUUCCUAUGUCUUCUAUAUUGUUAUUGUUAUAGAAUUUAUUUGAUGCAUGUUCAUGCUAAUCUUGAUAUAAUAGAAUUUUUGAAUACAUGAGGCAUUGUAGUACCCUUAGCUUUUGAGUUGGUGAGGAAAAAAAAAAAAAUCUUUUGAGUGGGUGGAUAAGUAUCUCACCAACUCCCUCCUGAUACUUAUCAACUCAACCCAUUGAAACUAAUUAGCCUUCUCUCUCUAUCCCUCCUUAAUUUAGCUCGUGGGCAAGGUGGAGAGCUCGAGCUCGGGUGGAGUUGCCGUGGAGCUCGGAUCGACGCCGACGUCGCGCCACGGUGCCGUUCGAGCGGGUCUUCGUCAUCGUAGCGCUGCGAGGAAGCUAGGCGAGGGUGCGUUUUCGUCGUUCUCGACGCCGCGUCGAUGUCCGAUUAGCCUUUGAGGUGAGUGUUCCGUUGCAUUGCUUCAAGUAUUGUCAUUUCGAGCUUGGUGCUGAUUUGCAGAAUUUCCAGCGUCGACCGUCGGCGUUUCGACUCCCUCUCGACGUAGGAGCAGCGAAUUUCGACGAGACUUGGUUCGUUGGAUUCGGGACUUCGAGAAGAAUCCACGAAGCCCUUACUUGCUGGUUUUUGUGGAGGUUUUCUUGGUCGGAAUUAUUCUCUUCUCUGCUGCUGUUUUUGAGGCAGAAUCGGUGCUCAUUUUCGGAUUUUACGUGUAGAGUUUGGCGGGAGCGUGAUUUCUAGCCUUUGGAGGUUUGCGGAUUGAUCCAGCAGGGUGUUCCUUUGCUUCGGGACGUCCUCGCUGCUGGGGAUUAGCAUUUUAGGUGGGUUACAUCGGCUUUACUCCUGAGUUCUUAUUGGUCGACAUGUAUAGAUCUUGAUUUCGGUAUUUAAUUUUAGCUCAAAUUCAUGGAUUAUAUGUAGAUUGUGAAAUCUGAAUCUUGGAGCAUGUUUUUUUAAACUAAGUAGAUUAUACAUGUUGGACUUGGAAAUUGAAUUAGGAGAAAACCUGCGAUUUGGACCUGUCACCUGUAUAAACUGCCUGAUUUAGCUCUAGGAGCCGUUAGAAAAUUGUACUGUCGCAGUAUUGUCGAGACGAGUACUCCAGGUAGUUUAGAAUAUAUUUACACUCGUGCUGGUUCGCCGAGUGGAUUUUUACCGGGUCGUUCAGGUUAUUUCGGAUUGUUGGGUGCCGUCAGAGUUGACGGUAGACCCGUAUCGUCUUUUUGGCGUCAGAUUGUGCCGAGGACACAUUACCUGUUGGUUGUUAGACCAGUUUAGAGUCGGUUUCUUGACUUUGGCUUUCCAGAGCCUGUUUGAGCUCGACAGAGAUACGCUGCAUACUCGGUUGGGUAGCGCCCACGAGUGCCACUCCGGAGUCAGGCUUGUGCUUUUGCGUUGGUGUCGCUCAUGCCAGUUGGACUUGCUCUCCACGGACCAGUUAGAGUGGAUAGAGCCCGAUAGUCGCAACGGGGCAGGGACGGGUGUAUUCACAGUCCCGGGGACGGGUAUGCUUACAGUCCCGAUUUGGAUUGGGUCAGAUUUGACAUUUCCUACAGUUGGUUAGUGUAGAGCAUGAUAGUGUAGUGGAUGAUAGCGGUAGAGUGUACUUCCUGCUUUUCCUUCUAUCCUUGCUCCCUUCUGUAGACUUAGUGGGUGACCGAUGUCGUUUUGGGCGGUACCCACUGAGGACUACUUGUUUUUACAAUAGUUCUCACGCCCAGUUGUUACUUAUGUUUUGCAGAGCCACAGGUGCCGGCUGCUGCAUCUUCUGCCGAUCAGGAUCGAGGCAAGGGCGUUGCGAGCUAGAGCCCUACCCGACAGUCAGAGCUAGAGGCUUUCCCCUACUGCAGGUAGUUUUGUUUUGGAGUUUAUGUACAUAGUUGUUUAACUCGCCAGUGCGAGUAGCUUUGUAUUUUGGAUUCUAGCUAUGUAUAUGAAACUCAGAUAUUUAGCUUUUUUUUUUUUGAGCAGCUCUAUGCUACUGUUUGUAGUAUUGUAUUUCUACAGGUACUUUGACGCUUCGUAUACAGGGAAAAUUCCUUUGUAUACGGCGGAUUUGUCGGCGUGCCCGGGGAACGAGACAUCCGGGGCGUGACAGGCAUACAUGUUAUAUGUGAAAUUUUUGCGUACUUUCUAUAGUAGAGAGGUAUGGUGAUAACUUGCAUAUUAUGCCAAGGUAAUUGUACGAUGACAUUAAGUUUCUCUUAUGCAAUUAUAGAUAUGCAUGUAGAGAUGUUUGGUAGUAUCACUUGGAACACUACAUGAAUAGUAGAACUAGUGAGCUUGAACUUGGAAAACAAUAAAAUUUUACUUUCGACUGUGUCAUGGCCCGGCCCAGCGGAAGCCCGUCCGGCGCGUGUACAGACCCGCCGUGUAUACCAAACAACCACAAUGCACAUAAGGCAUCUACUGAACAAGAAUAAACAAGAGUAACAUCUUAACAAGGCUAUCAAAGCGAGUAAUAUAAAACCACUAAUGAUCUAUCACAAGAGAUCCACAAGAUAUACAUAAAGUAUACAAUUAAAUCCAAAAGUCUAACAAGAACUCUAAAUCAAAUACAUAAUACAUCUUUCCACAAAUAUAAAAAGAAAGAUGACAUCGGGUCCAUCUAAUAACUCCGUAGGGGCUCUAGUUAGUUGCUAACCCCUUGCCACGAUCCCUAGUCUCUCCUGCCGCGGAAGGCUCUGAAACAAAAACCAAUAACAAAUGGGGGUGAGAACUAUUAAAUAAUAGUUCCCAGUGGAUAAGCCGCCGAGAGUGGCGAAAUACACCAUUAGGUAAACUGAGGCAUACUAUAAAGGGGUAAGUAAACAACAUAUAUAAAUGACAAGUAAAAUAAACAUAUUCAUUUCUUAGUCAUACCUCUACUAAAGGAUUAACUAUCAAGUAUAUGAUGUUCUAAUCUCAUGUAAUCAACUAUAUGCCAAUGUUAAAUUACAUGCAUGUUCAUUAUUUUCAUAAUGCUACAACGAGUGAAUAUACUUUACAUUGCUACUCUAUCCAUGCAUCUAUACUAAUCAACAUAGAUGUAAAUAUACUACCACCAGAGUGUCAAUGCUAAAAAUGACUAACAUAAGGUCCACAAUAUACAGUAUCAUGCAUAUCCACUAGUCCAACUAAUAUGCACUAUUUAGUAGUAGUUUCCACAUUAUGCUUUAGAUAUCAUAGUUUAAUUCUCGUCAUGGAUCUAUACGUGUGUAGUCCGGCUUGCGUCGUGCUUAGGUGGCCCCGUGGUAGUCCAUAUUCCCCCGCAAGAAAUGAGCCUUUCCCACGGCAUACCAUUUCGGUGCCCAAUCCCGCACGGGCGAGCUUGUGUUGCGUAGGCUAUCUCCGGAGUGCCGGCUUGUGGGGAGCGACCUUCACAAGUAUGUGCGAAUGAGCACAAUGGCAAGUAAGAAUGAUCAAUAGUAUCUAGCUCUCGGUCAUCAUGUCUAAAAUAUGGAAUAAGUACCAACGACCCCAAAGGUCCAAUAUAGUAUCACAUUGUCAAGGUUUGUCAUUACUAAUUCAAACGUCACUAUAUGACGUUCAUGUUUACUCUGUCAAGUAUAAGUCACUAGUUCAUAAGCACAUAACACUUGUCAUUAUCCUAUCUAGAAUAGUUCACUAUUGUUUAAGUCUCAAUUGAGAGUUCACGCUUAUACUAUUCCACUAUAGCUAAGGGAAUCACUUUCUUAUGCCAUAUGCAUAGGUAUUACAAGAUAUUUACAAUGUCCAUGAUGUAUGUCAUGCAUAUACUUUUCUACCAAGUCCUCACUAUAUGGAAUGAAAAUAUUAUCAUGCAAGUGAGUUCCAUCAAUAAAUUCUACAUGCAAUUUAUUCUUCUUAUCAUUCGCCCAAAGGCGUUAAAUUCUCAUUUCAUAUGUCCAACACAAGGAAUACGACCAUCGAUCCCUAGAUCGAAUGUAAUAUCACAAUUUCAUACACUAGUUGUUCAACUAGAUUAGAUAUACCAAGCUUAGUUUCAUGAUGACCCUCUCAUGCACUAUGUCACAAUGUCAUAUUUAUCUUGUCUACAACGAGUAUACAUCAAUAUGCAACUAAUUGCUAAGUCUCAUUUAUUUCACAACUCAAGUAAGGUUCACAAGAUCAAUCUCUUAUUUAUCUCUAACAUGCUCUCUAUUAUUACAUAAUAGGCAAUACAACCACAUGUCAUAUAGAAUGCAAGUCCGCAUUAUAUACCUCUACUACAUAGAGUAUAAAUGUCCUACACAUAACAUGUAUGAAGCAUGUUUCCAUAAAUUCUAGCAUGUCAUAUUGAGCAUAAAUAUGCAUUUAAUUAAGUUUUAAAACCAUAGGGAAGACAUAGGGAGAGUUCACUAACCCUUUCGUUCCUUCGAACGAAGUUGUCCACCAAGCUCCUAGCACCCUAAAAAAAUUUCUAAUAGGGUUAAGGGUUUCGAACGAACACCCCACAAACACAACAAAAUUCAACCCAUAAAAGGUAGAAAAAUUACCUUUGACCAAGCUACAUUUGUCCAAAGCUCAAAUCAACCCAAUGGAUCUUCAAAUCUAACCUAAAGGAGAGUUUUACACUUAUCAAUUAGGUUCCAAAAGCCUCAAAUCAAGAAACCCAAAAUAAACCCUAGUUUUUUCAAAACUAGGUUUUCAUCUCCAAAUCUUACAAAAAUUAUAAAAAGAUGUUGCAAGAAGAGUACUAACUUUCAAGAAAACUCCAAAUUAAACUAUCUUGAGCUAGGGUUGAAGAUUGAUCCAUCAAGAAGCUCCUCUCUUCACAUCCAAGCUUCCUCCAAGGUCCACAAACUUGCCACCAUGAAGAGGAAGAGAAAGAAGAAGAAGAGAUCAAACCUCAAAUUAAAAAAAGUUUGGGAGGAAAAUCUAGAGAGAGAAAGAGGAAAAAACCCUACCUUAGCUCCUCUUCGAGCUUCUUAUCCAAGGAGUCGGCCAUGAUGAUUGGGAUGUUGAAAAGUAGAGGCGAGCUCUCCCUUGCAUUAUAGGUCAAUUGAAUAUGUAGGGUAUUGGGCUUCCAGGGAACUAUCGCCCUCGAAUCGGAAUUCAAGCUGAGAGGAUUGCCCAAGAUAGUCAGGUCAGGGGAAGGCCUAGCAUUUCGACUAGAACCUUGUGCAGAGCCAUCACGUAGGGAUUCAAACUCAUUUUCCAUGAGUUGUAUGUUCAGAUUAGGUGGUCCCGCGCCUUCGGCCUGACGAUUGACCAUCAAGUGAGUGGAUAUUUCCAUACUCGACUCCACAUAAUGAGGACUUUCAAAAAAAACUAUCCAUUACAUCAAUCUUAUGUGGACGGUCCGGAUCAAUAAUGAGUGAAUCUUCAUGCAUAUAUGGAAAAUGAUUUGAAAAUUCCUUGUGCGGACCUUUUGAAAUUUCAUCCACAAAAGUUGCAGGGUGGUUAUGAAUCCCAAGAAUUACUGAUUUGCCCUUCGCCUGGCUCUCCGAUGAUCAGCGAGGGUUUUGAAGAUCCAACGAUCGGCGGGGGCAUUGAAGCACUGCCUAGCCUGAGUACAAUACUGAUGUAGAUAAGGAUUUAGGAAACUUCGAUUUUAGAAGGUCUUCAAGUUGUGCUCUAUUAGCCGGAGAGAUAGUUGAGGGGAUGCAAUCAGUAAUGAGAUUCUGUGCUUGCAGUGGUCAAUAUCGUGUCUUAUGAGACCGCAAAAGGCGCGAAAUCUUGAUAAACAUUCGUAUGCUAAGCGAGUGUUCAGGACCUCCCUACCUGCAAGGAGAAUCAUCAUAUUUUUCUGCAGAGGGAGGCAUAAGUCCAAAAGCACUAUGGCACGAAGGUACGACAAGCGAAGCGCAUGGGAAGUGCCGGUCGGAAUGACCUCUCCUAACUCGACAACCAAUUUCAAGGCAAUAACCGAGGACAAGAGGUUAGGUGGGAGCUUGUGGAACUAAACCUAGAAUGGUGCAUAGUGGAGGUUGUAGUUUUCCACUGGCGUGUGCGGUCGAAAGCGUUCUUGAACAAUUUAGGUUCUAUUGUAGCACCAAGGCGAGGCAUUCCAAACCGCAAGGAGGUCCUUCUCUGAUUUGAAGCUUAAUAAGAAGAUCCUAUUUUUAGCCUCUAUGAAAGUCCAUGCGUGCCUCAGUAUUCCUAUGAUCCUUUUGGUGGAGAGUACAAGCUCCGCCAAAAUCUUCGCCAGGAAGCAGUGCUUGAAGAAAUCAUCGGAUGUUAUAUCUUCUGGUUCGACGCGAACCACGGAGGAUGUUGGAGUGGUGAGUAACCCGCUGAACUCCUUGAUCAAGUCGUGAAUCAUCUCCUGUGACCUUGAUGUAGGAAUAGAAAGUGGGAAAAGAUGUGGAGGUGCUGGAGAGAGAAAAUGAAGAAGGUAGGGUGGAGGAAGAGAGAGGGUAGGAGGAUAGGUUCCAACAGGAGAAUAGGUAUAUGUACCCUUCUAAAGUUUUAAAUUUUAUAAUAUGUGACUUAAUUAACUAAUUAAAUUAUGACUAUUAACAUAAAUGGGAAGCUCGUCGUAUAGCGACUUGUGAUUUAUUUGGAAAUCAUGCUUCCAAAAUUAUCAUAUAUAUAUAUAUAUAUAUAUAUAUAUAUAUAUAUAAAAUUGAACUUUUAUGUUUUUAAAAGUAUGUAGUCAUUAGUGUUUGUAGUUUUUCAGCCCUUGGAUUAAGGAAUGCGCGAUUAGGAUGAUCGUGGUCCUCUAGGGUUGAGUGGGUAGUUGAUUAAAUAGUAUGAUCUAAUGGAUGGAAAUGGUUAAAGAAAUAGAUCUAACGGCUGAAAACUUACAAGUACCAAGUGCUUACACCCUAUUUGAAUUGGGUACAAGAUGGGGUAUAAGGCCCUUAUACCUCAUCUUGUACCCAAACACAAUGUGGGGCUAGGUGGGAACUGUAGUCCCCAUCCAUAGUGGGUUAACAGUUCCCACCCAGGGUUGGAACAUCAUAACUUACAAGUACCAAGUGCUUACACCCUGUUUGGAUUGGGUACAAGAUGGGGUAUAAGGCCCUUAUACUCCAUCUUGUACCUAAACACGAUGUGGGGUUAGGUAGGAACUAUAGUUCCCACCCAGGGUUGGAACAAUGCUGUUCCAACCCUUAUCCCCACUCUUGUAUCGAGGGCAUGUCCGGAAAGCCCCCCGCGGCCCCUCGUCUCUUUUCUCUCUUCGUCUUCUCUCCAUCUGAGGAAACUAGCAAUUUCUCCAGUGGUCCUCUUUCUCUCUUCACCUUUUUUGUUCCUCCUCGCUUCUUCCUCCUUGUGGCUUGCACGAUCUGAGGAGGUUUGUUUGUCGUGCCAAACCAUAGAUCUAAGGGUCUCACGUCGUCGCCGCCUCGUGCCGAACCGUAGAUCUAAGGUAAAAUCACUGCCUCUUCGUCUUUUUCUCUGCUUCUCCUCCCAGAAUUUCUCCUCGUAACUUCGGUUGCCGCCGCUUUUGUCACGCCCGGGUACCAGCGGAAGCAUAUCCGGUACGUGAACAGACCCGCCAUACACCUGCAGUAUAUAAGGCGUCUACAAACAAGCAAGUCGAUAGGAAGAAGAUCAUAGAAAAUUCUAUCCUGAUAUCAGAGCAAAGUACAAGUCACAAAGACUAUCAACAAGAGGGCAAAGAGAACAUAAACCAAAAUCUCAACUAAAAGAGAAAGUAACACAACUGUAGUGACUGUCCAAAAAGUACAUAUACAUCACGGGGUAUACAAAAAUAGGUACAAUGGUAGUCUCUCUAUACAAAGGGACAUCACCCUCGGCCGUAGCCCGAGUAGCAAGGUGAUCGACUAGCACGCUCCUAGUAGUCCCUAGCUAGGCGCGACUCCCUUGCCACGAUCCCUAGCCUCUCCUGUAGAUGGCUCUGUAAAAACAACCACCAAAAGGGCGUGAGAACUAUUAACAAUAGUUCCCAGUGGGUAAGCCGCCAGCCUCGGCGAAUUACACCACUAGGCUCAAGAUGUACUAAAUGAAAGCAAAAACAAUAAUUGCAUGAUUUAUAAGCAUGAUGCUAAUAAGUAAUAAACAUGUAAUCAACAUGUAAUAGCUUUCUACAGUAAUGAACCAUUUGCAUAAAAGAGAUAUAACAACUUCUGUAAUCAUGAACAUAGACAUGAGUAUAAGCACGAACAUAAAAGUGACUACUGUACACUUUAAGUAAUAAACAUUCAUUACUGUCUUUUUUUUUCAUUUAGUACUUUCCUUUCAUUCACAGGGACCUACCCAAGGUAGUCCAGCUUGCGCCGCGCCUAAUGGCCCCGUGGUAGUAUACACUCCCCACGGCAAUCCACUUCGGCACCCAAUCCCGCACGGGCGAGCAACUGUCGCGAAGGCCAACUCCGGAGUGCCGGCUUGUAGGGAGCGACCCUCACAAGCGUGUGCGAAUGAGCACGAUGGCAAGCAAGCAUAUUUCACUGUCCACAUGUCUCAAUUCUCAUGUUUUCAUUUGCAGCGUUCUCGCUCUCGAUCCUUUGAUCGACAUUUCAGUAUAACAAAUAUUAACAACAACUAGAAUCCACUAGUUUAGUAAGCAUGCAGGAGUAAUGCUAAUUUACAUAUGGCAUUAGAAUCUUUCACUAUCAUGGCACUAUCAACAUAGGCACAAGCAUGUCAUAGUUCUCUACUUCAGAGUCAAGAGAAUGUCAUUGUUCUCUACUUGUAAUCAAGCGAGUAAAAAGAGAAUGUCACUGUUCUCUACGUUUCAUGAGCAUAAUAACGUGUCUCAUUGUUAUUCAACUAAACCAAAUAGGAAUAUGAAUACAUUUAGGCGUGAGGAUUCUCUACUUCAUAGAGAUUCUAUGUCAAUAUAGUAAAUGUUAUGAUGACGAAUUCUCAAGCCCUUUAGCUAUCACAUAAGCACACAACUAACACAUUUCUAUAAUACAUAUAGAACAUAGAGGAGCUUCACUUGCUCUGGUCAGGUCCGACCCACCUAGUUCAAGGCUCCAAAUAGUCCAAAGGAGUCCCAAGGAUCAGCUCUACAAGGCUCCAAUCCUGCCGAACAUAAGCAUCAACACCGCGUCAAAAUGACGACCGAAACGUCCGAUUUCGGCCUAAUUUCCACUUAGUACAAGGUAACCCCUUAAAUCCCUGUUUUGGGACUAGUGUAAUACCUCAAGAGACGUCUCCAAGAGCUCUCACAAGUCAACGAACGGUGAUCCAAGGCUCGAUCGCACUCUCGCUGCGAGCAAAAUCGAAACGGCGUCAAACUCGUCAUAUAUUAGCAACUAUAGUCGGAAUCUUGCAAUUUCAGCUUUCUAACUGAAAUUCCUGCUUACCCUUGGUUAGAGCAGCUUCCAAACCAGCUUCCAAGAGUGCAAGUUCAGCUCAAAAAGGCACAAAGACCUGCUGCGAAGAGAUCAUACAAAACAACGUCAAUUACGCGAUUAAACCGCGUAUAGUUCCGGAUUAGCUUCAUAAAUGGCUAAUUAUUCCAAUUAAGCUUUAAAGUAGCUUAACCCUGGUCAAAGGAGGUUAAUUCACAGCUAAUUAACCCAUAUAUACAUGCUGAAAUCUCAGGUUAAAACAGUUGGAAGCAAAAACAUGAAAUCAAUACUCAAAUCGACCAAUAAAGCGCCGAUAACGGAAACAUCAAGUCAUUUACCUUCUCAAGCUUCCAACCAGCACCUGCUGAUCCAGGGCUGCGAAAACCUGUCCAAAACACUCCCUCACACGUCCACAAGGGCUCCACAACGCUCGCAACCAGCGAAGAACGCGCGCGGCGACGAAAACGAGCGAAAUCGGCGAAUUCGAUGUAGAGAGAGAAAAACCCUAGAGAGAGAAAGAGAGAAAUGGUGGAGAACCCUUCUCUGGACUCCAGCAACCUCUACUGAGCCCCAGGAGUCGUGCUGGAAUGAAAUAGAUAGGAUCAAAGUGUGAAAUUACCAAAAUAGCCCUGCUGCCACGUUUUCCCAUUGUGUACCGGUAUACCAUAAUGGCUGUACUGGUACACCAAGCAGAAAAGGCUGAUUUCGCCCAAUCAAUGCACUUUCUUGCUUUUAGCCAUCCAAUCACUCUCAAACUUGUCCAAAAACUUGUCUAAGUCCUUUAGAACAUGUAGGAUAGUUCCACAACUCAUUCCACACACUCGGACUCCGCAAUUUGCUAGAGUCAGUGUAUUACAACUAUGCAUGUUGACAUAUAGAGGAUUAUGUUAAUUGACAUUUGCAUGUUGAGCUUAGGUCGAUAAACUCUAGGUGAAUUAGAAACUCGACAUUGAAAAAUAAGAAUAUAUGAACUAUGAUACUCGAUAUAGACAAUUAGGAUGUCAAAUAGAUCGAGUGGCAUAUGAUUAGUGUGUUGGAAACACUUAUGGCAUUUGACAUAACAAUGUGAACUUAGAGACAUUGUGGCAUUAGCUAGCGACAAUGUGAUUACUCAGUACAUGAGGUUUGGGAUUGGUGUUAUCCCGGUUUGAUUACCACUAGUUGGUAGGGUAUUCUCGGGUUAGAGGAUUGGAUCAUACUCACAUAGUCUGUUUUUAGCUUCGCUGUAAUAUACCGUAAAUUCGAAAAAUAAGAAAAUGUCGAUCUUUAGUCAAAUUGACCGAAGUACGAGGACGGUACACUUUGGAAAGUUCGAAGGUGUUAAAAUGAUUAAAAGCGAGUUACGGGAGGUUUUCGAGAGCCAUAGAAUCAAAUUCUGCAAAACUGCAGAUUUUGAGCUCUCGGGGACCGGUCCCUAGUGGGAGAGACCGGUCCCCGAACGUGUAUGAUUUGAGACAGCCGAAAAAUCGGCUAAGUCCUGAGAAACUAGCUCUCGGGAACCGGUCCCUGCCUGAGAGACCGGUCCCCUAAGGAGAGACCGGUUGCACUGCGCGUAGUAGCUCUGGCUGCGCUGGGACGACCUUCGGGAACCGGUCCCUGAAGGAGAGACCGGUCCCCGCCUGCGCGAACUGCCCAGUUCGGGCAGUGUAUUAAAGUGAAAGUAGAGGGGUUUAGCUGCAAUUUUGCAACCCAAUGAGCUAUGUAUUGGGGUAAAUGAGGGAUUUCUGUCACGCCCCGGGACCGAUGCCCAUUUGGCCCGACCCGAGCACGUCAAACAGACGCCGAACGGACAGAGUUUCCCCUAUCCGCCCAAGGCUCAUCACACGUACAUUUUCAUCAUUAGAGAAAAGCACUAGCGGAAACAUACACAAACGGCUUACACGAGGGUAAGCAAUAGCCAUAAGUGAAAGAAAAAGGAAACUAAACAUCUACACAGGUAAUAUGAUUCAUUUUAGAUCACAUACAUUGCAUCCAUUUCUUACAUUUAGGAUUCUUUGCAUUCAUUACAUCAUGCCAUCAUUUCUUUCGUACAUCACAUUUACCUCAAAAUGCACAUUACAUUCUUUUCUUUCUUUGCUAAUCAUCAUAUACAAAAGAUGAACAUAGGGUACUUUACUACAAAAUGAAACCCAACUUUGGUGGCCUCUGACUAAGGCGCGAUACCUUUACCUCGGUCGCUCGCCGGCUCGCUCGGUCCCGGCUCUGUGGAAAUAGUGGGGUGAGAACUACAACAAAGUUNNNNNNNNNNNNNNNNNNNNNNNNNACAUCUUCAGGCUUGAUCUUAAGCUGAUGAUAACCAGAUUGCAAAUCAAUCUUGGAGUAUACUUUCGAUCCUUGCAGCUGAUCGAAUAAGUCAUCAAUUCUAGGCAAUGGAUAUUUGUUCUUGAUUGUGACUUUGUUGAUUUCUCGAUAAUCCACACACAAUCGAAGAGAUCCAUCUUUCUUCUUAACAAAUAACACCGGUGCUCCCCAAGGAGACACACUCGGCCGAAUAAAUCCUUUAUCUAAAAGAUCUUGUAGCUGUGCCUUCAGCUCUUUCAAUUCAGCAGGUGCCAUUCUAUAGGGCGCUUUAGAAAUAGGGGUAGUCCCAGGGACAAGAUCUAUCACAAACUCAACCUCCCUAUCAGGUGGCAUGCCCGGCAAUUCAGCUGGGAACACAUCCUUGAAUUCUCGCACAACUGGGAUAUCAUCAAUUUUGAUGGCUUCACCACCACUCACAGAAAUACUAGCCAGAUAGGCUACACACCCUCUCCGUAUCAACUGUCGGGCUCGCGAAGAGCUAAUAGUCAUUGCGAACAAUGAACUCUGACACCCUUUAUAAACAAACUCCUGUUGACCCGGUUCCCUAAAGGUCACCGUUCUGUUCGUGCAAUCUAUGGUGGCAUAAUACUGUGUCAACCAAUCCAUACCCAAUACUACAUCAAACUCACCUAGUUUGUGUAGUGCCAAUAAAUCCACUGGCAUAAUCCAGUCGCCUACCCUAACUGGGCAGCGAGGGCAAAACUCACGAACAUCAAGGGUAUGGUCAGGUACAAUCACUCGUCCCAGAUGCAAAGUAGGUGCUAAAGAAAUGCUAUGCAACUCGGCGAACUGCCGAUCAAUAAAAGAAUGCGAUGCACCAGUAUCAAAUAAUGCACGAACACGAAUAUCAUAAAGCAUAAUAAUACCUGCUACGACCUCCUGUGCUGCUGCGGCGCCCUCAAUCUGGGCGGCGUACAUCCGCCCACUCGAACCCUGCUGCGAACUCUCUGACUGCCGCUGUCCUGAUGGUCGCCUAGACUGAUAAGGCGCUGUCGGGGUCCCCUGGCUCGGAGCUGAAGAUGCAGGGGCAGUCGCUGAUGAGGGUGCCGGCAAAGAACCUCUCGGGCACUCUGAGCGAAAGUGGCCCUCCUGGCCGCAAAGGAAACACCUGCCCCCACGCUGGGGACACUGUGGCGGUACGUGAGGCCCACCACAGAUAACACAACGCGGCUGUGAACGACGCUCGGGUGCUCCACGGCGUGCUGAAGAACCUCGACCCCUCGACUGUCCUAACUGUCCCCUCGGAUACUUUGGCGGUCUCCUGGAGGACUGCUGACCACUGCUCUCAGCUGCUGGUCUCUUUCCCUUGCUUCUAUCUACGACAUCCCUUUCUUUCAUUAUCUCCGCCCCUUUCUCAACGAUCAAUGCUCUGUUCACUACAUCCCUGUAAGUAGAUAGGUUUGACGCCUGGACCAAUCGAAAAAUCGCAGGUCGCAAACCCACCUCGAAAAUGCGAGCCUUGUCCUCAUCAUCUCGAACUACAAAAGGAACACAGUGCAGUAAUCGGGAGAACUCUCGCUCGUACUCUGCCACUGUCCUGUCCCCCUGCCUCAGGUUUCUCAAAUCCCUUUCCAUCUGUCUCUUUACACUCUGAGGAAAGUAAGUAGUCAACAACAGUUCCUUGAACCUGUUCCACGUGAUAGCAGCCAAAUCAGCACGGGGAUCCUCCCGGAUGUCCACCCACCACCUGUAAGCCUCGCCAUCAAGGUGGUGUGUCGCAAACCAGACUCGGUACCGCUCCUCAACAAAAGUGUCAUAGAAUAACUUCUCCAUGUGCAUUAACCAUUUUUCAACCACCCAAUGAUCGGCUUUCUCCCCGUCAAAGAUAUGAGGGUUGCAGCGACGGAAUUCAUUUAAUCGUUCCAUCAUCCGCUCUCGCUCCUCAACUCCCACCAUCUCGGGUAACACUGUCCCAGAUGCUUCUACGGGUACUGGUGGUGGUACUACUGUCUCCUGUCGAGUCUCUGCCCUCGGAGCUACUGGGGGUGUGUCAAGUACAGGCGACUGUGCUCUCACUGUGGUGCCCCUCUCUGGUGCUACAGGUACAGAAUCUGGAAUCUCUCUGUCGGUCGUCUGCCGCAGUAGCAGAUCCUCUAACCUCUUCAUCCUGUCCUCCUGUCGACGAGCAGCAUCCAUCUGCUGUCGUGCGGCCGCAGCCUGCUGAGCAACCAGAUCUGUCAGCUUUGCGAGCUGAUCCUGCAACUCGUGGAUCCCACUAGAUCCCGAAGUAACCGAAGUCCCCACUUCCUCUGCAUCCGCCGCCUCAGCUGCCCCGGCGGCUUCCGCGAUACGAUCGUUGUCAGCGGCCUCGUAGGCUGCAGACAAAAACAAAAUAGGUGCAAUAAACUUAUACUAUCGAUCCUCAUUGAGGAUAGAAACCACAACUAAUCUAAGCGAAGUAAUGAAAAUGUAAACGUGUACACUAAACUUCCGAAUGUACUUUGUCGGCUGCAAAGUGACCUCUGAAGAGUUAGUAUUGAUAUUUCGUCAAAAUCUACUAUUCGAGUUUCAUAAAUUACACCAUACCCAAGAGUAUUUCGCUAACGAACACUCGCACUAGACAUCGUUUCACGAGCAUUCCUAUAGUCCAACAGCCUAAAGGCUUUGUAGCGGUUACUAAGAUAAACCCCUAGGCUCUGAUUACACUAUAAUCUGUCACGCCCGCGGUACCCGCGGUAAGCAUAUCGGACGUGCAGCAGACCCGCAUAACUUGCAGUAUAUAGGCGUCUACAAGCAAAGUCGAAUAGGAGUAAACAAAAGAAAGUCCUAUCCUGAUAUAGAGCAAUGUAACAGUACGAUUAUAUAUCAACAAAGACAAAGAAGUGGUUACAAUCCCAAAUUGAAAAAGAGAAGUAUCAACUGAUAGUCGCAGUCCAAGUUCAGUACUAUACUACAGAGGAUACAAACAAUAGGUAGAUACAAAGGUGGUUUCGUACGCUAUAAUAGGGGAUCCCCCUCGGCGUAGCCGAUGCACAAGUGUGAUCGAAUAGCCGUCUAGUAGUCCCUAGCUAGCGCGACUCCUUGCCGACGAAUCCCUAGCUCUCUGGUAGAUGGCUCUGUAAAAACCACCAAAGUGCGUUUGCUUUGGAGAACUAUAACAAUAUUGGCCAAGUGUGGUAAGCCGCAGCUCGGCGAAUUACACACUAGGCUAGAUGUACUAAAUAGAAAGCCAUAAAAUAAUGCAUGAUAUCAAGAAUGAUGCCCUUAAUAGUAAUAAGAUGUAAUCAAUGUAUAGCUCUUCAUACGAGUUAACAUGAAAUAUUUGCCACAAAAGAGAUAUAGAAUUCUGUAAAUCGGAUGAACAUACACAGUGAGAAUAAGACACGAAAAUAUAAAGUGACAUAACUGUACACUUUACAAGUAAUUAAACAUUACAUUAUGUCCUUUUCAUUUAGGCUACUUUCAUUUAUUCCAUAGGACUACCCUAGGGUAGUCAGCUUGCGCGGCGCUCAUGGACCGUGUUAAUAAUUUACUCCCCGUGCAAUCACUUGCGCCACCCAAAUUCCCGCACACGGCGCGAGCAAACUGCUCGCGUAGGCCAACUCCGGAGUGCAGGCUUGUAGGGGAGCGACUCACUAGCUCUGUCGUGCGAAUGAGACGAUGGCAGCAAGGCAAAAUUCAUGUCACAUGUACUAUUUCUUCAUCUUUUUAGUUCACAAUAUUCUCGCUCUCGAUCCUUUGAUCGACAUUUCAAUAUAACAAAUAUUAACAACAACUAGAAUCCACUAGUUUAGUAAGCAUGCAGGAGUAAUGCUAAUUUACAUAUGGCAUUAGAAUCUUUCCACUAUCAUGGCUCUAUCAACAUAGGCAUAAAGCAUGUUAUAGUUUUCUACAUGUAAUCAAGCGAGUAAAAGAGAAUGUCAUUGUUCUCUACGUUUCAUAAGUGUAUUCUACACUUGUUCAUAAGUCAUUCAACUGAAUUGAAUAUAAAGAUAAAUACGUUCAUGUAUAUAUGUUCUCUACUUUAUAGAGAUUUCAAGUCACUUUACUUCUCAAGUCCUAUAUCAAACACCAAAGCGCACAACAACACCAAUUCUAUAGCACAUAUAGAACAUAGGGAAGCUCCACUUGCUCUGGUUAGGUCCGACCCACCUAUUACUAAGCUCCACACAGUCCAAGGAGUUCCAAGGAUCAGCUCCACUAGGUCGCAAUCCUGCUGAACACGAAGCAUACAUAUCGUAUCAAAAUUACGAUCGAAAAGGCCAAUUCGGCGCAAUUACACUUCGUACAUUGGAAUAGCUUAAAUCCCUGUUUUGGCUUAGUUCAAUACCUCACGUUAAGCUUCCAAAAGGUCCUCCAAGGCCAGUCGAAGACGGUCCAAGGGUCAAAUACCCUCUCGCUGCGAACAAUACCGAAACGGCAUCAAUAUUGUCGAUUAUAAGCUAUAAUAGUCGAAUUCUCGCAAGAUUUAAUUCCAAGCUGAAAUUCCUGCUUACCCGAAGUUGGAACACCUUCUAAACUCAGUCCCAAAGUCACUAAUUCGUUUAAUAAGGUUCAAAAACCCGCUGCAAAGAAAACAAUUUUCAAAUUGUAUCAAUUCGGUCGCAUAACCCGUAUAUAGUCCGAAAUAGCUUCAUAAAUGGCUAAUUAUUCCAAUUAAGCUUCCAAGUAACUUAUCCCAGAUCUAAGAGGGUUAAUUCUCAGCUAAAUAACUCAUAUAUACAUGCUGAAAUCUCAGUUUAAAACAGCGGGAAGCUAAAACCUGAAAACAAUACUCAAAUCGACGUUAAUAAUGAAAAGGUUGGGCCGAUUACCUCGUCAAGCCUCCAACCAGUAGCUCACUGGUCCAGAGCUGCGAAAAGACUUCCAAAAUACUCUCUCCCACGACCACGCAACCUCUGCGAUGCCUGUAAUCAGCGAAGAACGCACGCGGCGACGAAAACGGCGCAAAACGGCGACUUCUAUGUAGAGAGAGAAAAUUCCUAGAGAGAGAGAGAGAAGAAGGUAAAAGAAGCCUUCUCAGAACUCCAGCAGCAUCCUCUGAGCAUCCCAGGUCGUGCUGGGGUCAAGUAGAUAGGAACAAGAGGUGAAAUUACCAAAAUACCCAAACUGCCACGUUUCUGCAUUGUGUACCGGUACAGGCUAAUGGCUGUACCGGUACAGCAAGCAGAAAAAGCUGAUUUUCGCCUGAUCAAUGCACUUUCUCACUUUUAGCAUUCCAAACAUCCUCUAACUUAUCCAAAAACUUGUUCUAACCUUUUAGAACAUGUAGGAUUGAUCCACCCAUCAUUCCACAUACUCGAACUUCGCAAUUUGCAAGAGUUCAGUGUAUUACACACAGCUACCUGUUCGACUUAUUCUACCCAUUGAACCUGCAACAGGUUGGGUUGCCGUCGCCGGUAACUUCGAUUGUGGGCUAAACCCCAUCCCCCUCAACGAUUGUAGGAUCACUGUCCUAGAUAAUCCCUUCGUAAGCUAAUCAGUCAAAUUCUUUAUACAUUUCACAAAUUCCAAUCCAAUCAUAUUUUCCUUCAAAUUCUGUCGAAUGAACUUAUGUCUCACUUUCAUGAAUCUAUUCACCUUUGUCACGCCCCGAACCCCGUCGAACAGAUGCCGAACGGACAGAGCCUCCCCUGUACGCCCAAGGCUCAACAACAGUACAAAUAGAGUAUAAAAUUUGUACAUGUGGAAGCAAACAUAAUGGCUUGCACGAGGGCAAGCAAUAGCCAAAGUGAAAGUGCUAACUAAUCAACAUACAAGUACUAUGAUUAAAUUUAAAUCACAUAUAUGCAUACAACUUGUGCAUUUGCAUUCUUUUCUCUACCAUCAUUUCUUCUCUUUUACAUCACAUGAUAUCUCAAAAUAUAACCUUUGCAUUGAAAGAUAAACCCUUUUUACAUCAUUCAUUUAACAUGCUCAGAAUACUAAAAUCAUCAAAAUAUAAAAGAUGAUAACUAAAGGGUAUGCAACUAAACCAAAAUGUGAAACAAACUCGGGUGGUCUCUAACUAUGGCGCGAUACCUUUACCGCGAUCAUCCGCCGGCUCGUUCGGUCCCGGCUCUGUGGAAAUAGUGGGGUGAGAACUACAACGAAGUUCCUAGUAGGUUCGACCCCGAUCUUUCCGACUUUUCCACUAGGUCUAAAUCAGGCAUAAUAGAAGAAAGAAUAUAUAGUAACCAACUAACAAAUGCAGCUAAUAUGUCUAAAUAAUAAACUCAAUUGUAUGCUCAAUGAGAUGCUCAUGAUGAAUGCAAGUUCACAUUUUCUUUACACAGUCUUGUGGCUAACCCAUUGGGCCCUCAGCCUGUUAGGCAUUCAGUUUCCUCCCGUAGGGUUCCAUAACUCACCAACUCAAAAUCCCAAUUUUUGGGCCCUCGGCUUCCUCUCGUUGGGACCGUCCUCUGGAGGUUCCCCUUCCCAGUGGUGACAACUCUGGAGCACACCACUCGAGGGGGAGCGACCUCCCUCAAGCCAAGACUAUAGGCGAGUAUGAUCAAUUCUUAGCUCUAAAGAUUCCAAUGCUUAUGUGACCCUUAUCUUUAAGGUUUCUAUGUCACAAUGUCACUAUUGUUCUUUACUUGCAUUCAUUAACUGAUACUAGUAUCAUAUAUACUAACUUGUUCUUUGUACUCAUUCGCUAAUGCCACACUUGUUCUCUAAGUGUUCAACUCUAGCAUUCUUGUCAUUUACUAAUGCCACGCACUCUAGUGUUCAUUUGCAUGCUUGACAUUUACUAAUUCCACCCAAUUCGUAUGUCCUUUUGUCAUUUUGGUUCUUUACCUCACCUCGGUUCUUAUCACUUUUCAUGCAUACAUAGGGUUUACAAGUUCUCAUUCUUUACUCUCAUUUCACAUGCAUCUAUACUCAUAAAAUGCAACAAAAGCUCUAAAUUAACCCUAUUAUGCAAAUUGCUCAACAUUCACAUAUGCUCAACAAAAUGAUGCUUUUAGACAUAAAGAAAAUUUCACCAAUUUUGGAUAGCACCACCCACCUUGGAUGGUUGUAGGGAUGCUACAGUUUAAUUCUUGAAAUUUUCGAGCGCUUACUCGCUCGCCUGCGGCAACACGAAGCCAAAUUAGGCUUUUUAUACAACAUCUUUAUCUAAACUUUUUCGUUUCGUCAAACCGAGUUUCCCAUUGCGCCGGGAAUACCUCUAAUUAGGUUUCUAUAAGGUCAAUUUGCCUUAGAAACACCCUAGGGCAAAAGUACCAAAUUUGGUGCCCUAACAAUGCCAUAUGUCAAAUUUCUUGGGAUUGAUCUUGUAGCUAAGCAAAAUCAAGCUUAGAACCACCCAAGGAGCUCUCUAAUACGAUUCCUAAACCAUUCCAACCAUUCCUAGGGCAUCAAAAGCUAACCCUAAGGAUUAAUCAUGACAGCUCAUGAGAAAUACAUAAGUUUCAUGUGUUUCAUGGCCUCAAGAUAGUUUCUAGCCUUGCAAGAAGUUCAAAUUCCAAAAACUUAGAGUAUAAAUCCAAACCCUAGACUCAAUCUUGCAUAAAACUCACUUUAGCCCACUAGCUCUCCAAUGUCCACUUUAUAGGAGAGCCCAAACCCUUCAAAUCCACCAAAAAUCCCUUCUUAAAGCCUUCUCUUCCUUCUACUCCUAGCUCUUGGAAGUAAUUUUUAGAGAGAGAAAGAGAGAAAUAAGAGAGGGAGAGGGUUGGGGUUGUUAGCUGUGAACGGGAGAAGUGUUACAGCAUAUAUAAUGCAUAACAAUUGCAACUAGGCCCCCAAACAUUUGCAUUUGCAGCAGACUUCAAAGUUGCUGCCAGACCAAAGUGUGCCGGUACACGGGCUGCUGUCACCGGUAACACGAUUACGUAGAGGCAAACCCGAGAGCAGCCCUCUCGGGUUCGUAGCUUUUGUGCCCAUACAAAAUAUAAUGUACCGGUACACAUUUAGAAUUUCUCAAACCCGAGAGAAAUUUCUUCUUGGGCUACGAUGUUGUACCGGUACACCCCUGGUGUUAAACCGGUAACACAUGCUCCAAAAUGCUGUUUUUGCUCCGAUUCGACUCUACUUCGCGCCGGUUGAUACUAAAAUCUUUCUAAUCUCUCUUAAACUCAUUUUUAACCCUUCCAACAUUGUUGGAACGCUAAAUGGAACUUGCCCAACUAUUUCUUUCGCACACUUUAAUCAAUUUCGCUAAAGUUCGAUAUUUUCUACCGACUUUCGGUUCGUUACAAUCUUAGUCUCCACAUUCUCUUAGGCACACUUAUCUAUUGUAGAUCUACAAUCACAAUGAAUACAUAUAGGUGCUAAACGUCGCUACAUAAGUGGCAAAUUAUAAAGAAACUCUCAAAUCCACUUAGCUUCUGCUACAAUUAUAUCCAAGGCAAUGAGUUCAAAUUCCAUAGUACUUCCAGCAAUCAAAGAUUGUUUAGUUGACUUCCAAGAAACAGCUGCUCCUCCUAAAAGAAAAACAAAUCCAGUAGUCAACUUUACAUCGGUUGUAUCACUAAUCCAAUUAGCAUCACUAUAUCCUUCUAAUAUUGCAGGAAAGCCAGUGUAAUGUAAUCCAUAAGAUACAGUCCCCUUCAGAUAUCUCAAACUUUUUUCUAAGGCAUUCCAAUGCUCUCUAUUUAGAUUAUGGGUAUAUCUUCUCAAUCGGUUCACAGUGUAAGCCAAAUCAGGUCUAGUAUAAUCUACCAAAUAUCCUAAGGAUCUAAUAAUCUGUGAAUAUCUAUUUUGACCUUUCGGAUCUGCUCUAUUCUUUUUAAGAUGCACACUAGAAUCAUAGGGUGUCACUACUGGUUUGACAUCAAAGUAUCCAAACUUCUUCAAUAACUGUUCACUGUAGUAGGAUUGGUUCAUAAUAAUUUAUUUCGAUUUUCUAAUGAUUUUCAUGUUGAGAAUAACAUGUGCUUACCCAAGAUCUUUCGUAUCAAAAUUUUUAUUUAAUAAUUUCGUCACAUCAUAUAUCAUAUUCAUAUUAGUACCAAAAUUCAAAAUAUCAUUAACAAAUAAAUAUAAGAUUAACUAUCUGUCUAUCAUAUUACUUCGAAUAUACACAUUCAUCCGACAUAUUCACAUGAAAACCAUUUGAUACAAUGUAAGGACUGAGAAUUUUGACUGUAUAGCUAAACUCUCUAUUGACGAUGUUUAUGUGUGUAAUUCAAUUACAAAAGCACUCGUCAAGUUUCGGGAGAAAACGAGUUAAAAUGGAGAUUUUACGCGAUCUCCAACUUUUACUUAAAGUGAAUAGUAACUCGAUUUUCCGGUGAAGCCACGGUGUGAAGUUGGCUUCAGGCUCGUAUCGGACUCCGUUCAUAGCUAUCCAAUAGCUUGUUUCGAACGAUUCAGCUAUUCUGGCACCAAUGGCAUUGACGGAUUUUGGGUUUGACGCACAAAUUUAGAGAAAAUAUGAAAAUACAUGUUUUAUACAUAUUAGUGUGUCACUUUGCCUUUCAGUGAGAGAGAACGGGUUUUGUCGCAAAUCCGUGAUCGAUCAAGGCGAACCAAAAUUGUAGCUUUGUUGUCUCCGUCGUGCUGAUCGCACUGGUGCAAUCCGUUCGCAAAUUUGAUGGACGGAUCUGCGGAGAAUGCGCAUUGACCGAGGAGUGGUCGGUGUUAGCAAAACGGUAUUUUCGCAAAAGUUGCAACAUUUUAUGUACCGUUUCGCGUGAGAUCGUAUGUGGAGGGGUAUUCGUGCGUUUUACUCGCGCUGUGAGGGACUCGGAUCAAAUUAUCGAGUUUAGAGGGACUUUGGNAUCGAGGCGAAGCGAAAUCGUAGGUUUGUUGUCUCUGUCGUGCUGAUCGCACUGGUGCGAUCCGUUCGCAAAUCUGACGGACGGAUCUAUGGAGAUCGCGCGUUGAUCGAGGAGAGGUCGGUGAUCGCAAAACGGUAAUUUUGCAAAAGUUGCAACAUUUUAUGUACCGUUUCCAGUGAAACCGGUCGUGGAGGGGUAUCCGCGCGAUUUACUCGCGCUGUGAGGGACUCGGAUCAAAUUAUCGAGUUUAGAGGGACUUUGGUGCAUUUGUACCUAGGUAUUUAUAUAGCUCUUUAGGGUUUCUUCUAGCUAACCCUAACCAUAGCCUUGUCGCACCCCUCAGCCACCUUCGUACAUCUCCCCUGCCCCGCCGCGCACCCGUCGGCCGCCGCCGACUGAGCCCCGGCCGGCCAGCAGCUGCUGCAGCUGCAGCCGCAACCGCAAUCGUAGCCACCUUCCCUCUCCCUCACAUUGUUCCUUAUUCCCCCAUCGUGCUCGAGACCUUCGCAGAGUAUCCCUCCCCUUCCAGCCCUCUCCGGCAUCGCCCCCUGAGCUCUGGCGACUGCCCCGCCGGUCGCUACCGCCUCCACGCGCCGCCGCCGCUGCUGCCCCAGCAUUUUGCUGCCAGCCUAGGCCUAACCCAGGCCGAGGCAGCCCCAACUCCCUCUCCUCGCACUGCUGCCGCCUUGGGCCAUUCCUGUGGCACCUCCCCAACGUUAGGCCUCCGGCCGCCGUUGCCCCGAGCAGCCCAGAGCGCCGCCGUUGCCGCUACUGCCGCCUGCAGCCUUCCAGCCCGAGCCGAGCCGAAGCCUGUGUGCAGCCUCUCCCCGCACGUCACUGCCGCCUUGAGUCGGCCACGCCGCCUCCCCCGGAGCCCCGGCGACCCGUCCCGCCGGUCGCCGCCGUACCUGAGCUCCCCGGCCGCCGCCGUGGCCGCCAUUGUCAUGGAGCCCGAGCCCUAGUUGGUGCGAGCUCGGUUUGCUCCGCCGUCGCAACCACCGCCGCCGCUCUCUGCCACCACCCAAGGUGAGCACCAUACUCCUCACCUCUCCCACACCCAUCCUUGGCCUGUGCGCACCUCGCCGUGCCGCCGGAAGCCGGCCGCAGCAAGCUUGCUCCGGCCAAGCCCGAAAUGGGGCUUUUGUGGGAUGGCCUACUGUUCCGAGCUUCCCGGGGCUUCCCGAUCUCUAAAAAAGGGAGCACGGUGAUUGUAGCAAGUCGCUGAUCACCGUGCUCACCUUGGUUUCUGUCGGGAAGGCCCCGUUUCGCUAUUUCGGCGAUGUUGCUCCGUUUCAGCCUUUUUGGCUGUUGUUCUGUGUUUGUGCAUGCUUUUCUGGCGAUCCGAAGCUGUUCCGAUGCCUCCGGAGGUGAGCACGGUGACCGCUGGUCAGUGCUGAUCACGGUGCUCACCUUAUUUUGGAUCAGCAACGUCCGGUUAGUGCUGUUCAGCGCGAUCUCCCUUGACUGCGCACUUUUCGCUGAACCUUCGGGUUGCUCCCGCGCUUCCCAUAGUGAGCCGUUGUGCUCUGGAUCAUGAGCACGGCCUCCGGUACGUCGAGACCAAGCUAUACGUGUCUCGGCAGACCUUGGAAGUCCUCGGUUUGCGUGAACUAGCCACUUGAUCGCUCAAAUCACAUAAAAUGAUAAGAUUUUAUGUAAUUUGAGGGACUUUUAUGCAAUUGUGCACCUUGUGGCUACUAUGGGCAACGCGUUGGAGUGUGUGGUAACCUCUGGACUGAUUGUCCAUGAUCCGAUAGCCUUUGCGAAAAUCGAAGAGUCGGUUACGGUGUGUUUUUCGGCGAAAUUCGUCGAAAGAACGCAGAUUCGAUUCGGAUUUCUUCCGACAUGGUUUGGUUGUCCGUUGAGUUGUCGCUGAGCCUUGUUGGCUGGUCACCAUCAUCAUUUUGUGGGUUCGAUGAUGACGGAUGAGCGAUGGUGCGUUCCGGUGUCGAAAUAGAUACUUCCGAGAACCCGGAUCCGAAUAAUUAUCCGACGAUAAUUGUUGGGUUGUGUUACCUUGUGUUUACUGCCAAGACAUUCAAAUUGGUGUGUUUUGUGGCAGCGGGUGACUCGUGGUACGAGUUGGUGAGUUUCGGGACACUNACGCCGCCUCCCCCGGAGCCCCGGCGACCCGUCCCGCCGGUCGCCGCCGUACCUGAGCUCCCCGGCCGCCGCCGUGGCCGCCAUUGUCAUGGAGCCCGAGCCCUAGUUGGUGCGAGCUCGGUUUGCUCCGCCGUCGCAACCACCGCCGCCGCUCUCUGCCACCACCCAAGGUGAGCACCAUACUCCUCACCUCUCCCACACCCAUCCUUGGCCUGUGCGCACCUCGCCGUGCCGCCGGAAGCCGGCCGCAGCAAGCUUGCUCCGGCCAAGCCCGAAAUAGGGCUUAUUUUUGAGUGGGUUACUAUUCCGAGCUUCUCGAGGCUUCCCGAUCACUGCAGAAGGGAGCACGAUGAUCGUGGAUCAUCGCUGAUCAUUGUGCUCACCUUAUUUUCUGUCGGGAAGGCUCCGUUCCGCUAUUUCGGCGGUGUAGCCCCUUUUGGACGUUUUUGGUUGUUGUUUCUGUCUUGCGCAUGCUUUUUCGGCGAUCCGAGGCUGUUUCAAUGCUACCAGAGGUGAGCACAGUGAUUGCUGGUCAGUGCUGAUCAUAGUGCUCACCUUACAACGGAUGUCGUAUCGCCCUAUUCGGCGUGUUUUCCCCGACUGCGCACUGUUCGCAGAACUUUAGGAUCGCUCCCGCGCCUCCCACAGUGAGCCGUUGUGCUCCGGAUCGUGAGCAUGGCCUCCGGCACGUUGAGACCUGUCGGUACGUGUCUCAGCGGACCUUGGAAGUCCUCGGUUUACGUGAACGAGCCACUUAAUCACCCUAUUUACAUAAAAUAUUGGGAUUUUAUGUAAAUAUAGGGGCUUUUAUGCAAUUGUGCAUCAUGUGGCUAUUGUGGGAAGCGCGUUUGUGUGUGUGUGGUGACCUCUCGACUGAUUGUCCAUGAUCCGAUAGCCUUCGCGGAAAUCGAGAAGUCAAUUUCGGUGCGUUUUUCGACGAAAUUUACCGAAAGAAUGCGGUUUCGGUUUAGAUUUCUUCUAACAUCAUUUGGUUGCUCUGUGAGUUAUGGCUAAGCCUUGUUGGCUGGUCACCAUCAUCACAUUGUGGGUUCGGCGAUGACGGGUGAGCGACGGUGGGUUCCGGUGUCGAAAUUAACACUUCCGGGAACCCGUAUUCGUACAAUUAUCCGACGAUAAUUGUGUAGUUGUGCUAGCUUGUGUUUGCUGCCAAGACAUUCAAAUUGGUGUGUUUUGUGCCAGCGGGUGACUCGUGGUACGAGUCGGUGAGUUUCAGGACACUUAGUGGGUCCCGACGGCGUCCCGGUGUGGUUUUCGGGACUUUCGGUGAGUUACGGCGAUCGAUUUUGGGAAACCGAUUACGGGGAUCUGGUAUGGGAGGUUUGUAAGUCUCGUGCUUUCGGUUAGUAGUUUGGAUACUGACCUAGUGAAUCUUCUUAGGACCGGUAGACUCUGUGCGUACCUAGUGUUCCGACGCGACAGUGACAGGUGGGUGCUUCGAGCUGGUAGUCGGUGAGAUCGUUUCACCUUUCCUCUGUUCUUUCAUAUCAGUAUCGUAGUCUCUAUAUGUCAUGUACCUUUGCUUACCGUUCAUUAUCUUUACUUAUUGAUUGCAUGUGGUUAGUUGUUGAUAGACAUGUAGAGCAGGUUGCAUAUAUAUUGUAUCUCUGUGGACCUUGGGUCCAGACAACACAUCGACUCCUUUGUCAUGUGUUUUAAUCUGGUUGAUCGUGGUUCGGCGUUGUACGCCCUUGCAUCUGGCUUCGGCCAAGGCACCGGUCUCUUUUGUCGGUUUUUGUUUGAGCAUACUAGUAUGAUUUAGUCAUAGCACUGUGUAUUCCAAACAUCAUGUUGGUUUGGCCACCAACCAAGGAGUGUACAUAUCCGGAUAGGUCGUCGGUGACGCAUGAAUAAGUUGACAAUGUCUGCUCUGUGACAGGCAACGCUUGAGGUCUGUGGACCAAUAUAGCAACAUCAGAUUGGGUAUGAUUUUGGACUAUUUACCCUUGAGGCAUCCGUUCAGUUGAGUUUUUGUUACAGUAGUAGUUUCGUUCUUGCUCAGUUAUUAUCCUGUUUCUAUUACUACUGUAGUUGCUCUUAUAUCAUAUUCAUAUCUGUUAUAGCUACUGUAGUUCGUUUUCGUAUAUCAGCAUCUACACUUGUUUGUUUAUCUCCUUUGGUUUUCGGUGAUUACGGCUUGCCUUCGUGGCUCUGUCGUACCCACUGGGAAACCAUGGUUGCGGUUUGUAAGGAAGUAAAUUCUGAAAGUUUUGGGGUAGCCCAAGGAUCUAUCUAGAUUGUAUCUAACACCUAGAGGGGGGUGAAUAGGUAUAAAAGCCAAAAACCACAAAUCUCAAUGCGAUAAAAGUAAAUGCGAAAAAUAAAAAUCACACCGAGAUUUACGUGGAAAAACUCCAACUUGGAGAAAAACCCACGGGACCAACACGCGAAAAAAUAAUUCACUAAGAGAAAAGAUUACAAGGUGAUUACCGACUCCACGGACUCAACCUCUCUUAACCUCCUAUGAAUCUCGCGCAAUCCUCCGGGUUGUCCACGCCCUCACGUUCGAAUCCACGAACGCCACGUUCCGAAUCCACGAAACGUCUCCACUCCGAAUCCACGAAGCUCACGAUCCGAAUCCACGAACAGCCGUCAAUCACGCUGAAUCCACGACGCCAUCAUGAAGAACAUCAUAUGUAUGGUUAUCCUUCGCUUAGAGUAUCGAUGAAAACCAGGAAGGGAACUCUAAGCGAAGCGAAGAUUAAAUCGACAUAUAGAUAUGAAAUUCCAAUAUCUCGAUUUGACCUAAAAGAGGCUAAUAUGUAGAAAAUAGGUUUUAGAUGAAAUCCCAGCUUCUAGGGUUUCUCAAACAUGUAUUUUCGUGAUGCUUGAUGAGUUAGAGAACCCCAAUAGCUUAUUUAUAGACUUUAGAAUCAAUCGGAGUCGGAUUAGAAAAUUUUCACGAUUUUACACUGUGUACCGGUACACUUUAAGCUGUCACCGGUUACACGAUGACGGAACGAAAAAACUGACGAAACAGUGGAACCGGUUACAUGUCGAUGGCUGUAGCGGUACACAUUUUGUACCGGUACACUUAUGAUGCUGUACCGGUGCACUUUGUAAAUUUUCACCGUUUCGGGUUUUGCAAAGUUUCGAUGCACUUUCUAAUCCAGUAAACAUUGAUAUUAUGAUUCUAAUGCCUACAACUAAGUAUGAAUCGCCAUAAUAUGAAUUAACACUUUACCAGGACAUCGUGAUUCACAUCGUGAGUCAUCUUCCAAUUUCUUUGAAAUCUUGAAUUCUUCGAUCUUCGACGAUACGCACCGAUUCUUCAAGACUCCGACUUACUUCACGAAACUUGCGAACACACAGGACUUAACAAAUUCUCGAAGUACGAGAGUUGGACUUCAGUUAGAAUCGACUGAUUGUCGACUUGGUGUGCUUCGGAAAAGCCGAAGGCAUCAAAAUGGCCAAUGUAACGUAUCGAACUUUAGCCAAAAUGGAUUAAAGUGCCGAGAGAAAUGGAUGGACAAACUUCGGUUAACAUUCUAACAAUGUUGGAAGGGUCAAAGUCGAGUCCCGAGAGUGUUAUGCAAGUUUUAGCAUUGCUCGGCUCGAUUUAAAAGUGAAUAAUGCGAAAGAAAUAGAUGAACAAGUUCCAAUUAGCAUUCCAACGAGGUUGGAAGGGCAAAAAAUGAGUUUAAGAGGUGUUAGAAAGGUUUUAGUAUCGAAUGGCGCGAAACAAAAUCGAAAACGGUGCAAAAUUGUAUUUUGGAGCAAAGUGUACCGGUACAACCAUCGAGUUGUCACUGGUACAGUAUUGCAGGCCGAGAAGGAGAAGCUUUCGGUUUUGAAAAAUUUUGCUUGUGUUACCGGUGACAGCUACAGUGUACCGGUACACUUUGAAAAAACCUGCAAGAAUUGCUCUUGGGUUUGCCUCUGCGUAAUCGUGUUACCAGUGACAGCUACAGUGUACCGGUAUACUUUGGGUCUGGCAGCAAAAUGAAAACUGCUGCAAAUGAGAAUAAGUGGAGGGGUUUUUGGUAAUUGUAGCACCUUAUGUAUAACGCCAACACUCCUCUCUCCCUCUCCCACAGCCCCUACACACCACCUCUCUCAUUUCUCUCUUUCUCUCUCUAGAACCCUCCCCGAAGAGCAAGGAGAAGGAGUUGGAGAAGGGAUUGAUGGUGGAUUUGGAGGCUUUGGAGGUUUGGGAUCUCUCGAACAAGAAGGAUCUUGGAGAGCUUUGGGUCAAGGUAUGGUUUUCAUGAAAACCUAGACUAGGGUUUGGAUUUCUCCCAAGAAACAUAGGUUUUGGAGCUUCUUCUAUACUUAGGACACCUCUUGAGGCUUGAGCUCCAUGAAAAUCCAUGGAAGCUCAAGGUCCUCUCAUGGUGAACUUCUAGGGUUCAUCUUGGACGCCCUAGAAAUGGCUUAGUUGACCUUAGAUGAGCUCCUAGAAGCUUGACAAGCUCUCUUUUGCUUGUACAAGGGAUCAAAACCUAGGGUUUAGCAUUUGGUGACAUUAGGGCACCCAAUUUGGGGCUUUUGCCUCCGAGUGUUUUUAAGGCAAAUUGACCUUAUAGAAAUCUAAUUAGGGGUAUUCCCGACGCGUGGGACAACUCCGUUUAACAUUACGAAAAUGUUCAGAUGGAGUUAUCGAUAAAAAGCCUAAUUCGGCUCCGUUUUGCCGCAAGCGAAAAAGUAAAGCUUCAAAAAUUCCAAGAACUUCACUGUGACGCGCUGGACCUCGUAAAUUGUGGGGUUCGAGUGAUUGACUGUGUUAUGAACUUUUCCAGACUUUCUGGUGGGUCGUUGACAGUGUUCCGACCUAUGGUUCGAGUCCCGAGAAUUGUCGUUUAAAGCUUGGUACCAAAAUCCAAAAAUUGGAUUCAUUGGACAGCUCUCGGGUUAGCCUGCAGCAGAGCUUGUACCGGAACAAGGUUGGUCUUGUACCGGUACAAGGAUUGAUGGUUGUACCGGUACAGCCAUCGGGCUUGUACCAGUACAGAGCCGCGUACCCCGCAACCCGAGCCUCGGGUUUGCAUUUUCGUGAGCCUUGUACCAGUACAGGAACCCGUGUACCGGUACAAAGAGGCAGAUUUCGUGCAGUUUGAACUACAGGGGGCUUUUCGCGAUUGUAGCCUAUCUAUAACAGCACCCACGCCCCUUAGGGCUUCUUUUGUGCUGGGACCUGAGGAGGAGAAGGUGAGAGGAGCUCCACCUUGCUCCACUUGGAUUUGAUCUCCAUUGUAGAUGGAUUUUGAUGGAUUAUUCCCUUUUCUUUCCUCUUUUAUGCUUUUCCACCAUUGAUGGAGCUAGAAGCUUGGAUUUGAGGCUUGGUGAAGGAGAGAUCUUUGGAUUUUGAUGGUUUAGAGCUUGGAUUGGAGCAUUUUAGAGGUAAAUGACUUGUUCUUUUCUCUAAAUUCCUAGCUUUAAUGAUGUUUUUGGAAUUAAACCCUAGAAUGAGGUUUUAGGGCUUAUUUGGGCAUUUUGAAUCUAGGGCUUUUGAGGCUAGAUUGUUGGGAUUAGAAUCUUCCUUUGGCUUGGAUUGGAAGGAUUCUAACUCCCUUUUGAAGCCUUAGAGGAGAUUUUUGCACUAGAGGUGAGUUUUUCUCACCUAUGCGUGAUUAGCUUAAUGAUUGAGCUAAGUUUUGUUCGUUUGGUUCAUGUGACACUUGUUCUUAUACCUUUAGUGUACUAGGGGUGUGGAGGACACCCUCGUUGGAGUAAACGAAGAGUUUCGUUGUGAUCGGUGGGUUUAGCUUCAUGAAAAUAGGGCAAAAUGGCCCCUAUGCCUUCUAAACUUUUCGUAAAGUAUUUUUGAAUGCAAAUUCAUGCUAAAUAUGAUUUAUGUGAAUUUUAGAACACUUAACAUGCAUGCCUCAUAUAUCGUAAAAUUUGUACUCCAUAUAGUAGAGCUAUAUGUGUAGAUUGCAUGAAUUGUGGAUAGUGCUUUGUUUUGCAAGUUGAGAACAUGUCUCCAUGCUAGAGUUGAGUGAAUUAUGCAUCAUGAACAUAUUAAUGCCAUGCUUGGAACUCGUUGAACAAAAGUGUCAUCAAGGGGCACUUGAAACUAGUAAACUAUUAAACUGCAACAUAGAGACAUGUUGAUAGGCCACUACAUAUCUGCUACAUUCCAUGUUAGAGACAUGAUGACAUAGAGAUAGGCCAUUGAGAUACUUGAUAUAUUCCAUAUUGUUAGACAUGAGGACUUGGUUCUUGAGACGGAUCAUUGCUUGCUUGCCAUUGUGCUCAUUCGCACAUGCUUGUGAGGGUCGCUCCCUACAAGCCGGCACUCCGGAGAUAGCCAUCGCGACAUAUGCUCGCCCGUGCGGGAUUGGGCGCCGAAUUGGAUUGCCGUGGGGGAGGCUCAUCUCUAGAGUGAGGAUGUUGACUACCACGGGGCCAUUAGGCACGGCGCAGGCCAGACAGCCUUCGGGUGGGUCUUAUAUGAUUGGGACUUAGUGACAGGACGUGCUAUGUGAACUUUAAAACUAUUAAAGUAGACUUGGACUAGAAUAGUAAACAAUGACACCUUUGCUAUUUCUGCAUUGAGGACAUCGGAUUAGUUGCAUUUCUAUGCUUAUGCAUGUCAUACACACCCAUGUACACUCAUGAUAUUGUUGCUUUAUUACAUAUGCAAUUCAUGCUAAGUAGAGACUGUAUGUUACAGUAAGUUACAUUUUACUUACCUUUCGCUUUACUUUAUUGUUUGUCACUGACAUCUUUUGUAGCUUUUGAGCCUUGUGGCGCAGUUCACUGAAGUCAGUAAUUGCCCAAUGGGAACUAUUUUUAAUAGUUCUCACGCCCCUGUUUUCUGGUUUCCUUUCAGAGCCUUCGGCACCGGUGGAGGCACAGGAUCGCGGCAAGGGGAUCGCUUAGCUAGCUAGCGAGGAGCGGUACUUCGCCUAGGUGGUUUACUCUUUCUUUUUGUAGUUGAGAGAGUGAUAGGAUUUUGUAUCCAUGUAUAGAGACCACCUAUGUAUCUACCUAUAGCACUUGUACCUGAAUUUUUCUUGUAUCACUUUAUGUCUUAUUUAGUGGAUUUACAGUUUUACCCUUAUCCUUUGUUGUAGCAUUUAGACAUUUAUUAUGCUCUGAUACUCCUAGAUGUCUUUUAUUAUUGCUUUUACUAUUAUUGUUUUUAGACGCCUUAUAUGUUUUAGACGUAUGGCGGGUCUGGGCACGUGCCGGGCGGGCUUCUGCUGGGUCUCAGGGCGUGACACCAUAGCAUCCUCUCAACCUUCUAAGGUGGGUGGUGCAUUCCAAAGACCUCGAAAUUUCUUUUAUGUCUAAGGUGUCACAUUUGAGUAUAUGUAUGUAUAUUGAGCAUAUUGCAUAGUAGGGUAAUUGUAAGCUUCUAUUUGCAUGUUGUGAGUUUAAAUGUAUGUGAAAUAUUUGUAAGAAUGUGAGAAAUUUAUUUACCCUAUGUAUGCAUGAGAAAUGACAUGAACAUAGUAGCUUUAGAGAACAAAAGUGACAUGUUGACAUAAUUGUAGAGAGUGGCAUCGACGAGUCAAAAUAUACUAGAGUGGACACUUACAAAACAAGUGUAGCAUCAAUGAUUGNGGUGUCACAUUUGAGCAUAUGUAUGUAUAUUGAGCAUAUUGCAUAGUAGGGUAAUUGUAAGCUUCUAUUUGCAUGUUGUGAGUUUAAAUGCAUGUGAAAUAUUUGUAAGAAUGUGAGAAAUUUAUUUACCCUAUGUAUGCAUGAGAAAUGACAUGAACAUAGUAGCUUUAGAGAACAAAAGUGACAUGUUGACAUAAUUGUAGAGAGUGGCAUCGACGAGUCAAAAUAUACUAGAGUGGACACUUACAAAACAAGUGUAGCAUCAAUGAUUGAGUAUAAGAAUAAAGUAGUGUAUAUGACACUAAAAAAGGUUAAAGAAUGCAAGUAAAUAGAGGUAGCGAUAUUAUGACACAACAACCUUAGAGUUAAGAGUCAUAUGUGCAUUGUUUUCUUGUAGUCAAGGAAUGGAUUGGACUUGACAUCCUUAUAGUUAAGGAUGGGAUCAUACUCACCUGUAAGUCCUUGCUCGAGGGUGGUAGCUCCCCCUCGGGCGAUGUGCUCCGGGAUUGUCAUCACUGGGUCGUAGCGAGUAUCUCCCCAGAGGACGGUCCCGUCGGGUUGUAGCGAGUAUCUCCCCGAUAUUAGGGAUUUGGUUGGUGAGUCAUUGAGGGCGAAACCUACGGGUUAGCCAAGAGAUUGGGUAAUGAAAUUGUGACCUUGCAUUCAACAUAAGCAUACUAUUGAGCAUCACAUUUAUUAUUGUUCAGGCAUAUUAGCUGCAUUUGUAUAGUUUGGUUACUAUCCAUAUCUCUUUUCUUCUAUUAUGCCUGAUUUAGACCUAGUGGGAAAGUCGACGUGGUUGGUUGCCGAACCCACUGGGAACUUUGUUGUAGUUCUCACAUCCCAUUUUCCAUAAAACCCGGACCGAGCGAGCCGGCGGAUGAUCGCGGUAAGGGCAUCGCUGUCACGCCCCGCGACCGCUACCAAGUUGGUCCGGCCCGGGCGCGUCGAACAGACGCCGAACGGACAGGACCUCCCCUGUCCGUCCAAGGCUAACCAACAGAUCGUGCAUAAGAAUUUACCCAGGAAUCAAUUCAUAAAUACACGAUCAAUAAGCACCACUAGUGCUAUAAACAAGAGCAAGAUACAAGUAUAGAAACAUAUACAAGUACAUAAGAGAGAAGAGGCUAUCUAUUAUAUUCAAAUACUUCUUUUACAUUCUUCCAAAAUAUAAAUACAAUCACUUGAACCUCACCCUAUACAUCAUCUACUCUCAAAUAUAAAAGAAAGGGGUGAGAGCUAAUACAAAAGGGAGGUAGCUAAUGCGACUAGAACGCCGGGCCCUUACCGCGAUCCUCACGCUCACCGGAAACACCCGAACUGGAACCUGUAGUGAGAAUGGGGGUGAGAACUAACUUCCUUAGUUCCCAGUGGGUUCGGCCGCCGACUCCGCCGAUCUCCCCACUAGGUCCAAGCGGGCACAAGUAGAUAUACCAAUAGAUGGAUAGACAGAUAGAUAUAUAGAUAAGGAGCUGUAAAUGACGGAAAUGAAGCUAUUCUACUAUGCCCAAUCAUAAAUGUAUGAAUGCAUGUCCAAUGAAUUGGUAAGCAACUAACCUGUCAUCAUGUCCAAAGGUGAAGCUAUUCACUCGUUCAAUAACAUCAUUUACUUGUUCAUUAAUCUCAUGGCUUACCCGAAGGCUCGCCUACAGCUCACUAGCCAUCUCGACGCGUAGGGAGAAUCAACUCACACUACGGACCCGAGACCGUCUGGCGGGGCCAUAUAGGCAAUCCCUGGCGUGACCAACAUCCGGAGCGCACUACUUGUGUGGGGCUUCCAUCACAAGAUUUAACAGACCGUGAGCAUGAUCCAAUCCUCUAAGCUCGAGGAUACCCUGUCCUCUAGAGUCACAAUCAUCAUAUAGUCCAUAGGUGUCACAUACACUAUUAACUAGAUUGUCCGUUUGUUCGCUAUCGACUAGAUGCCACUCAUUCAUAGUUUACUAUUAACUAGAUGCCACUCGUUCAUACUUCAUCAUUUUCUCUACAUCAUAGGAUUCACAAUCUCGACCCAAUCCUUAUCAAUCCAAUAUAUCAAUUAUCCGAUGUACGCUACGAUACCAUGAAGGAAAAACAUAAGGAAAGGCAAUGCAUACUAAUCCUAUAAUGCAAUAAUACAAGAUGCAAGAUCAAAUAUACUAAGACAUAGGAGGGAGCCCGAUUGCUUCGGGAUGGACACCACCCACCUCUUGGCGAUGCCGCGAUAGUAGAAAGCUCGACGUUGCGGUUCUUGCACGCCGCUUAAACUCCUCGGGGCAAAGCGAGCCCUCGAGUACCCGAUUCGGCGAUAACUCCGCACCCGCUCGUCGGAUCGGCAAACCGUCUUCGCCGACGCGUUCAGAGACCUAGCAAUUAGGUUAGCGACCCAACUAAUUAGAUCAAAACCCUAGAUUUCCCGAAAUCCCAAUUUUAAGCCCUAGGUCUCAACAACGGAGAAAUCCGCGGUGCGAGCUUCGAUUUCGAGCUCGGACCUUCUAUUUAUCCCUACUAGGUUCCAUUUGAACCAACUCUAAACCCUAAAACUCCCAAACCCUAAAAAUACCAUUAAAGGGAUUUGGAGCUUACCUCUCUUGAAGACUCCUUCAAGCUUGAGGGAGAGGGAGAGAAGAAGAUGUCUUCUUCUUCUUCUUCUUAGUCUUCUCCUUCUCUUUCUUCUUCUUUCUUCCCUUCUUCUCCUUCCUCUUCUUCUUCUUCUCCUUCUUCUCUUUCUUUUCUUUUCUUUCCUAGAGAGAGAAAGGGAAAGAGUGAGAGAGAGAGAGAGAGAGAGCAGCUGAGAGAGAGUGAGAGGGGUCCCCCACCUCUAAUAAAGGCCAUUUUGCAGCUAGCCCCCUCAACUUUUCAUCUUCUGAACCAGCCCUCUUUGGGCAUUUUCGCAGCGAGGGACCGGUCUCCCCGACUUGGGACCGGUCCCCGAAGGCUGCCAUUUCGAGCAGAGGGAUUUUCGCGUUCGGGAACCGGUCCUUGCCUGAGAGACCGGUCCCCGGGAGACCGGUCCUUGUCCGAGAGACCGGUUCCCGAGAGCUGCAUCCUCGGGACUUAGCCAAAUUUGGCUAAGUCUCGCCAGGCCAACGUUCGGGAACCGGUCCCUGCCCACCAGGGACCGGUCUCAUCAGAGACCUCCGCAACCCAGUCUGAUGGAACCGGUCCCUCCCUGCUAGGGACCGGUCCUCGAGAGCAUUUCUGCUCCAGUGCAGAUUUUGCACUGGUGCUCCCGCGGACCCUUCUUUAAUGCACUUUAUGCAUUAUAAUCGCCUUCGGACUUUCCGAAGCCUACACCCUCGACGAAUAGUCGAUUCUAAUCGAAGUCUAAUCCUCGAGUUUCGAGAAUUCACUUCCUUACAAUCGCGCCCUAGAUAGAGACCGCCCGAGAUGAUUUCAUAUUUUGUAGUUGCAUUCCCUCUACUAUCAUCUUUUGUAUUUGAUGAUUUUAGUAUCAUGAACAUAUUUAAAUGAUUGAUGUAAAGGAUAUUUAUUUUAAAUGCAAAUGGUUAUAUUUUGAAGAAUAUGAGAUGUAAAAGAGAGGAAAUGAUGCAAGAACGUAAAAGAACUUGAUUAAAGUUGGAUGCAUGUAUGUGAUUUAAAUUAAUCAUGUUACUUAUAUGUUGAUAGUUAGUACUUUCACUUUGGCUAUUGCUUGCCCUCAUGCAAGCCAUUGUGUAUGUUUCCUCUUAUGCAAACUUUAUACUCUAUCUAUACCUGUGUUCAGCCUUGGGCGGAUAGGGGAGGCAUUGUACGUUCGGCGUCUGUUUGACGUUCUCAAACCGGCCAAAAGGAUCAGGAUCGGGCUCGGGGCGUGACAGAUAUAAUGGUAUUAGAGCGUAAAGAGCCAAAAAGGUGAAAGUUUAGGAUAGACCUAGAGACCUUUAGGAUUGGAAAGACCUUAAGAACCUAGGAAACGUGAGUGACGUUGAACAAAGUAUAGCGAAAGCUUAUGAUUCGGUUAAUGUAAUAUGUCUCUAAUGUGGUUAGGGACUAAAUUUAAGUUGUUAUUUGUUUUCUUUUCCUUGUGUUUUAAUCGGCGGCCGACGACAUGAUGCUUUGAAAGGAAAAUAAAUACGCUUGUUGCUUUCGCCGAAUUCGGUAUAAUCGAGUAUAUUGUCUAAGUAACAAACGUGAAUUGCUUCAUUUUCAGGAAGCAAUGCCACCUCGUGGGCGUCCUAAGUUGCCUCGUGGUCGACCGCGGAUGAGGUCUAUGGCCGAGGAGCCAAGUGCGGCUCCGGUGCAACCCGGAGCAGGUGGCGACGGGGAGCUACGGGAGCAGACGGCCGCGCUUAUUGGCGUAGUGCGGCAGCAGGCUGAGUCCGUUCAGCGCCACGAGGAGCAAAUCCAAAGACUCCAGGAGGCCUUGGAGCGGCAGCAGGCGGCGGCGGCGGUGCUCGUGGAGGUUGUGCACCCUGCGCCUGCUGCAGUGGUGACGAGUGCGGCCGAGGGUGUGGCCGGAGCGGCAGUGCCAGUUACGAUGGUGCCGGCGGGAUCGGGGACCUCAAACCCCGAUAGUGCGGCGGAUGAGGCGAAGCGGGAGCGCACGUUGGCGGCUCUCAUUCAAUUCAACAAGUUCAACCCACCUAUCUUCGAAAGGGGAGUGGUGGAACCGGCGGCGGUGGAGUCAUGGAUCGACUCCAUGGAGACGCUCUUUGAGGAUCUGCAUAUCUUGGAGAAGGACAAGGUGUACCUCGCCACACAUUGCCUUGAGAAGGCGGCGAAGGUGUGGUGGAAGCGUGUUAAGCGGGAUCGAUCUUUCGAUCUUCUGCCUAUGUUGUGGGAGGAGUUUAGGAGGGCGAUGUACGCCAAUUAUUUUCCCGACAUGGUGAAGCGGAAGUUGCAAGAAAAAUUCUGCAAGUUGAGGCAAGAGGAUCGCUCCGUGGCGGACUACGAGCAGGAGUUCUCCCACCUUAUCAAUUGCGUCCCGGAGCUUGUUCGUGAUGACCAGGACCGGGCCAAUUGGUUCCUGCAAGGUUUGCGGCCGGGGAUUCAUAGAGUCGUGCAAAUCCUCAAGCUGACGACUUUUGCGGAGGUUUUUGAUCGAGCUUUGUGGGCGGAGCAUGGCUAUGCCCACGAACGGGAGGAGCGCAAGUCUGCAGCCGAGACAAAGGGCAAGAGCAAGAAGCGGGCGGCGGGUGGCACCGGGGGCCGGCCGAAUGCAAAGAAACCCCCUCGGUAUCCCCGGCAAUAGUCCAAGAGUUGGGGGCCGCUCCGUUGUCCUAUUUGCGGCGGUGACCAUCGACCGCCGGUGUGCCCGCAGCGUGAGGGAAAGUGCUUUAAGUGCAGCCAACCAGGGCACAUAUCACGGGAGUGCCCGAGUUGGGGGUAGUCUGCACCGACAGCAGCGUCAGUUCCAUCUACCCCGAGACAACUUGCGGGGUUACCACCGGCUAUGUCAGCUGGACGCUCGUCUACAUCGCGUCAACCGGAGGCAUCGAGAGCACCGAGUGGGCGGGUUUUUGCCACUCAAGUAGAGGAGGAGCCCAUCCCUGUCCCCGACGACAUCAUGGCAGGUAUUAUCUCGAUCAGAGGCACUGGAGCUAGGGCUUUAUUCGACACGGGUGCAUUGCAUUCAUUUAUAGGUGCAUCAUUUGCAAAGGAGCAUGGCAUUAAGAUCGUGCAUCAUUAUGACUAUUGGACGGUGAAUUCGGCCGAACAAACUUUCCACGUUCACGACGAGUGUAUGGCGUGCCCAAUACAGAUAGGUGAUUGGGUCAUGCCGAUCAACCUGUUGGUGUUGAAUCGGAUGUGGGGUUUCGACGUGAUCUUGGGGAUCAACUGGCUCUCCAAGUAUUGUGCCGUGAUAGAUUGCGAAAGUAGGGUGAUCACAUUCCGUGAGCCUAACCGAGAGGAGCUAGUAUAUCAGGCAUGUAAAAGCUCGCUCUUCGCGGCGACCGUAUCGGCAGCGAGGGCGAGGAAAAUGAUAAAGGGCGGAUGCGUAGCCUACUUGGCGACAAUGGUAGAGGCCCAAAAGGAGCACCCGGAACUUAGUGGUAUUCGGGUAGCGUGCGAGUUUCCAGAGUUACCGGGAUUGCCACCGGACCGGGAGAUCGAGUUCGUUAUUGACCUGGUUCCCGGGGCGGCGCCAACUUCGAAGGCUCCGUAUAGAAUGGCACCGGCGGAGCUAAAAGAGCUCAAGGCACAGUUGCAACACUUGCUCGAUAAGGGCUUUGUGAGCCCGAGCGUGUCACCGUGGGGAGCUCCGGUGCUAUUCGUUAAAAAGAAAGAUGGCACACUUCGGCUCUGCGUGGACUACCGCGAGUUGAAUAAAGUGACAGUUAAGAAUAAAUACCUAUUGCCGAGGAUUGACGACUUAUUUGAUCAACUGCAAGGGUCGAGGGUGUAUUCAAAGAUAGACCUUCAGUCGGGGUAUCAUCAGCUGAAGAUAUGGCCCCAGGACGUGCACAAAGCGGCGUACCGUACGUGGUAUGGCCACUACGAGUUCACGGUGAUGCCGUUUGGGCUCACUAAUGCCCCGGCAACCUUUAUGGAUCUAAUGAAUCGAAUCUUUCGUCCGCUAUUGGACCGGUGCGUCGUGGUAUUCAUUGACGACGUAUUGGUGUAUUCUCGGACCGAGGAAGAACGCGAGGAGCAUUUGAGGGUCGUGUUGGAGACACUCCAAAAAGAAAAGCUUUAUGCAAAACUAAAGAAAUGUGAGUUUUGGCUUUCGGAGAUUACCUUCUUGGGUCACGUUAUAUCCGGUGAUGGCAUCUCGGUGGACCCAAAGGAAGUGGAGGCUAUUAAAGACUGGCCUCGCCCGACGAGCGUAACAGAGGUCCGCAGUUUUCUUGGGCUAGCAGGCUAUUAUCGGCGGUUCGUGGAAGGGUUCGCUAAAAUAACCACUCCACUAACGCGCCUCACAUAGAAAGGGGCAAAGUACAUUUGGAACGUCGAAUGCGAGUAGAGCUUCGAGGAGCUAAAGAGAAGAUUGACCACGACCCCGGUGCUUGCUCUACCGACGCCGGGGGAGACAUUUGUGGUAUAUAGUGAUGCUUCCUACGUUGGUCUCGGGUGUGUCUUGAUGCAAAACGGGCGGGUGAUAGCUUAUGCCUCGCGCCAAUUGAAGACAUAUGAAAAGAACUACCCGAUUCACGACCUCGAGCUAGUGGCGGUUAUCUUCGCGCUAAAGUUAUGAAGGCAUUACCUAUAUGGUGAACAUUGUGUGAUUUGUACGGACCACAAAAGUCUCAAGUACUUGUUCACCCAAAAAGAGCUAAACAUGCGACAACGGCGGUGGUUGGAGUUAUUGAAAGACUAUAAUGUCACUAUCCUAUACCGCCCCGGGAAGGCGAAUGUCGUGGCCGAUGCACUUAGUAGGAAAUCGGGGGAAAACUUGGCUUCGACAAUUACACCUCAAUCGUUAUUGCAAAAAGAGAUGCAACGGCUUGGAUUGGUAGUAGCGCCGAGAGUGCUGGCUACACUUGCCGCGUUAGUGGUGCAACGGACCUUGUUGGAGAGGAUAAAAUAGCUACAAGCUUCCGAUGAGUAUUCCGAAAGGUGCGCGGUGAAGUUAAGAGCGGUAGGGCCAAUGACUUUGGCAUUGGGACCGACGGCACACUUCGAUUUCGGAAUCGUUGGUGUGUACCUAAGAACAAGGACAUACGCAAGGCAAUUAUACAAAAAGCGCAUCAAUCUCCUUAUAGUAUCUACCCCGGCGGCACCAAAAUGUACCAAGAUUUCAAAUUGCAUUAUUGGUGGCCGGGCAUGAAGAAAGACAUUGGGGAGUUUGUUGCGCAAUGUCUUACUUGCCAACAAGUAAAAGCGGAGCGGCAGUUUCCAGCGGAAAAAUUACAAAGCUUAUCUAUACCCGUUUGGAAAUGGAAAAAAAUCGCGAUGGACUUCGUGACCGAAUUGCCCCGAUCUCAAGGUGGACAUGAUGCAAUUUGGGUGAUAGUAAACCAGUUGACGAAGUCGGCGCAUUUCCUGCCGAUUCAUAUUACAUAGUCGGGGGGCAAGUUGGCUCAAGUAUAUAUCGAAGAGAUUGUGAGACUUCAUGGUGUUCCGGUAUCAAUUGUAUCGGAUCGGGAUCCGAGGUUCACAUCUCACUUUUGGAGGAGCCUAUAGGAGGCAUUGGGCACACGGCUCGACUUUAGCAUGGCAUUUCAUUCUCAAAGUGAUGGUCAAUCAGAGAGGACGAUACAAACACUUGAGGAUAUGCUUUGAGCAUGUGUACUAGACUACAAGGGCGGUUGGCAUGAGCAUCUACCGAUUGCGGAGUUCGCGUACAAUAAUAGUUACCAAGAGAGUAUCGCGAUGGCGCCAUUCGAGGCCCUUUACGGAAAGAAAUGUCGCUCUCCAAUCCAUUGGAGCGAUGUGGGCGAGAGAGCGGUUCUUGGCCCCAUUGUAGUGUGGGAGGCGGAGGAGAAGGUUCGCCUCGCCCGCCAACGACUUGCUACGGCGCAAUCUCGGCAAAAGAGCUAUGCCGAUAAACGGAGGAAAGAUAUAGAGUUUGCCGUUGGUUACCACGUGUUCUUAAAGGUAUCACCGAUGCGAGAAAUUAGACGGUUUGGGCUCUGGGGGAAGCUAAGUCCUCGUACCUUGGACCGUUCGAGGUAUUGGAGCGGGUCGGUGCGGUGGCGUACAAAAUAGCAUUACCAUCGAGGCUUGUGGGAGUGCACGAUGUAUUUCAUGUAUCGAAUCUCCGCAAGUAUGUACAUGACCCUGAUCACAUCCUCUCAUUUGAACCGUCGAAGAUUCAAGAGGAUAUGACUUACGAGGAGUUCCCGGCGUAUAUCAUCGACCGAGAAGUGCGAAAACUACGGAACCGUGAGAUUCCGUAUGUUAAAAUUCGUUGGAGUAACCACGAUGACGGGGAAGCUACUUGGGAGCUCGAGAGCGCAAUGCGGGAGCAUUAUCCUCAUCUCUUCAAUGAGCUGAAUUGAGGUAUGAGUUUAAGUUUAAAUUAAGAAACACUACAACAAUAUUAUAUAUUGGUGGCGAGUAAUGUCGCCACCAUAUAUAUAAGAAGUUGCCACCUUUUUAAAAGGUGGCGACUUUUAAAGUCGCCACAAGCUGCCACCUAAAGUAUUGCCGCUAAAUGAAAUUGUGGCGAAGCAUAAAAAAUCGCCACCUUUUUUAAAAUAGCGUGGCGACAUUUUGUCGCCACCAAAUAUGACUUUUAGUGGCCAUUUUUUAUCGCCACCUUAUUAAAGAUAGCAUGGCGAUAUUCUGUCGCCACCAAAUAUGACUUUUAGUGACAACUAUUAGUCGCCAUCUUAUUAAAGAUAGCGUGGCGAUAUUUUGUCGCCAUCAAAUAUGAUUUUUUAGUGGCCCUUACUAGUCGCCACCUUUUAUGGAGAUAAGAUGGCAAUACAUUUUUGCCACCAAAUGGAUACCUUAUGUGGCAACCAUCACAGUCGCCACCUUAGCUGAAGAUAAAAAGGCAACUUUUUAUCGCCACCAACUGUGCGAUAAAUAGCCACCAAUAAUAAAAAGAUAAUAAACUAAAUAUAAAAAUAUACAACUAAUAUUUUAUAAACAGAACAUAUACAAAAUAACAAACAAAAUAUUAAAGUAAACAAAAUUAUUCUUUUAACAAUAAUUUAAAAGGCUAAUUAUCUUCUGAUCCACAACAGCUUAAAAACAAAAUAAUAGCAAAAUCAAUUUAAAAGCAAUAGAGUAAUAAUAUUCGAUAUACAGUUCAACAUCAUUCCUGACUCUCUCAACUUUGAAAAUAGAAAAUACUUAAAAACGAUAAAAAAAAAUACUUCAGCUCCUAUUUCAACAGUAAUUCAUUUCCUGCAACAAACAAAAGAAAGCACUAAAUUCAUAGAUUUCAAGUUUUCAUUGCAAGUGCAAAAGUAAACAUUUUCUAAUAGAGCUUAAUGAAUUAACCAAGCUUUAUCCUGUAAGGACCGCACUUACCCUGAAGCUCAAACUGUGAAAAUAGUUCUCUUUCCGAAGACGGGGUUCCUGUAUAUAAUAAGUAAUUAUGAAUUAGCUGCAGGAUAUAUACACCCAUGAAACUUGAACAUGUUUAUAGGCAAAAACAGAACUUUCUGGCAUGAAUGUGGGCCCACAAUUCUAAACUCAAAAUGAAAAGAAGUUGCUACCUUUUUCUCAGUAAAAAAAAAAAGAAAAAAGAAAAGAAGCUGCAAAGAAGCAGUAUAGAUCAAACAACAGAAUUUAUUACUAAACAUGUGAAACUCGACUACUAAAACAGUGAAACUAGUAUCCAGCGGAAUAAAGUUGGGCAGAAAAGUUCAUAAGACCACAGAAUUAAAUGUGCUGAAUUGUUGAUACAUGUGACUAUAAAAUCAGUAGAUUAAUGUACUAUAUCUACAUAACAAAAUAAUUCAUGAGAUAACAAUCCAUUAAAAAAUUAAAAGCGAAGUUUGCAGUCUCAGCUCCGAUUAGAUCUGGAUCAGUCGACUUGGAUCCUAAUUUGUGGCACAGAUCUUAAUACAUCUAUGAAAAGUAAAGGACACUAAUUCAGUCCUACAGGAUAUUUCCACUUAGAAAUGCCAAACAAGUAUAGAUUUUCAGAUCAUCCAGUUAAAGAUAUUCAGUUGUAUCACCAAAAAAUAAGCGAGCACAUGCAUUAUACGCCAUUGAAGUUUUGCAACCAUGCAAAUGCAUAGCAUUGAAAACAUUUCAUGGUAAUGUAUAUCUAAAAACCUGAAGAACAACUGCUGAAGUAAUGAAUCCAAUGUGUAUUCACCAAUCCUAGGGUGCCUUAUAAUAGCAACUUCCUUGAAGGCUUGUGUGUUCUGAUAUGUAGUUAGAGAAUGUCAGUUACAAAACUGAAAAAUGAUCAAAUGAAUCAAAUAAGCAGGAAAAAUAAAUCACCAGGUGAUAUUGCAGUGCUAAUUUGCUUGGAUGCAUUAUAAAUAUGGCAAACAAAUGGCAUUCUCUUGAUAAACCACUCUCCAAGGCUAAGAAGAGAUGCCCCCACCCAUGAGGACAUGAACAGUCCAACCAAAAAUAUAAAAGUUAUGGAAGUUAUGAAGCCAAGUCCUGAAAAACACAAAAGAGAAUCAAACAGUUAAACUUUGGAUCAUAGAUGUAAGGAUCUGGACUACUAGACACUAAUUAAGAUGCCCAGGUGGCAUAACAAAUUGUUUGCAGGUAAUUUGAGCUCUACUUCAAUUUCUUUGAUAAAAUUCAAGAUAUGAUUAUACUGAGUUUCUGUAGGAAUAUAUAGUUAGACGAGAAAAAAAUUUUAUUCUUCUUUGCCUGUGAAGAAUGAAACAACUACAUCAUCUCUAACAUAUCAAAUGGACUGACUAGAAGUACAAUAUGCAUACCGAGUAUGUUGAUCGAAAGUUGAGCAUAUAUUGGAGAGAAAAAUCCAUCCACAAAGUGAAUAAACCACCACGUGAUAUAGAAGGUAACUGCUAUUGGAAAGAGGAUCACACUACAAGAAACAGGAUGAUGUAAACACAAAAAUUUUGUUAGGAACUCUUCAGUGCCAAUGAAUUAGAAAAUAAUAAUGUCCACAUAUGGUAAAAAAUUGGCAAGUAAAAAUAAAUAAGCAAAGUAUGCAAAUAAUUCCGCAGAAUCUCCUCUAUUUUCAACAAACAGGAAACAGGCAAUUCAAUUGUAAUUACAAGAAUUGCCAAUACCUCUUCUAGAGUAUACAUCAAUAUGAUCAAUCAUAGAUUAAUUGUGAACUAGAGAGAAGACAUACUCCCUAGGACAGCAAGUCCAAAGAUAAAGCUUUGCUGUAUAAAACAAUAGAAGCAAAUUGGGUGUAUAUCCAAACAUUUCACCCAUUCCUUAGCUGAGUACAGUUUUAUUUUGGUAAGUUUCACUGCUUGAAGGUCCUUAAUCUACAAGUGUUAGGGUUAUAGGAACUAGAAAAAUAUCUCACCCAAAAUACCACUUCCAGAAAAAAUAUGUAGGUACGUUUACUGAGGAAGAGGAUAGCUUAUCUAGAGAAAUGCACAAAUCUCAAGUACUAAAGAAAAGAAGCUCACCAUCCAGUCAUGAACUUUUUUGAAGCCCAGCUGCGAAGAACAUUAUGAAAUGCCUGCAUUUUAUCACCUUCAUCAGUAAAAACUGUAUCAAGCUUCUUAGAAAGAUUAUUAGAUCAAAGAGUCACAGCAUCGUGCAGAUGCGUGCUGAUACACAUUUGCUUUGUGGCGAAUAACAUUGGACCAUCAUUCACAAAAAGGCAUCACUUAAUCAACGUAUGCCAAGAGUAUCAGUUUCAUCUAUCCUUCUUAAAUAACAAAUCUUAAGUCCUUAGAGCAAUCUAUAGCGGAAACUGAAUUCAGAGUAUCAGGAUGGUACUAUUAUAAUUGUGAUUAACUUGUCUCUUCUAUGAUAGGCAGCCUACAUAUAAUUUCUCAUCCUUUUACAUGUAUAUUGUUCCUAUGUCCGAUUUACCGUCUAAUACGUUCCAUUGGUUAAGUAAUAGUUUGAAACAUCGAAAGCAUGAUUCUCUGAAACAUUCUCCUCAAGACCUAGUCGCAUGACAUGAGAUGCUGAAUUGGUGUAAAUAAUAUAGUGAGACAAAUACUAAGAGAAAUUGUACCAAACAGGUUGAAUGAGGAAACACCAAACAGUUCUAUGAACAUCGUUCACACUCAUACAAUUAAUUAUCCAAAAUAGAUGAAGGGCCUCCCUUUCAAGCAAAUUAAACAAAUUAUCUCCAACCAGUUAGAAAUAUAGAAAUUGAAACCUAUUCCUCAAAAAUUAGAAAAAAGCUGACGCAAACCAAAAGACCAUAAGAAAGAACAAGUGUUCUAAAAAGUUCCCUUUUUGAAGGAAAUAAAUGAAACCUAACACGAAAAGGAAAGGGGAAAACCUAGAGAUAACAAGAACUACAAGAAAAUCACCAAAUCCUAACAAUUCAACCUACAAGAAUAACCGAAAUCUGAAUUUCACAAAAAUCUGCCAGAACUAUGCAAUUCGGCUAAAAUUUCGGAUUUCUCUCAAGUCAAAACUUUUAUUUCAGCACCACGAAUGUCAUAAUUGAAUAAGGAAAACCUGUCAGCAUGACCUACAAAUUGAACCAUUUAGCCUUUUCCACAUAUUGAUUUUGGAUGUGUCAACCCUCUCUCAUCUGGUGCUUGUCAAAUAAGAGCUAAUGGAUACUUUAUUUUAAACCAUCAUUCUAUCUAAGAAGGCCAUUUCCCUCAUGGCAUUUGCACUAGCAAAUUGACCCUAGCACCAUUGAGACCCCACCAACAAGUAGAUGUUCAAAUCCAGGAUUAUUGGUAUAGCUGCCUAAAAUUAGAAUAUAUAGUCGAGCAAUAAGUCAGUUGCCAAGAAAUAGCAGAAUACACCAGUAAAACAUGAUUAGAAUUGCUGAAAAUUCAUGAAAAGUGAAUGAAACGUAGCAUACGUAGAUUUCCUUAUGGGCAAGCAUUAAUUCCAGUAUAAAUUGUACGAUUUCUCUAUCAAUUUGAAUCUGAACAAUACUCAGCUAUCCUAUACCUAAAUGUCUAUGUCGAAACAAUGAAACAAUAAGUGGUUUUCCUAUGGACAAGCAUUAAUUCCAGUAUAAAUUGUACGAUUUCUCUAUCAAUUUGAAUCUGAACAAUACUCAGCUAUCCCAUACCUAAAUGUCUACGUCGAAACAAUGAAACCAGAUCAAAAGUGCAUCAACAGUGAGAGGGAGAGACCUGAUGGAGCUCGGGAGGGAGCUUGCGAUCGUUGACGGCGUCGAUAAUGGCGAAGAGGCGGUGGCUCUGCUUCUUCUUAUGCGAUUGUCGAGAGGAUGCGGCGGAGGAGGCGGGGGAGGAGUCGGGAUCGGGGUCGAAACACGAACGAUUCCUCCGAACCGGCGAUCGCGUGCGAGGUCAAGUGGGAUCACGUCGACGAGCGAUCCUUCCCAAUGUGGCCAUCGUUUGCGAGGUCGAGAGGAUGCGGGUGAGUUCGGAAACCCUAAUCUAAGGGAUCGAUCAAUCCAUAUCCUACAACUCACCAUGGCGAGGAGCUUGUUGCCUAUGUCGCCGAUGAGGAGCUCGCCAGUGACGAGCUCGCCGACGAGGAGUUGGCCAUGACGAGCUCGCUGACGAGAGCUCGUCAAGGAAGAGAGGUAGAGGAUGGGAGCGGAUUAAGAAAACGGGUUUUGAGGGAGAGGGUGUAGCUGAGAGGAUGUAGAGGGGUCAGGGAAGAGGCCAGGUGAGCUGAGGGAGUAAGGAUUUUUUGUAAUUUUCUAAAAAUUUAAAUUAUUAAUUUUAAAAUUAAAUUAAAAUAUUAAUUUAAUUCAAUUUAAAAAUUAAAUUAAAUUUAAUUAAUUUGUGGCAACUUUUUUUAUUGCCAUUAUAGGUAACCAAACAAUGGCGAUUUAUUUUAUCGCCACCAUAAAUAACUAAAUAGUGGCGAUAAAAUAGUCAUUUAGUGGUGAAGCUAGUAUCACCACUUUAAAUUAAUUAAUCGGUGGUGAUUUUUUUUAUCGACACCAUAGAUAAGAAAAUAGUGGCGACAAAAUAGUAAUUUAGUGGUAAAAAUACUAUCACCACUUUAAGUUAAUUAAUUGGUGGCAAUUUUUUUAUUGCCAUUAUAGAUAACCAAAUAGUGGCGACAAAAUAGUCAUUUAGUAGUGAAACUAGGAUCGCCACUUUAAGUUAAUUAAUCAAUGACGACUUUUUUUAUCGCCACCAUAGGUAGCUAUAUAGCGGCGAUAAAUUUUGUCGCCAUCUUAUUUUUGCCACCAAUACUAUCUUUUCUUGCAGUGAAAGUUUCGUGGACGAAACUAAUUUUAAGGAGUGGAGAAUGUAACAUAUCGAACUUUAGCCAAAAUAGAUUAAAGUGCCGAGAGAAAUGGAUGGACAAACUUCAGUUGAUUUCUAACAAUGUUGGAAGGGUCAAAGUCGAGUCCCGAGAGUGUUAAGCAAGUUUUAGCAUUGCUCGGUGUGAUUUAAAAGUGAAUAGUGUGAAAGAAAUAGAUGAACAAGUUCCAAUUAGCAUUCCAACGAGGUUGGAAAGGAAAAAAUGAGUUUAAGAAGUGUUAGAAAGGUUUUAGCAUCAAACGGCGCGAAACAGAAUCGAAAAUGGCGCAAAAUUGCAUUCUGGAGCAAAGUGUACCAGUACAACCAUCGAGUUGUCACCGGUACAGAAUUGCAGGCCGAGAAGGAGAAGCUCUCGGUUUUGAAAAAUUUUGCCUGUGUUACCGGUUACAGCUACAGUGUACCGGUACACUUUGGAAAAACCUGCGAGAAUUGCGCUCGGGUUUGCCUCUGCGUAAUCGUGUUACCAGUGAUAGCUACAGUGUACCGGUACAGUUUGGGUCUGGCAGCAAAAUGAAAACUGCAAAUGAGAAUAAGUGGAGGGUUUUUGAUAAUUGUAGCACCUUAUGUAUAACGCCAACACUCCUCUCUCCCUCUCCCACAGCCCCUACACACCUCCUCUCUCAUUUCUCUCUUUCUCUCUCCAGAACCCUCCCCGAAGAGCAAGGAAAAGGAGUUGGAGAAGGGAUUGAAGGUGGAUUUGGAGGCUUUGGAGGUUUGGGAUCUCUCCAACAAAAAGGAUCUUGGAGAGCUUUGGGACAAGGUAUGGUUUUCAUGAAAACCUAGACAAGGGUUUGAAUUUCUCCCAAGAAACUUAGGUUUUGGAGCUUCUUCUAUGUUUAGGACACCUCUUGAGGCUUGAGCUCCAUGAAAAUCCAUGGAAGCUCAAGAUCCUCUCAUAGUGAACUUCUAGGGUUCAUCUUGGACGCCCUAGAAAUGGCUUAGUUGAUCUUAGAUGAGCUCCUAGAAGCUUGACAAGCUCUCUUUUGCUUGUACAAGGGAUCAAAACCUAGGGUUUAGCAUUUGGUGACAUUAGGGCACCCAAUUUGGGGCUUUUGUCUCCGAGUAUUUCUAAGGCAAAUUGACCUUAUAGAAACCUAAUUAGGGGUAUUCCCGAUGCAUGGGACAACUCCGUUUAACGUUACGAAAAGGUUUUGAUGGAGUUAUUGAUAAAAAGCCUAAUUCGGCUUCGUUUUGCCGUAGGCGAAAAAGUAAAGCUUCAAAAAUUCCAAGAACUUCACCAUAGCAUCCUCUCAACCUUCUAAGGUGGGUGGUGCAUUCCAAGGAACUCGAAAUUUCUUUUAUGUCUAAGGUGUCACAUUUGAGCAUAUGUAUGUAUAUUGAGCAUAUUGCAUAGUAGGGUAAUUGUAAGCUUCUAUUUGCAUGUUGUGAGUUUAAAUGCAUGUGAAAUAUUUGUAAGAAUGUGAGAAAUUUAUUUACCCUAUGUAUGCAUGAGAAAUGACAAGAACAUAGUAGCUUUAGAGAACAAAAGUGACAUGUUGACAUAAUUGUAGAGAGUGGCAUCGACGAGUAAAGAUACGCUAGAGUGGAUAAUUAGAAAACAAGUGUGGCAUCAAUGAUUGAGUAUAAAAACAAAGUAGUGUAUAUGACACUAGAAAAAUGUUAAAGAAUGCAAGUAAAUAGAGGUAGCGACAUUAUGACAUAACAACCUUAGAGUUAAGGGUCAUAUGUACAUUGUUUCCUUGUAGUCUAUGAAUGGAUUGGACUUGACAUCCUUAUAGUUAAGGAUGGGAUCAUACUCACCUGUAAAUCCUUGCUCGAGGGUGGUAGCUCCCCCUCGGGCGAUGUGCUCCGGAGUUGUCAUCACUGGGUCGUAGCGAGUAUCUCCCCAGAGGAUGGUCCCGUCGGAUUGUAGCGGGUAUCUCCCCGAUAUUAGGGAUUUGGUUGGUGAGUCGUUGAGGGCGAAACCUAUGGGUUAGCUAAGAGAUUGGGUAAUGAGAUUGUGACCUUGCAUUCAACAUGAGCAUACUAUUGAGCAUCACAUUUAUUAGUGUUCAGGCAUAUUAGCUACAUUUGUAUAGUUUGGUUACUAUCCAUAUCUCUUUUCUUCUAUUAUGCCUGAUUUAGACCUAGUGAAAAAAUCGACGUGGUUAGUUGCCGAACCCACUGAGAACUUUGUUAUAGUUCUCACACCCUAUUUUCCACAGAGCCCGGACCGAGCGAGCCGGCGGAUGAUCGCGGUAAGGGCAUCGCGCCCUAGAUAGAGACCGCUCGAGAUGGUUUCAUAUUUUGUAGUUGCAUUCCCUUUACUAUCAUCUCUUGUAUUUGAUGAUUUUAGUAUCAUGAACAUGUUUAAAUGAUUGAUGUAAAGGAUAUUUAUUUUAAAUACAAAUGGUUAUAUUUUGAGGAAUAUGAGAUGUAAAAGAGAGGAAAUUAUGCAAGAAUGUAAAAGAACUUGAUUAAAGUUGGAUGCAUAUAUGUAAUUUAAAUUAAUCAUGUUACUUGUAUGUUGAUAGUUAGUACUUUCGCUUGGCUAUUGCUUGCCCUCGUGUAAGCCAUUGUGUAUGUUUCCGCUUAUACAAACUUUAUACUCUAUCUGUACCUGUGUUGAGCCUCGGGCGGACAGGGGAGGCUCUGUCCGUUCGGCGUCUGUUUGACGCUCUCGAACCGGCCAAAAGGAUCGGGCUCGAGGCGUGACAGCCAAAGGUGCAUUGGAAUGGAGUCUGCGAGAGAAAAUGAUGUGAAAAAAAACCUGCACUUGGCAGAUUUGCUCUCGGAGACCGGUACCUGGCGGGAGGGACCGUGUCACGCCUCGUCCCGAAACCACUACCAAUUUGGCACGGUUCGUCCGCGACGGCGGGCCGCCGAACGGACAGCACCUCCCCUGUCCGCCCAAGGCUCAACAAUAGGAAUGUGCACAAGAAUUUACCCAGGAAAUUAAAUUCUAAAUAUACACAUUCACGAGGGCACAACCAGUGCAAACAAUACAAAGAGCAAGCAAUCCACAAGAAAAAACAUGUGAAAUAAAGAGAGUACUUUACUAAACUAUUACAAUAGUUCCAACAUUUUCAUUUCCAUCAUUUUCUUUGAAUGAAUACAUCUUCCAUCUCAAAAUACAUAGCUCUCCCAAAUCCUCACCUACCUAAGUUACCAAGCGUUCCAAGUACACUAGGUUAUCAUUUAGAAAGCAUAAGGAAUGGAGCUACUAUACAAUCCUACAAUGCAACAUAAAGAGAUGAGAUUAAAUGUAAUCUAAGACAUAGAAAGGAGUCCGAAAGAUUCGGGAUGGCACCCCCCACCUUUAAUCGAUGUAGAGGCUUUGGAUAUUCUUCUCGGCGAACUUAACGAAGAGGCUUUAGACUUCUUUGCCCAAAUCAACACUAACCCGGCCCUAUUUUGCUGAGAACUUCCAGCCGGCUCGCCGAAUGCCAAAACUGACUUCGCCCCCACGAUUCGUGACCUAACAAUAGGGUUUCCAAGGCUUCAAAUGAGAUCAAUCUCAUACUUUCACAAAAACCCCAUUUUGGAGCCCUAGGUUUGCACAUAUAACAAACCACCCAACAAAUCCCUAGAUUCAUGGGAUUGAUCUACUUAGAAGCAUGCUUAGGGUUCAUUUGACCCAUUCUAAUGCAUAAAAACCCAAAACUUCAAAGUUUAGAAGCUAGGGUUUAGUAGCUUACCUCAAAACCUACACCAAUGGGAAGAGGAGAGGGAGAUGAAGGUGCUCAAAGCCUUCCCCUUGAUCUCUUUCUUCUUCUUCUUCUUCUUUUCCUUCCUGUCCGCCCAAUCCCCGCCAAUUUGGUCGGGUUCGGGUCACGUCAACAGAGCGAACGGACAGAGCCUCCCUGUCCGCCCGAGACUCUACAAUACAUAUAAUAGGCAAUUAAAAGAGAUUGCAAAUAUAAUACAAGGCUUGCACGAGGGCAAGCAACAACGGAAGCGAAAGCUCUAAGCUAAAUAUAGAUUCACAUGAUAUUUGAUUUCAUUUAAACCAAAUUCAAGUAAAACAAAGCUAAUGUAAAACUAUUACAUUCCAUUCACCAUCAUAUCUUUUUACAUUUAGUCAUCACCAAAUACAUGAUUGUUUCACUUUACAUAUCUAAAUCAACAAAAUAAAGUUGAUACAUGUAUACAAAAGGGAAUGACUACAAAAUGCAUAAAGUCCCGGUGGCCGCUACCUAACGGCGCCAAAACCCUUGCCUCUGUCCUCGCGCCGCCCGCUCGUGCUAGGACCUGUAGGUUUAGUUGUGGUGUAGAACUACAACGAAGUUCCAGUGGGCUCGGCAUCCGACUCGCCGACUUGCCCACUAGGUCUAUCCAGGCAUAAGUAUUUCAAAGGAAGCAAAGGUAACCAUUACUAAUGCAACUAAUACUAUGCCUGCAGGAAAGAGACAAUAGAUAUACAAUUUCAAUGCGAAAAUGGAAAUGCAUGUAUGCCCAAUCAUAAUCAAACUUUGGCUCUUACCCAAUCUUACCGGUAACUCUGUUAACCCCAAUGACUCACACUCAAAAUCCCUUAAUAACGGGGGACUCGAACCUCCUAGGGACCGUCGACUGGUGGGACUUUACCACGCCCAGUGGUGACCAACUCCGGAGCGCACCGCUCGAGGGGGAGCGACUCCUCAAAGCCAAGACGAAAGGUGAGUGUCGAUCUAAUCCUCAACUUGAGGAUCCAUAGCCACUAGUCCAAUGCCAAUAUCACGAUAGGUCUCUACUAUUUAUUUUUGCCACUUUCGAGACCUUAUCUUCGACCAUGUCCCUAUGGGUUAAACUAUUUCCAAUGGUCAUCUCUCAAUGCAAUUCUUGUUUCUAUGUCCAAUGACACCUUGUUUUUCUAAUUGUCAAGUCCAUACUUAGUUUCACACAUCCGAGGUCCAAUCACACAUGUCCGUUUUGGUUCUAUCAUUCUUCUACGUUCAACUUACUUUAGAGGCAUAAAAAUGAAAUCAAACCAAGUUCCACAUGUAGCUACCCUACUAUGCAUGAAUGGGUAUAUAUAUAUAUACAUGCUCAAAAAUAGAGAAAUAGACAUAGAGGGGAAUCCAACGAUUCCGGCGUACACCCCCCACCUCUAUGAGUCGUGUGAGUGUAGAAUAUUAAGGCCCCUGCACUUUACGAAAGCCGAUUCCGCGCCCUAUAAUCAAAAUAGUGUCAUAUUAGGCCUUUCUGUACAUGAACUAUGUUCUAACAUUUUCCUAAUGUUAAACGGAGUUGCCCAACGUGUUUAGGGCACCCCCAAUUAGGUUUCCACGGGGUCAAUUUGUCCCCGAGCAAUCCUAGGGCAAAAGCCCCAAAUCCAAGCCCUAAUAUUGUCAUUUAGGGUUUUCUCAUGAAUCGAUCCCAUUCCUAAGCAAACGAUAGCUUAGAAUCAUCUAAGAAGCAUCCUAACAAGGUUUCUAGACCUUUGGUACCAACCCUAGGGCUCCAAACAUCAUCUCCAAGGAUUCACCAUGAGAGCACCUUGAGCUCUCAUGGGUUCCAUGGUGUUCAUGGCUCAAAAGAGCUUCUAAAACCUCUAAGGAGCACAAAGCUCCAAAUCUCUUAACCAAAAUCCAAACCCUAGAGGAAAACCUUACAAAACUUACCUCUAGUCCAAGCUCCACCAAGAUUCUUCUUGUUGGAGAGCUCCUAGAACCUCCAAAGCCUCCAAAUCCACCUUCUUCUCCAAGCUCUUCUUCUUCUUCUCCAAGUUCUAGAGGAGUUCUAGAGAGAGAAAGAGAGAAAAUGAGAGAGGAGGAGAGAAAUGGCUGUGGGAGAGAGGGGUUGGGCCAUAUAUAGUGUUGUAACAAUUGCACUUAAGCCCCUCUACUUGUUUCCACUUGAACUGCCCAGACUGGGCACUUUUCGCCUUCGGGGACCGGUCUCCCCGACCAGGGACCGGUUCCCGAACGGGGGUUUUCCAGGACUUAGCCAAAUUUUCGAGUUUUUCGGCUGUUGCGCAGCGAGGGACCGGUCUGCCCGUCAGGGACCGGUCUCCCGAGGACCGGUCUCACCACCAGGGACCGGAUGCCUCAGGAUUUCCUGGCAGGCUACGCGUACGGGGACCGGUCUCUCCUUCAGGGACCGGUCCCCGAGAGCUCAAAUCUGGGACUUAGCCAGAUUUUCCAGAUUUGCUCUCCGGGUCCCUUUUUGCUCCAUUUAUGAACUCCAAUGCACUUAGGGUCCACCGUAACUCAUUCAAUUCCGCGUUCCGAUCGUUUUGACGGAACUCGGCACGACUUACGAGGGAUGUGGUAUGUUACACUUCCUCUCCUUCUUGUUCUCCUCCUUGUUCUUUCCUUUCUAGAGAGAGAGAGCAAGAGAGAAAGAGAGAUAGAGAAGGAAUGAGAUGAGUGGGAGGGAGAGAGAAGGCUCAGCCUACUCUAAUAAAGGCCAUUUUGCAUAAAAACCCCUCAACUUUUCAUCCAUUGCACAGCCCUCACUAGGCAGAAUUCGCGCGGAGGGACCGGUCUCCCCGACUUGGGACCGGUCCCCGAGGGCCUCCCUCGGGCGCACGCGUUCGGGAACCAGUCUCUCCCCGGGAGACCGGUCCUCGCGAGACGGGUCCUCACCUGAAAGACCGGUCCCCGAGAGCUCGAUUUUCAGGACUUAGCCAAUUUUUGGCAUUUCUCGCUGGAACCACGUUUGGGAACCGGUCCCUCCCUACCAGGGACCGGUUGCACCAAGCAACCCUGCUACACCCAGCCGAGAGAACCGGUCUCUCACCUCCAGAGACCGGUCCCCGAGAGUAAUCUCAGCCCAAUGAUGCAGUUUGCACCAUUUGCUCUCGCGGACUCAACUCCAAAGCACUUUUUGUGUUUUGGACAUUUUCAACUCCCACAAAGGGUAUUCUCUCGACAAUUAGUCGAUCCUGGAUGAAGUACAAUCCUCGGAUUUCGAGAAUACACUUCCCUACAUCCUCCCCUCCUUAAAAGAAGUUUCGUCCUCGAAACUAGCUCAAUUCUUAACUUUAACUUAAACCCAUACCUUACUCCUCGAAUAGAUGAGGAUGGUGCUUUCUCAUUAGAUCCUCGAGUUUCCAGGUGGCUUCGCGAUGCUCGUGAUUGCUCCACCUGACCUUCACAUAAGGAAUUUCUCGAUUCCUCAACUUUCGCACCUCUCGGGCGAUAAUCCCUACCGGAAACUCUUCAUAGCUCAAGUCUCCUUGAAGUUCCGGCGGUUCAUAUAGCAUUGCAUGCUCGGGAUCGUGAAUAUAUUUGUGGAGAUUAGAGACAUGGAACACAUUGUGUACAUCCGCAAGCUUCGGCGGCAAGGCAAGUCGGUAGGCCACCGUGCCGAUUCGCUCCAAUAUCUCAUAUGGUCCAAUGUAUCGGGGGCUUAGUUUUCCCCGCACUCCAAACUGCUUCACACCGCGCAUCGGUGAAACCUUCAAGAAUACGCGGUCACCUACCGCGAAUUCUAUAUCUCGACAGCGCCUAUCUGCAUAGCUUUGCUGUCUCAACUGCGCCGUAAGCAAUCUCUUGCGAGCAAGGCGGACUUUCUCUUCCGCCUCUCGCAACACAUCCGGGCCGAACUCAGCACGCUCACCUACAUCGCUCCAGUGUAUAGGAGAUCGACACGUCCGCCCAUAGAGAGCCUCGAACGGUGCCAUCUCCACACUAGCAUGAUAACUGUUGUUGUAGGCGAACUCGGCCAUAGGUAGGUGGUCACACAACUUCCCUUAUAGUCGAUGAUACACACUCGCAACAUAUCCUCUAGAGUUUGAAUAGUUCUCUCUGUUUGCCCAUCGGUCUGAGGAUGAAAUGCAGUGCUGAAGUCGAGCCGUGUGCCAAGGGCUUCCUGCAGCUCUUCCAGAAGUGUUAAGUGAACCGGGGGUCAUGAUCCGACACGAUCGAUUUCGGCACCCCUUGCAGUCUCACUAUCUCGUCAAGGUAUACCUGCGCUAACUUGUCACCCGACCACGUGGCGUGGAUCGGCAAGAAGUGAGCCGACUUCGUCAAUCGGUCCACAAUUACCCAAAUUGCAUCGUGGCCGCCUGUUGAGCGAGGCAAGCCGACCACGAAGUCCAUCGAUAUGUCCUCCCACUUCCAAACGGGGGUUGGUAGGCUUUGAAGCUUUCCCGCUGGAAAUCGACGGUUGGCCUUCACUUGUUGGCAUGUUAAGCACUUCGCCACAAAGCGUCCAAUAUCACCUUUCAUUCCUAGCCACCAAUAGUGAAUUUUUAGUCCGUGAUACAUCUUGGUGCCGCCUGGGUGAUCGGCAUAUGGAGAUCGGUGUGCUUCUUGCAGAAUCAAUUCACGAAGCUCUCCAUCUUUCGGCACACACCAUCGGUUUUGAAACCGAAGCGUACCAUCGGCGUCUGCCUUGAAAUCGCCGCUACGCCCUUCCUCGAUGUUUCGCCGCACCUUUUGGAGUUCCGGGUCUGCGGGUUGCAGAUCUAUGAUCCUCUCCAACAAGGUCGGUUGGACAACGAGUGCCAUCAACUGAGUCGGGACCUUGGGAGCGACCACUUCAAGGUCCAAUCGCUCCAUAUCCAGCCACAGAGAUGUUUGCUGGGUAACAUCGAAAGCGAGGUUCUUCGCCGACUUCCUACUAAGUGCGUCCGUGACCACAUUCGCCUUCCCGGGGUGGUAGAGGAUAUGAACAUCAUAACCCUUUAACAGCUCCAAUCACCGCCGCUGAUGCAUAUUGAGCUCCUUCUGUGUGAACAGAUACUUCAAGCUCUUGUGGUCGGUAUAAAUCUCACAAUGGGCACCAUAUAAGUAGUACCUCCACAGUUUCAAGGCGAAAGUCACCGCCGCUAGCUCCAAAUCAUGAAUGGGGUAGUUCUUUUCAUAGCUCUUCAGCUGACGGGAUGCAUAAGCAAUUACCUUCCCGUUUUGCAUCAAUACACACCCCAAUCCAAGAUAGGAGGCAUCACUGUAGACCACGAAGUCUUCACCCUGCACCGGUAGAGCGAGCACCGGAGUCGAAGUCAGUCUUUGCUUCAACUCUUUGAAACUCCGGUCACAUUCUUCGCUCCAAACGAACUUGGUGCCUUUCUGAGUCAGGCGGGUAAGUGGAAUCAAUAUUUUGGAAAAGCCUUCCACAAACCGCCUAUAGUAGCUCGCCAAGCCCACGAAGCUUCGAACCUCCGUGACAUUUGUCGGGCGCGGCCAAUCCUUGAUUGCCUCAACUUUCCUCGGGUCUACAGAAACUCCACCCGUGGAAAUCACAUGCCCUAAGAAGGCGACCUCGCGGAGCCAGAAGUCACACUUCUUCAGUUUAGCAUAUAGCUUCUCCUCCCGAAGGACUUGAAGCACUAUUCUCAAAUGCUCGGCAUGUUCCUCGUCGCUGCGGGAAUAGACCAAUAUGUCGUCUAUGAAGACCACGACAAAUCGGUCCAAAUACUUCUUGAAGACACGGUUCAUCAAAUCCAUGAACGCCGCUGGAGCAUUCGUUAGUCCAAAUGGCAUAACCGUGAAUUCGGAGUGUCCAUACCACGUACGGAACGCAGUUUUCUGUACAUCCUCCGGCUUGAUCUUCAGUUGGUGGUAGCCGGAUUGCAAAUCUAUCUUUGAGUACACACACGACCCAUGCAACUGGUCGAACAAGUCAUCGAUUCGGGGUAGUGGGUACUUAUUCUUGAUCGUGACUCUGUUCAAUUCUCGAUAGUCCACGCAGAGUCGAAAUGAUCCGUCCUUCUUCCACACAAACAACACCGGGGCUCCCCACGGUGAUACACUUGGCCGGAUAAAUUGCUUGUCGAGGAGGUCCUGCAGUUGACUCCUCAACUCAUUCAAUUCCGCUGGCGCCAUUCGGUACGGAGCCUUCGAGAUCGGCGCGGUACCGGGAACCAAGUCUAUGACGAACUCGAUCUCCCGAUCCGGUGGUAUCCCUGGCAACUCCGCAGGAAACAUAUCCGGGAACUCCCGCACCACCGAUAGCUCAUCUAACGUUGGAGCUACUCAUUCCACCUCCACAACAGUCGCUAAGAAUGCCGUGCAACCGCUAUUGACUAACUUCCUUGCUCUCAUCGCUGACACCGUCGCGACGAAGCACGAGCUUUGACAAGCCUGAUAUGUGAACUCCCCCUGUCCUGGUUCACUUUAAGUGAUCACCCUGCUCUUGCAGUCGAUCGUCGCGUGAUACUUCGAGAGCCAGUCCAUGCCCAGAAUGAUAUCAAAAGCCUCAAGCUUCUAGAGUUCCACAGUCCGGAUAGGCAUAAUCCAGUCGCCUAUUCGCACGGGACAUGACGCACACUCCGAGUAAGUGUUAAACGUUGACUCAGGGCCCUCUACACGCCACUUGUCACUCACCUCUAUGAGAAUGCCAUGCAUGCGUGCGAAUGAUCUACUUAUGAAUGAAUGUGUGGCUCCUGUAUCAAAUAAAGUCCUGGAGCGAACUCCGUUAAUUAAAACCAUACCUGCCACAAGGCGAUGCUCCUCCGCCUCCGUAGGUUCCUCAACUUGGACCUGAGCGGCGAACACCCGUCCGCUCGGGGCCGAUCGCGUCACUUCAGGUUGACGCGGCAUCAUCGCGCGUCCAGUCGACGCGGCCGUCGGUGGAGCUCCUACAUAGUGAGCCGGAAUCGCCGGCGCCGAUGCAAUUGAUGGGGCAGGUGAGGCUCCUCCUCCCGGGCAGUCUCGAAUGAAGUGCCCCGGUUGCCCACAUUUGUAUCACGUGCCUCGGCCUUCCUCACAGCGCGAGACUGGGUGGUCUCCGCUGCACACAAUGCAUCGCCGCGCUCCACCGCUCUUUUGUUGAGCGCGCGGAUACUUCGGGGGUUUCCUGUAACGUGCUUGUCCCCCCCGAACUACCGCCGCCUUGGCGUUUCCUGCCCUUGUCCUUAGACUCGGCCAAAGCCUCACGCUUCUCCCGAACGUGGGCAUCUCCGUGCUUCGCCCAUAGGGCUCGAUCAAAGACCUCCGCAAAGGUCGUAAGCUUAAGUAUUUGCACGACCUUGUAGAUUCCCGGCCGAAGUCCUCGCAAGAACCACUCGGCCGGGUCCCGGUCAUCCUUUACAACAUCCGGAACACAGUCUAUAAUAUGGGAGAAUUCUUGUUCAUACUCCGCCACUGAGCGGUCCCCUUGCUCGAGCUUGCGGAACUUCUCCUUGAGCUUCCGCUUCAAUGUAUCGGGGAAAUAGUUGGCGAACAUCUCCCGCUUGAAUUCCUCCCACAACAUUGGCGGAAGGCCGGGAAGCCGAUCCCGUUUAACUCACUUCCACCAAACUUUCGCCGCCUUUUCCAAGCAGUGGGUGGCGAGAUACACCUUGUCCCUCUCCAAGGUCCGCAAGUCAUCGAAGAGGGUUUCCAUCGAGUCGACCCAAGAUUCGACCAUCUCCGGUUCCACCUUCUCGCCCUCAAAGGUUGGCGGAUGGAACUUGUUGAACUUGAUAAGAGCCGCCAAUGCGCGCUCUCCCUCCACGUCUUCGGCCGACACAUCGGGUGUAGCCAACCCCGAUGCCGCCUGUGGUACGAUCGUUGGCGGUAGGCGUGCCAUCACCGGAACCGCCGCUACGCCCUCACCCUCUGCCGCUCUAGGUAUAUGAGUCGAGGGUGCGGGCGGACCACCGCCCUCAUUCGCCGUCGCAGCCGCCGCCGCGAUCUGCCGCUCCAAUAGAUCCUGGAGCCGCUCGAAUUGGGUCUCCUGGCGCUGCACCACAUUGGUCAGCGCGGUCACUUGCGCUUGUAACUGAUCCAUCAAGCUAAGUUCCUCCUACUCGGGCACCUCAGGAGUCGGUGCUGGGGCAGUCCUACGCGUGUAGCGUCUUGGAGACAUUAGUCCCUGAAACGCAAUUACUCGGUCAGUCAUCUUAACCAAUUAUCUCGUCGCAUUUACGACACAUGACGACUCAACAACAAAAUCGAGCGGAAGCACACAAGUGUACUCGUUCUAGACUCUUGGUAUCAUGUCGUCGGCCGCCGACAUAACCACCUCAAGACAAGAACUCAUACAACUUGAGUCCGUCUCUAAUCACAACUAGAGACAUAUUACCAACUUCGACCCAAUCGAAUCAACUUUCGCCAUCGCUAUAGGUUCACGUUCCGCUCACGCACCGAUAACCUUAGGGCUUACCAACCUAGGGUCUCCUAGGUCAUCCUAAACUCUCUCUUUACUUGCUCUUAGGCUCUGAUACCACAAAGGCUGUCACGCCCCGCCCCGAAACCACUACCAAUUUGGCACGGUUCGGCCGCGGCGGCGGGCCGCCGAACGGACAGCACCUCCCCUGUCCGCCCAAGGCUCAACAACAGGAAUGUGUACAAGAAUUUACCCAGAAAAUUAAAUUCUAAACAUACACAUUCACGAGGGCACAACCAGUGCCAACAAUACGAAGAGUAAGCAAUCCACAAGAUAAAACAUGUGAAAUAAAGAGAGUAAUUUACUAAACUAUUACAAUAGUUCCAAUAUUUUCAUUUACAUCAUUUUCUUUGAAUGAAUACAUCUUCCAUCUCAAAAUACAUAGCUCUUCCAAAUCCUCACCUACCUAAGUGUCACGCCCGGUUACCAGCGGAAGCAUAUUCGGUACGUGCACAGACCAGCCAUACACCUGCAGUAUAUAAGGCGUUUACAAGAACCCAGUCGAUAGGAGUAAAAAAAAAUAUAAAAUAAUCCUAUCCUAAUAUCAGAGCAAAGUACAGUCCACAAUACUCACAACAAGAGAACAGGGAGUAUAAAACCCAAAAUCUCAACUAAGAGAAAAGUAUCACAACUAUAAAGUCUGGUCCCAAUAGUACAUAAACAUCACGGGGUAUACAAAAAGUAGGUACAAUGGCAGUCUCUCUAUACAUAGGGACAUCACCCUCGGCUGAAGUCCGAGUAGUAAGGUGAUCGACUAGCAUGCUCCUAGCAAUGUCUAGCUAGACGCGACUCCCUUGCCACGAUCCCUAGCCUCUCCUGUAGAUGGCUCUGCAAAAAAAAAACAACAAUACAAAGGGCGUGAGAACUAUAAACAAUAGUUCCCAGUGGGUAAGCCGCCAGCCUCGGCGAAUUACACCACUAGGUUCAUGAUGUACCAAAUAAAAGUAGUAAUUUGCAUGAUAUAUUUCCAAUAUUAACAAUUAAUGGACAUGUAAGCAACAUAUAACAAUGAUCUAUGCAGUAAUGAAUCAACUAGGUAAUAAAAGCAUAGCAACUACUAUAAACACGAACGUAAACAUGGAUGUGUAAGUAAAUACUGUACAUUAUACUGAUGAGCAUUCAUUACUGUCCUUGUCAAUUAGUACUUUUAUUUCAUUCAUAAGGACCUACCCAUGGUAGUUCAGCUUGCACCACGCCUAAUGGCCCCGUGGUAGUAUACACUCCCGACGGCAAUCCACUUCGGCACCCAAUCCCGCACGGGCGAGCAACUAUCGCGUAGGCCAACUCCGGAGUGCCGGCUUGUAGGGAGCGACCCUCACAAGCAUGUGCGAAUGAGCACAAUGACAAGCAAAUGUAAUAAAUAGUUAACAAUUCGCAAUUGUCAUCUCUAAACAUAUAUAAGGUUCUUACUCUCGACUUUUAGGUCGGAUUUCAACAUAGCAUGUUAGUAUCCACCAGAUUAAGUGACUAGAUAAAAGAACUAUACAAUUACAUAUGUCACUUGCAUCAACUACUAGUCAAUGACAAUGUUUGAACAUACUAUUAACCAAGACAUACAUUGAUUGCAUCAUUAUUUAUUGUUUAUGCAUUUAAAUUCAAAGAGAAAGCAAUCAUUCAUGAUUCACAUAAUUAUGUCUAAUUCGUAGUUAUAUAGCUUUAUAAUGAACAUAGAAGGAGUUCACUUGCUCUGGUUAGGUCCGACCCACCUAUUAGUCGACGAUUCACGUCCAACCUGCAAGUAUGAAUCUUCACAAUUCCCCAAAAGCCCUAGGAACUGAUACAAGAUCAGCUAGGAGUAUACUUCAGAUCCUAUGUAAUUCUAUUACAUUAACACUUCUAGGAGGUAGAAUUUCACCUUGUACCCUUUGCUAGUGGAACCCCUGGUUCAGAUCAGAUGAAUGCUUCAAAUUUCAGCUUCAAAAGCCUUUCAACAUCAGCCGAGAUCUACACACACCAUCCGCUGCGAACCUGCUGUGAAUUAGCUAUAAAACUGCGUUGAAGUGCUUACUAAAACAGUCUAUUUCAGCAACUGCACACUUCGUACCCAGUUAUAGCUUUAGCCCAUGUUUACUCCAGCUUAAAACAUCAAAGUCCACUUUCGUAAGUUCCCCGAAGUCAAUCGAGAACUACCAAAUACUCUGUCGCAAAUCAGCUACACAUUAACAUCACAUUUGCACCAAACUAUAGAUAGUAUUAUCUAAUUCGAAAAGAUUUUCACCUUAGGUCAGGUUAAAGCUUAGAUCCCUGUCUUGAUUCAGUCCAUGGCACUCAGUUUAAUCUCCAAAGACUUCUAAAUAUCAGCCGAGAUCGAUCUAUUGCCCUCGCUGCGAAUUAAUACCAAAACAGCCACUAAACUCACUAAUAUGCCUUAUAUAGUCAUAAUAAUAGAGUAAUACUCAACUAAUUACCUUCUUAAGGCUUCGAAUCAGCUUAUCCUUGAAUUAGAACAGAGAAAUUAUAGCAAAGUAUUCCUUUCUCACUGCUGGAACCACUCCUCAACCAGCUGCGAUCACGAUACAACAAAUAGGUUCAACUUUAGCACUAAAGCUGUAAAAUGAAAACUAACUUAGGUAAUUACCUUUCUAAGCCUCUCUCUUUAACCUUUCUCUGAAGUAAGGAUGAAGAACUCUGUCACAACACCUCCCCCCUUAGCUCUAGAGGCUGUCCCUCAAGGUUCCAAACCAGCUAACACCAAGGAGAAGAAGGAAUCAAGCUCAAAUUCACCAUUUCUUACACUUAGGAGAGAGAAAUCUAGAGAGAGAAAGUUAGGAAGCACCAACCCUUAUCCCCUGGCCUCCAACACCCUUUGGGGAGUUGCUGAGGUCGAGCAGGAAGGAUAAGGAUGGAGAUAGAAGGGGAAAAGACCAAAAUGCCCACACUGCCACGCACCUGUUGCUGCUGCUGCUUGCUGUACCGGUACAGCAUUAUGCUUGUACCGGUGCACCAAUGCAGAAAAUGCCAAUCUCGAAAUUACAAUGUACUUUCUUACUUUUCGCAUUCCGAUCACCCUCAAACUUAGUCAUAAAUGUCUCUAAACCCUUUAGAACAUGUAGGGUAAUUCCACAUUCCAUUCCACACACUCGAACUCCGCAAAUUGCAAAAGUUCAGUGUAUUACAUUCAUCCCUCCGAAAAGAAAGUUUCGUCCGCGAAACUUAUAAACACUUACCUCACGAUUCCAUCGAGAAUAGAUAGGGAUAAUGCUCUUGCAUUGCACUCUCCAGUUCCUAAGUGGCUUCCCGUUCAUCGUGAUUGCCCCAAAGGAUCUUCACGUACGGUAUUUCACGGUUCCGAAGCCGUUUCACCUCUCGAGCUAGUAUUCUCACUGGAUGCUCCUCAAAGCUCAAAUCUUCUCGUAAAUCCACUGGAGUACUCUCUAAUAUGUGAGUUGGAUCAAAAACAUAUUUCCGAAGCGUAGAUACGUGAAAUACAUUAUGCACUCCCGAUAGGCUUGGCGGCAAAGCAAGUCGAUACGCUACGGGGCCAAUCCGCUCUAAUACCUCGUAGGGUCCAAUAAAUCGAGGGCUUAACUUCCCUCGAAUACCAAAUCUCUUAACCCCCUUUGACGGUGACACCUUCAAGAAUACAUGAUCGCCAACUUGAAAUUCCAGUUCUCGCCGACAUUUGUCCGCAUAACUCUUUUGUCGACUUUGGGCUGUCAGUAGUCGUUCUCGUGCCAGUCGAACUUUAGCUUCAGCUUCUUGUAAUACACCAGGACCCAAAACCAAUCUCUCACCCACUUCACUCCAAUGAAGUGGUGAUCUGCACUUUCUACCAUAAAGGGCCUCAAACGGUGCCAUCUGAAUACUUGCUUGAUAACUGUUGUUAUAAGCAAAUUCAGCCAUCGGUAGGAACUGUGGCCAACUGCCCUGGUAAUCAAUCACACAGGCUCUCAACAUAUCCUCAAGGGUCUGGAUAAUACGCUCGGAAUGCCCAUCACUCUGGGGGUGGAAAGCAGUACUAAAAUCCAAUCGGGUACCCAUAGCCUCCUGUAAACUUCUCCAGAAAUGUGAAACAAAUCGGGUGUCUCGAUCUGAAACAAUAGAAGUAGGUACUCCGUGUAAUCGCACAAUUUCAUCAAGGUACACUUGUGCGAGUCUCUCCCCUGACCAGACAGUCUGGAUUGGGAUAAAGUGGGCAGAUUUGGUUAAUCUAUUAAUAAUUACCCAAAUUGUAUCAUGGCCGGCUUGUGAACGGGGUAAUCCAACAAUAAAAUCCAUAGUAAUCCUUUCCCACUUCCACACUGGUAUGGGUAAACUCUGAAGUUUUCCUGCAGGAAGUCGAUGUUCAGCUUUAACUUGCUGACAGGUUAAGCACUUCGCUACGAAGUCUGCAACUUCCUUUUUCAUUCCAGGCCACCAGUAAGUUAACUUUAGAUCUUUAUACAUUUUCGUGCUCCUAGGGUGUAAAGUAUAUGGUGCCCGAUGUGCUUCCUUUAAAAUCUCCUCUUUAGUAUCUGGAUCGGCAGGUACACAAAUUCUAUCACCGAAUUUUAGCAAUCCCUGAUCAUCCACUCGAAAAUCGCUAACAGGAUCAGUAGUGAUCUUUGCUUGAAUCUUUUGCAAGAAUUCAUCUUGAGCUUGUUUUCCUUUAAUUCGGUCGAUCAGGGUAGGUUGCACUACCAAUGACAUAAGUCUCCAAGGUGUGUCAGGAGCUACAACUUCCAAACUCAAUUGCUCCAUUUCUUUUACCAAUAAGGGUUGCAUAGUUAUCGACAUCGCCAAAUUUUCCGUCGAUUUUCGACUUAAAGCAUCUGCUACAACAUUAGCUUUUCCUGGAUGAUAAAGGAUAGUCAAAUCAUAGUCCUUGAGCAACUCCAACCAUCUACGUUGUCUCAAGUUUAAUUCCUUCUGCGUAAACAGAUACUUUAAGCUUUUAUGAUCGGUGUAAACCUCGCAACGCUCGCCAUAGAGGUAGUGGCGCCAAAGCUUUAAGGCAAAAACUACUGCUGCUAACUCAAGAUCAUGUGUAGGGUAGUUCUUUUCAUAAUCUUUCAAUUGGCGAGAUGCAUAAGCAAUUACUCUGCCAUUCUGCAUUAAAACACACCCUAAUCCAUUUAACGACGCAUCGCUAUAAAUUACAUAACCCACUCCGGUAACUGGCAGUGCUAAAAUCGGGGCAGUGGUCAACCGUUCCUUUAGCUCUUGAAAGCUUCUUUCGCAGGUUUCAUUCCACAGAAACUUAGCUCCUUUAUGUGUCAGUCGGGUAAGUGAUGUAGACAUCUUUGCAAAUCCUUCUACAAAUCUCCGAUAGUAUCCUGCCAAACCAAGGAAACUCCGAAUUUCUAUGACACUGGUCGGCCUCGGCCAAUCUUUAAUCGCUUCAAUCUUCUUUGGGUCCACAGCUAUCCCAGUCUCUGAAAUGACAUGACCCAGAAAUGCUACUUCUCGAAACCAAAAUUCGCAUUUCUUUAAUUUUGCAAACAAUUUCUUUUCUCGAAGUACUUGUAACACUACUCUUAGAUGGCUUUCAUGCUCCUGAUUACUUCGAGAAUAUAUCAAGAUAUCAUCGAUAAACAAAACUACAAACCUGUCCAAAUAGGGCUUAAAGACACGAUUCAUUAAAUCCAUAAAGGCUGCUGGGGCAUUUGUCAAUCCAAAUGGCAUAACUGUGAAUUCAUAAUGUCCAUACCGUGUCCUAAAAGCUGUCUUGGAAACCUCUUUAGGCUUGAUCUUAAGCUGAUGAUAACCUCACUGCAGAUCAAUCUUAGAAUAUACUUUCGAUCCUUGCAGCUGAUCGAAUAAAUCAUCAAUUCGGGGUAAUGGAUAUUUGUUCUUGAUUGUGACUUUAUUAAUUUCUCGAUAAUCCACACACAAUCGAAGAGAUCCAUCCUUUUUCUUAACAAAUAACACCGGUGCUCCCCAAGGAGAUACACUCGGUCGAAUGAAACCCUUAUCCAAUAAAUCCUGCAAUUGUGCCUUCAGCUCUUUCAAUUCAGAGGGUGUCAUCCUAUAAGGUGCUUUUGAGAUUGGGGUAGUCCCCGGGACAAGAUCUAUCACAAAUUCAACUUCCCUAUCAGGCCCGCUUGGCCUGACGGGCCUGCCGCGUGGGUGUGGCCCGCGCAUUGUCCGCGUGCACGCCCACGCGGCUCCAAGCGGUAUUGAACAGUAAUUUUUCCUUUUUUUUAUAUAUCAAAAAAUAUAUCAAAAGAAAGCUUGUGACGAGCUCUUCCAAAUCGUGCAAGUUUCACAAUGGGAUAUGCAUCACACAUCAAACAAGCCACUCCCCAAAAAUCCGAUUUAGGGUUUCAUUUUUCUCAUAAAAUACAAAACCAUAUCAAAUCAAACUUUGUAGAUAAAAUCUACAAUUUCGGUGCUUCAAGAUGUGUAAAAAACAUGCAAAGAUAUCCACUUAUGAAAAAAACCGCCAUUAACGCUCACAUACAUGCAAGAAAAAAUCUAAAACAUGAUAGAUUUGAUUUAACGCAUGUAAUCUCGUUAAAGGAUUUAUCUAGGCCACGAAAUCAACCAAAAAACGCUCUGAUACCAAUGUAGAACGCAACGGAAGUAUUAGUUCGUACCUUUUUCGGAAGCGAUUCGCGUUACAACUCGAUGAGCCCAGAUCGUCGAGGUUGAUUCACGUGUCCUUUGAUCGUCCUUGAUUAAAUCUUCUCACGUUCCAAACUCGCGAUGGAAUCUUCUCACGUUCCAAACUCGCGAUGGAUCGAACUACAAACGAGCACGAUCACAAACCCACCGUUCAAGUCCCUGUUAGAAUAAUAGGUUGAUGGAGGAUGUGGUUUCUCUCUUUCGUUUUCUUAUUCUCUUUUCUUUUUCCGUUCUUGUUAUUUUUGUUAUGUGGGAUGGCCCGCAUAUUUAUAAGGGAUAAGGCAAAAUCGGUUAUUAAUUGUUAUCCUACUAUGACUAGGAUUUAUCUCUAACUAGCUUUCCAAUUUGAAAGCGAGAUUAAUUCUAAUCCAAUUAGAUAACAUAAUAUCCGUCGGAUCGAACCCGCUUAUGGGCGUACCCGAUUCGAUUUAACCGAAUGCCAACGGUUCUUGUAUUAGUUCCCUACUCUUAAUCUUUAAAUUGUACAAUUAUCAUCUCCAAAUGAUUUUAUUCAUCAAGGACUUGCCAUCACAAGGGCUUUUUAAUUUUCUCAAACGGAAGUCUUGGUUUCCAUACUUGAAUAGCACCGAGUUUUACAGCGGCAAAUAUAGGUUUGCCAACGACAUCAUCUCUUUCUCUUCAAAUUCCUUAUCCAUCAUCCCUUCCGACUUGUUCUCUUUUUCUUGCAGAGCAGUAUCACAACCAUCCUUCACUAGCACUAUAUGCAUAUUGAACUUUCACAGUGCAAAGUUAGUCCCGUCAAAGUGAGGGAUCUCAAACUUGGUCGCACUUUUCCCGGCCAUCAUUUUCACUGUUAAUUUCUGUCUACAAAGAACCUACACUCUGAUACCAAUUGAAAGAACUGACGAAGAACUCGAGCAUACCUUGAAACCCUCUUAAUGUAGUAGCACAAUGAAAAUUGGAUCCAAUAUAUAGAAACUUGAGAUCGAUUGAGAAAACAAGCACAAGAAUGUAAAAUAAUAAUAAGCACAAACAAAUAAUAAGAGAUUUAUGUGGUGGUUUGGACAAUGAUGUGCUGAUCCAUGUCCACAAGUAAGACCUCCUAAAUGCGUUUUCAAUUAAUUCACCGUACGGUGAGGAUAAGAAGUAGAUACAAAUAAACUCUCUCAGGUUCUCUCGUAUCUUUUUCUCAAGGACUUUUCACAGUACUGAAGCUAGCUCUGAACCCUAAAAUAGAAAGAUUAUAAGGUUUUAAAUCCCAAAAUCUCAAAAGAAAAGGGAAAUAAUUACCAUCGUCCAUCCAAACAUUCUGAUUCAAGUUUAAACUUCGUUCUCCGCUGAAAAACCACCCUCUCUAUAAGAUGUUUCAGGUCAAAAUCUGACCUUAAACCAUGAGAUUAAACCAAUUUGGAUUCAAAGCCAACUUGGCUUGUCCCUUGCGGCUUCAGGUUAGAUAACCUGAAUGAUAGAUUCCAGAACAUUAUUAAAUUUUAAUUUUAUAAAUUAAAAUUACUUUAUAAAAUUACUUUAUAAAUUUUAAUUUUAUUUUGAUUCACACCUCUGAACUUUUUUUAAUUAUUUUAUUCUAGUUAAUUUAAUUAAAUUUUUAAAUUCAAGAGCUUUAUUAAUUAGUGUUUACCUAUUAAUUAUUUUCAUUUAUUUUUUAAAAAUUAAUUAAAUUUAAAUAAAUAAAUUAAUUAAUUAAUUAAUUACAAAUUAUUAAAUUUAAAAAUUAAAUUAAAUUAUUAGUUAAUUAAAUUAAAUUAAACUAUUUAAAAGGUCACGCUCACCCCCUUCUCCCCACGCUCUCCCCACGCUCACCCCCUUUGCUCAAACCUCACCCUCACCCCCCCGCUCACCCCCUCCUCCUCGGCGAGCUCCUCGCCGGCGAGCUCCGGCGAGUACCUCGCCGGAGAGAACCUCACCUGCGAGCUCCUCCCCGCCGAGCCCUUUUACGACGAGCCCUUUUGCACGGAUUUCCUCGCCGUUGAUCUCCUCGUUGUCGUUCUCCUUGCCGGUGAGUCCUUCGCCGCAGAUCUCCUUGCCAACGAGUUUAUCACUACCGAUCUCCUCGCCGCCAAGAUUCUCAUUGCCGAUCUCCUCUCCGACGAGCUCUCCACGGUCCCGAUCUCUAAUCGAAGAAAAUCUGUAAAAAAAAGAUCCAGAAAAGCUAAUUUUGGUUGUGAAUUUUGAUUUCUUUUCAAAUUUGGUUUUGUAUAUAGUGCGAGAUGGUAUGAAUUUUGAUGUUUGUUCUUGUAGGUUCUUUUUGUUUGUUUAAUUGUUCUUGUUUCUAUUAACUUUUCUAUUAAAAGCUCAAUGAUGUAAGAAUCUGCUUUUCAUGAGCUCACUGGUCAAUGAUAUAGUCUUAUUUGCAUGCUUAUCUGAGGUUUUGUGCAUCACUGUGAGCUCGGUCUCUCAAUUGUUUCUUGUGAUUUCUCAGAAAUUGUAGUUUGAACUUUGUUAAUUAAUAAUCAGCAAGGAAAGCGCAAAAUAUCAGAAACUAAAACCAAUCACCCUUGAGUAUCACUAGCUGUAGUAAUUAGAUUAACAUACACUGAUUGUGCAUUUGUAUAGCUUUCAUCAAGCUGACCUAACAGGUACGUUGUUCAUAGGCCAUUUGAAAAGCUCAAUAGUUGCAAAUGAUUUCCGCUAGUCGAUAACCUCUAUCCAAAGACCUUACUUGCGAAAACCAAGUAAUUUAGUUGAGGUUCAUACUCCCAAUUGAGGACAAUCUUACAUUGAGACAGAAUAUCAAACUAGAGUAUUUCGGCUAUCAAAUAAGGUUUAGGCCCUGUUGUGAUGCAUAUAGUUAAAAAACUCCAUGAAAUUUUUAUUCUAUGUUUUGGUCUAAAUGAAAUACGAAUCUGUAACUACAAAAAAAUUCCACAGCUUUAUUUUAAGCUGUUUGGAUACAUAUCAUACAAUUCCCAGUAGUAUUUAUAACAAUUAAUUUUAAAAUUUUAAAAUUCAAAAUUCAAAACUCAAAAUUCAAAUUCAAAAUUCAAAAUUUAAAAUAAAAUUUAAAAAUUAAAAUUCAAAAUUCAAAAUAUAAAAUUAAAAUUUAAAAUUUAAAAUUAAAAAAGUAAAUUAGAUUUUAUGUUUUAAAUUUGGAAUUUGAAUUUGGAAUUUGAAAUUUGAAAUUAAAACUUUAAAUUUAAAACUUAAGUAUACCAUUAAACUUUAAAUUUUGAAAUUUAAAAAAUCUAUAAUUAAAAUUUUUAAUUUCAAAUUUAAUAAUUAUAAAUUUACUAUUUAUAAAUUUAAACUUUUAAAUUAAGUUUAAAUUUAAAUUUUGAAGAUUGAAAAUUAAAAUUAAAAUUAAAUUAAAAUUUGAAAAUUGAAAUUUGAAAUUUGAACUUUUUAAAUUUGAAAUUUGAAAUUUGAACUUUUGAAAUUUGAAAUUUGAAAUUGAACUUUUUGAUAUUUGAAAUUUGAAAAUUGAAGUUGAAAUUUGAAAGUUGAAAUUUGAAAUUUGAAUUUUGAAAUUUUUGAAUUUUGAUUUGAAUUUUGAAUUUUGAAUUUUGAAAUUUGAAAUUUGAAAUUUGAAAUUUGAAAUUUGAAAGUUGAAAGUUGAAAGUUGAAAGUUGAAAUUUGAAAAUUGAAAAUUGAAAUUUGAAAUUUGAACUUUUUGAAAUUUGAAAUUUGAAAUUUGAAAUUUUAAAAUUGAAUAUUGAAAUUUGAAAAUUGAAAUUUGAAGUUUUUGAAAAUUGAAAUUUAAAAUUUAAAAUUUAAAAUCAAAAUUAAAUUUGAAUUUUAAAAUUUUAAAAUUUGAAAUCUAAAAUUUUAUGUUGAAAAUUAAAAUUUAAAAAUUGAUACAUCUUUGGGAGCCCAAAAUGGUGGAAUUUUUUUCCUUUGGUUAAAGUGGAUUGUAAGUUUACUCCAUUUUUUGGAGUAUAGUAUAACUAUACUCCAAAAAUUACGUCAUUUUUUUUUCUUCCAAACGCUUUAUAGGAUUAUUUUCCUACCAGCGUAGCAUAGUUUAACUAUACUAUGUUUUUAGAGGUAUCCAAACGGGGCCUUAUUUUAUUUUGCUUGUUACCUAAAUUAGCUCCCAUCACUUUCAAAGAAAUCAAGGUACAAAGUACAUCUAUUGUGGACAUAUUUUAUUCGCUUUGUCAGUAUAAACCUCAAAAUUAGUACACGAAGAGAGUUCAUUCCUCUGCCAAUUCUAUGUAAAGAGAGUUCAAGUGUACAUAAACACAUUUGAAGAACUACAAAAAUUAGUACAUCUAACACCAUACAAAUUUUACAUGGACUAAUAAAAUGACUAUAAUUUGAAAGACUAGUUGAUGAUUCGAUACAUAUAAUUUAUUCCGACAAAGCCUCACCCUGGUAGCAAAUAAACAGAACAUCCACCCUUCCAGUUGUCUCAUCAUCUGAGUGCCUUGACGAAUUUCAAACUAUUUAUGCUUGGGGUUGUAAUCUGGUAAUCUUUAUUGAGGCUUUGGUUCCAAUUUUAGUUGUGCCCCCACUGUGUUAUCUUGUGACUUUAUUCUGCGUGUGGGUUCAUGAUAUUUAUUCUGAAUUUGCUUCACUAGAUGCUUGAUGGGUUCUGAUAUUGACUGGGACAAAAAGAACAUACCAUACUUUUUUUUUCAAAACAACUUUUCAAUAAAUCAGAACAACUUUUUUUUUCUUUUUCAAAAAAGAACAUACCAUACUUUUCAAUAAAUUUAAGUUUAGUAUAGUAUUUUUUUUAAUUAAAGUUUAGUAUAGUAUUCCUCAUGCAUAAAAUAGACAAAGUCGGUAAGAGUCUUUAACUUAAUUUAUCUACAGAUUUUUCCACUGAUAUUCUGAUUUGCCUUUUGCUAUUGACAUCUCCUUUUCAUCUGUGUUAAUUGACACAGAUGAAUUUUGUAACUUGUCGAAUUUUGUUAAUUGACACUAUAUUCUAUAACUUGUAGGUUGAAACUGUUAAGCUCAAACUGAAACUUGCUGCUUGUAGGCUAAAACUUGCUGCUUGGAAAUUAUUGGAAUUGAGGUGAGUACAAGUGAACUUCAUGUUUACUUUUGAACUUUAUAGGACAUAUGUGAUGACAAUAUUAACAUAGACUAGUAGGUAUAUAUGUGUUUCCCUCAUGACCACUUAUUUCCCUCUCUAAAGCUCUCAAAUUAACUUAUUGAUUAGGUGAAGCUUCCACAACCAUAAGGAAUCAAUUAAUAGUUAUGUUUGUUCGUAACAAUAAUCACAUUUAUCGACAUUUUCCUAUAUUUUACUAUAUUUGUCUUUCUGAUUCGUCACACACUUUCAGCUGAAAACUAUCAAUGGGGAAGUUUCUGAUUCUAUAGUGUUCAAAAAGCAGCCAAAGCUGCCAAAAGAGAAGUUAGAUUUGUUCCCACCAAAGCUGGAUUAAACUGUGAAGCAAGACAUCUUAGGGCCAAUUAUUAGCACUAGGAAUGGCUAUAAAGCAUGAAAAAUUAAGUGGCAUCCCAUUCUUGGCCGUUUCUAAUUCCAUUUUAAGAACUUAUAUGCUUGCUUAAUUCUAGCUUGUAUUCGUGGGAAAUUAACUGCCUAGCAAUCAGAUUGCUGCAAUGGCAGGAAAGACAUUAACAAGAUAAGUAAAGCACGCACACACUUAAGUUUUAAAGUUUAGUCUCUGUUGUUGGGGCGACUCUUCUUGUUGACAGUUGUUCUAACUUCUAUUAAGUUGUCUUCACUACACUGAUUUUGUAUAUGUACAUAGUAAUUAUAUACCUUAAUCUUGUGAGAUAACUAGAAACCAACAUCAAGAGCAGCUUGUUUCCAGAGGCAUCUUUGUGGUCCAUGGACUGCAUACUUAAGAAAAGUACUAUAAUCUAAAUACUUAGGAAACCAAGAACACUAGUCAUGCUGCAUUAAAAUUAUAUAACAGUAGGCCAAAAUAAAAAUAAAAGCUAUUAGCUUUAGGUAGAAAACUGAAGUAGGAGAAAGCAAAGUUAGCAAAAUUAGCAACAAAAGACAAUAAGAGCUAUUAGCUUGCUACUUAAUGAUCAAAACAUACAAAUGGUGAUUGUUUAUGUUAAAUGUUAACCUGGUUCAUCUUUCUAACAUAAAAUGAGAUUUGAAUGGAUAUAGAAAUAAAUUUGAAGCAAAGUUUAUUUGACAUAAAGAAUGUUGUUGAAUUGGUCUAAUAUAAAUGACAAGAAACAGUACCACGAAGCAAGUCAGAGACAACAGGUACAAAAUGCCAAAGAUAAACUUUAGAGUGUAGUACAUAUGAUAAUUGACAGAGGAAAAAAUCUCAAACCAAAGUGGAAAUUAUUAUGCUCGUAUCAUAUGAUUGUAACCGCUGCCAUACCAUAUUCUAUACUAUCAAGAGUUGACAUCUUUAGGUAUAGAGAACAUAUCAAAUUAACAUCUCAUGCCCAUAUGCUUAAUUCUUAGCUCUAACAAGAAAGUAGAGAUAUUAUUGCAAUAAUAUAUUUGUUAAUAAUUUAUGCUUUUUGUAUAUGAUACGACUAACACAUUCUUAGCAGGACAAUGGGAAUAGACAAAAGUUGGAUAAUCAUCCAAGAUAGAUCUCUUAUCGAAUAUGAAAUCAGUGCUGAUGCAUUCUUGGAUUAUGCUUUCAAUCAACUAGGAGAUGUUAGAAGAAUUCAUUGCCAUCAACUAGGAGAUGCUAGUAUUGCCGGUAUGUUCUAUAGAUUCAUUUGUUCAAUUCUGCUACUAUUGCCGGUAUGUAUCUAUAGAUUUCAUUUCUAAUUUAAAGUAUAUUACUUGUUGAUACUUAAUAUAUCUAUUAUGGUUGGAAUAAUAUAUUGUAUUUUUUUUUCUUCAAGGUUGUCACGCCCCGCGCCCCGAGGCCGCUACCGAUUUGGCACGGUUCGGGCGCGGCAGGCGGACCGCCGAAUGGACAGCACCUCCCCUGUCCGCCCAAGGCUAAACAACGAGAUCAUGUACAACAAGUCCCCAGAAAAUCAACUUGAAUACAUACAUGAUCAUGCAACAACAGCGAGAGCACAAACAGUGCUGAACAAUACAAGAGCAAGCGUCACAAGUAGAAGACAUACAAGUGAAACAAAAGAGAGAUACUUAACUAUUCUAUUACAACCAUUCAGCUCGAUACAUUUAAUUACAACUUGCAUUCUUUUCCAAACUAUGAAUAUAAGCUUACAUUCUUCAAAAGAUAAACAUUAGUUUACAUUUAUCUCAAAAUACCUCACAUCCUAUACAUCAUCUACUCUCAAUACAUGUAUAGGGUAACUCUAAUGCAAAAUAGGAAAGUAAACUAUCAACUAGCACUAGGGCGCUAAGCCCAUAACGCGAUCCUCUGCCGAUCCGCUCUCGUGUGUACCUGUACCCCAAAACCACACGGGGUGAGAACUAUAUAAAUAUAGUUCCCAGUGGGUUCGGCCGCCGACUCCGCCGAUCUUCCCACUAGGUCCAAGCUGGCACAGAUAGAUAGAUAGAAAGAUAUAUGGAAAUACUACUACUAUAUCUACUAUGCCAUCAAAUGCAAAGUAUGCAUGGAACAUCAUCUAGCAACAAUCUACUAUCAUGCUAAUAUGCCUCAACAGUGAAAUGAAUACAACUAUAACAUAGUUAUGCAAUGCACUAUGUCUAAUCAAGGUAUGAAUGCAAUACUCUUAUGCUAUUCAUGUUAUUACCCAAUCCGCUAGGCUAACUUGCCUAAGAUCUCAAAUCUAGUAGGUGAAGAGCUACCUCAUUCUUGUCUCACUCGACUCAUAUCUCAAAGGUCCAUAGGCAAAGGCUACCCCGCACUUUGCCCGACUCAUAUCUCAAUCCUAGCUAAGGUACUCAGCUACUCCACUCAAAUCUCAUAGGUGAAGGAAUAGUAUACUCACUCACUGUAUAUAGGCAAAUCUGCUAAACCAACUACCAAGCGACUAUGCUCGCUAUCAAGGUAAGUCUAGUGAAGGUUAACUACCAUACCACUAGGUUCAUCAAUAGGGCUAUUCAUUAGACCACCCAAUCAGCCGGUAAGCCAAAGGCAACUAUGAUCAACAACAACAACUAUGGAAGCAAGCUAUCGUGAACAACAACAAUGGGUAUGGCUCAAUAGGUAACCCAAUCUCAAGGUGAACUCGUGGUUCACAAGCAAGGCUCACAUAUCAAUCUCCUAGGGAUGUCGAGCUGGACUAUCCCCGAGUACGCCUGCGGAUAACAAGCGGCUAUCCGAGCAGCAAGCACGGCUGCCUCUCUAGUGACCAAACUCCGGAGCGCACAACCUGGGGGGAGCGACCCCACCAAGCGCAGACAGGCAAUGUGAGCGUGAUCAUCUCACGAGCAACAGCAACCUACCCUCUAAGGGUAAUCUCAUCAUGGAAUCAAGGUGUUCUUGUACCCAAUCUCAUAGUGUUUCAACUACACUAAGGUUCUCAUGUCAAGGUUAUCAACAAUCAUAUGCCACUCAUCAUAGUUUUCUAAACUAGAUGCCACUCGUCAUUUAGACUCAUUUCAAUACUAGUUACAUCAUACUAGUUCUUUAGCAACAUAAGCAUUAAACAUCUCAUAUAGGAUCUAGGUCUUUAUUGUAGGGUUUUCAUCAUGUAAUCAUCAUGCAUACUAGAUCAUGGAACAAUCAUCAAGAUGUAUAGCUACUAGCAUGCAAAUAUGAGCAAUGACCAUAAUCAUCUAGCACCUAAGUGCAAUAAAUACAAUAUGCAACUUAAUCGAUUAAUGCAUUCAACAAGUUUAACCCACAUUAAUCAUGCCCUUAUAGGGUUUCACCACACUAAGUCCUAAUCUCAUGCAUACUAGGUACAAGUAUUAAUCAAGUAACACUACACUCUCACUAGCAUGCCAUGACAUGUAACAAUUGCCAACUAGUACCCUAUAAUGCAAUAUCCCAAUAUGCAACUUGAUCAAUGUUACUAGAGUUUCUAGUGCAACAACCAAUCCAUUACUAGCUCAAGUCAUAUGUGUUUUUAGCACAAUGAGUUCAAUGCCACUUGUAAACUAUGUCUUUAAACACAACACUAGGUUCUUCUUUCAUUUAGCAUCAUAGGUUUACCAAUGUCAUCUCAUAAUCCUUAUGUCCAUUACAUCAUAUAUCCAUAUCAUAAUACUAUAUUGAUCAUAAACAUCAUAUAAGGAUUAGGAAUGCAUGUAUUGUCAUCCUAUAAUGCAAGGUAUCGAUAUACAAUAUGCUACAUGUGAAUGGAUAAGCAUUAAGACAUAGGAAGAAGC
rnacentral:lncRNA from 1 species